rnacentral:lncRNA from 1 species
CUCUUGUUCCUGCAUGUUUCCUUCUUUAGGGCCCGAGCGUAGCUGCUAAGCAGCUGCGAGAGCCCUCUUGUUCCUGCAUGUUUCCUUCUUUUGUUAUUAUUAUUAUUAUUAUUAUUUUUCCUCCCCUUUGAACUGGAAAAUGGCCCACUUCCCACUGGCGAAAACUCAUGAAAUUUGGCAGGACGACCGGGCCUGGUGAAAAAUUUGAUAUUCUGAAGUCGCCCAAACAAUAAAAUGCAAAAUGGCUCCAUAGCGCCCCCUAAGGUGGAAAUUCACACUAUUGACUGUCACGCCUGUACGCUUUGUCAAAAUGACACAAAAUUUGACACACAUAUGUAUCUCAAUAAGAUCUACAAAAAAGUCAGUGCGGGCGUAUCUGUCAAAUGUACGGUUAAAGGGCUAUUUCGCAUUUUUUGGCGAUCCGUACACAUUGGAAUUUCGCUAACUCCUCCGAAGGCUUUUGUUCCACCGGCACCACAUUUGCUCAGGCCAAUCUACACCCCAUGGCCAUUAAAAGUUAUUCAAAUCAUGACGCUGCACCCCACGGUUUAGGUUCUAGGGGGCGCCAAAGAUAACCCAAAAAUCCACAUAUUUAAAAGUCUUAUAACUUUUUAUUUUUGUCCUCACUGGCCUCCAAGUUUUCUAGGAUGAUGCAAUGUCCAGCCAUCAACACAUUUGUGAAGGAAUUUUUACUCCCCAAAAGAGCGCCCCCCAUGGCAGGAGAAAAAAGUCCUUUUUUUCUUGUCCCCUUACAUGAAAAUACACAUUGUUGAGUGUCACGCCUGAACGCUUUGUCAUAUUGACACAAAAAUUGACAAUCAUGUGUAUCUCAAUUAGAUCUACAAAAAAGUCAAAAAGCGCGUAUCUGUAUAAUGUAAGGUUAAAGGGCUAUUUCGCAUUUUUUGCCGAUUCGCACACAUUGGAAUGUGGCUAUCUCCUCCUAAGACUUUCGUCCCACUGAUACCAAAUUUGCUCAGGGCAAUCUACACCCCAUGCCCAUUCAAAGUUGUAAAAAUCAUGACGCUGCACCCCACGGUUUACGUUCUAGGGGGCGCCAAAGAUGACCCAAAAAUCCACAUUCUUAAAAGUCAUUUUGGCCACUGCAGGAGUACAGAGUACUGCAGUUCUAGGGGGCGCCAAAGAUGACCCAAAAAUCCACAUUCUUAAAAGUCUUUUUGGCCACUGCAGGAGUACAGAGUACUGCAGGAUACACACACAUAUAUACACACACACACACACACACACACACACACACACACUCAGAGUCUGUUUUUUAGCACCUGCAAAAACAUGCUGUUUACAUAUUUGACAAGAAUGCAGAGGCUUCCUUUUGCCCCUGAAAAAAAUCAGAUUUCAAACACAACUUGACUGUUCAUUUCUCCAAAAGACAACCAUGAAGCUCCAUCCAAACCUGAAGCAGAUAGUUGGUGCAUGUGUACAGUAACCUGAGGGGAGUGAGGUGACUGCUUCUGAGGAGAACAUGAGCAGUGAAGAUUCACCUUGGAGCUAGAACAGGGACGUGCACAUGAUUAUACAGGGGCAGGGGCUCAAGUUUUUUCCAGUCAUUUAUACAAUAUGGAAAUUAAUGUGAAAUUAAACCACAAAUAUGUGUGAUGAACUGUUUUUAAAACUUAAACUUCAAAUAAAAAUUGUAAACUUCAAAACAUAUGCAAAUUUUUAACAAAGAACAUAAUAAUUUACCUCUAUUUACAUCAAAAUGCAGGCAAUGGCCCAGGCGUUCUUUGUAAAAUUAUUUACAAAAAACUGUAUAGGCUCACAAAUGUCACUUUUUAUUUAUGCCACUACAAAAAAACAUGAUGUAAAUGAUGCAUGAUGUAAAACAUGAUGUAAAAAACUUGUGUAGAUCCUCCUCUAUGUCAGUCCAUGUGUAAUUUUUCCAUAAUUCUUUGUUUUUUGCAGCAUUUUUGUUAGUGUAACUGCAGAUUGUGCUGACAGUCUAUGGCAAAAAAAACAAAAACUGAAAAUGCCUCAACAUGAACCCCUGGUGGUCUCUGAGGGUGAAACCUGCUAACUGCUGCAGCUCUGUCAGCUUCAGUCUCCCAUGCAGAGCUCGGAGCGCAUGUGUGGCUCUGCACCCUUAGCAGCGUUGCUAACUCCUCAGUAAGGAAAGCCUGCUUCAUGUCAGAGUCUCUAAACUCCAGAAGAAGUCGAUAAAAGUCCCUUUCUUUCAAAAAAAAAGUCGUUAGGGGGUCUGAAAAGUAAUUGAAUCUAACAACAAAGUCGCUAGGUUUGCAACUACGUGUCCCAGACUGCAUCCCUGCUGAGAGUCCCUCCCUCCCUUCUCAUGUUGCAGGAAGAACGUAAGCGCCCGCCCCUUGUCAAUCAGUCACCAUAUAAUUUUGGAUUGGUUGUUGUGGUGAAGUUUUCCACCAAUAGGAGAGAUGUUGUGGUGUGUUUUUUUUUUCUUUUGGCAAGCCUUUUCCGCCUGUAAGACCUGUCGCUAAUGUGUGCAUGCUAUGUUUUCCUGUCUCAUACAGCGCGAUCGAGCGCCGAACGUGAUCAAAAUAAGCAGAAAAAAAGUAUCGCGGACAUAAUUUAUCAUAACUCUGGUUUUAUUUGGCCUAUCAACACAAUUUAAAAACUGGUAUAUAGGUUGAGGUCCUCACUUUUGAGAUAAGUUGAAACGGAGAGUUAACGAGGCUCCGUAUUGCAGCUACAUCCGGUUAAAUAUGUCAUGUGGCUUGAACGCUGGGGAGCGUCAAUCGAAUCGAAUCAAACCUAACUCUCAGAUGAAUCUUCAAAAUUCACCUCAGAAAUAUGCUUAUUAUUCUUCUCAGAGUACUGCAGGAUACACACACACACACACACAGACACACACACACACUCACACACACACACACACACACACACACACACACACUCAGAGUCUGUUUUUUAGCACCUGCAAAAACAUGCUAUUUACAUAUUUGACAAGAAUGCAGAGGCUUCCUUUUGCCCCUGAAAAAAAUCAAAUUUCAAACACAACUUGACUGCUCAUUUCUCCAAAAGACAACCAUGAAGCUCCAUCCAAACCUGAAGCAGGCAGUUGGUGCAUGUGUACAGUAACCUGAGGGGAGUGAGGUGACUGCUUCUGAGGAGAACAUGAGCAGUGAAGAUUCACCUUGGAGCUAGAACAGGGACGUGCACAUGAUAAUACAGGGGCAGGGGCUCAAGUUUUUUCAAGUUGUUUAUACAAUAUGGAAAUUAAUGUGAAAUUAAAAACAAAGUAUUAAUAGAAAGGUAAUGACUGUCCUGUGUAGGUGACAGUGAUAUCCAAUAGGCUAGGCACUCACGAGGCUGGCUGUGGCAAGUGUAAGUGAAAGCAACACGCACUGGCAGGAAGAACAGCAAACGCCGAUGAAGGAAAAGGGUCUUUGCAGUGAUGGGCGUUACCAGAGAGGGCGAUGGCCAGAGGACACGAAUGGGACGGGGAGGCAGCGCGUUGGGGGGGGUGCGACACGGCUCGGGCCCGCCAGUGCCCCAACGGGGCCCUAGUUCGUUAUUAUUUUUCCUCCGCUUUAAACUGGAAAAUGGCCCACUUCCCACUGGCGAAAACUCAGGAAAUUUGGCAGGACGACCGGGCCUGGUGAAAAAUUCGAUAUUCUGAAGUCGCCCAAACAAUAAAAUGCAAAAUGGCUCCAUAGCGCCCCCUAAGGUGAAAAUUCACAUGACGGCUGUACGCUUUGUCAUAUUGACACAAAAAUUGACACACACAUGUAUCUCAAUAAGAUCUACAAAAAAGUCAGUGCGGGCGUAUCUGUCAAAUGUACGGUUAAUGGGUUAUUUUGCAUUUUUUGCAGAUCUGCACACAUUGGAAUUUCGCUAACUCCUCCGAAGGCUUUCGUUCGACCGGCACCACAUUUGCGCAGGCCAAUCUACCCCCCAUGGCCAUUAAAAGUUGUACAAAUCAUGACGCUGCACCCCACGGUUUAGGUUCUAGGGGGCGCCAAAGAUAACCCAAAAUCCACAUUUUUAAAAGUCUUAUAACUUUUUAUUUUUGUCCUCACUGGCCUCCAAGUUUUCUAGGAUGAUGCAAUGUCCAGCCAUCAACACAUUUGUGAAGGAAUUUUUACUCCCCAAAAGAGCGCCCCCCCAUGGCAGGAGAAAAAAGUCAAUUUUUUCUUGUCCCCUUACAUGAAAAUACACAUUGUUGAGUGUCACGCCUGAACGCUUUGUCAUAUUGACACAAAAAUUGACAAUCAUGUGUAUCUCAAUUAGAUCUACGAAAAAGUCAAAAAGCGCGUAUCUGUAUAAUGUACGGUUAAAGGGCUAUUUCGCAUUUUUUGCCGAUUCGCACACAUUGGAAUGUGGCUAUCCCCUCCUAAGGCUUUCGUCCCACCAAUACCAAAUUUGCUCAGGGCAAUCUACACCCCAUGGCCAUUCAAAGUUGUAAAAAUCAUGACGCUGCACCCCACGGUUUACGUUCUAGGGGGCGCCAAAGAUGACCCAAAAAUCCACAUUCUUAAAAGUCAUUUUGGCCACUGCAGGAGUACAGAGUACUGCAGUUCUAGGGGGCGCCAAAGAUGACCCAAAAAUCCACAUUCUUAAAAGUCUUUUUGGCCACUGCAGGAGUACAGAGUACUGCAGGAUACACACACAUACACACACACACACACACACACACACACACACACACACACACACACUCAGAGUCUGUUUUUUAGCACCUGCAAAAACAUGCUAUUUACAUAUUUGACAACAAUGCAGAGGCUUCCUUUUGCCCCUGAAAAAAAUCAGAUUUCAAACACAACUUGACUGUUCAUUUCUCCAAAAGACAACCAUGAAGCUCCAUCCAAACCUGAAGCAGAUAGUUGGUGCAUGUGUACAGUAACCUGAGGGGAGUGAGGUGACUAUUUCUGAGGAGAACAUGAGCAGUGACGAUUCACCUUGGAGCUAGAACAGGGACGUGCACAUGAUUAUACAGGGGCAGGGGCUCAAGUUUUUUCCAGUCAUUUAUACAAUAUGGAAAUUAAUGUGAAAUUAAACCACAAAUAUGUGUGAUGAACUGUUUUUAAAACUUAAACUUCAAAUAAAAAUUGUAAACUUCAAAACAUAUGCAAAUUUUUAACAAAGAACAUAGUAAUUUACCUCUAUUUACAUCAAAAUGCAGGCAAUGGCCCAGGCGUUCUUUGUAAAAUUAUUUACAAAACACUGUAUAGUCUCACAAAUGUCACUUUUUAUUUAUGCCACUACAAAAAAACAUGAUGUAAAUGAUGCAUGAUGUAAAACAUGAUGUAAAAAACUUGUGUAGAUCCUCCUCUAUGUCAGUCCAUGUGUAAUUUUUCCAUAAUUCUUUGUUUUUUGCAGCAUUUUUGUUAGUGUAACUGCAGAUUGUGCUGACAGUGUCUAUGGCAAAAAAAACAAAAACUGAAAAUGCCUCAACAUGAACCCCUGGUGGUCUCUGAGGGUGAAACCUGCUAACUGCUGCAGCUCUGUCAGCUUCAGUCUCCCAUGCAGAGCUCGGAGCGCAUGUGUGGCUCUGCACCCUUAGCAGCGUUGCUAACUCCUCAGUAAGGAAAGCCUGCUUCAUGUCAGAGUCUCUAAACUCCAGAAGAAGUCGAUAAAAGUCCCUUUCUUUCUAAAAAAAGUCGUUAGGGGGUCUGAAAAGUAAUUGAAUCUAACAACAAAGUCGCUAGGUUUGCAACUACGUGUCCCAGACUGCAUCCCUGCUGAGAGUCCCUCCCUCCCUUCUCAUGUUGCAGGAAGAACGUAAGCGCCCGCCCCUUGUCAAUCAGUCACCAUAUAAUUUUGGAUUGGUUGUUGUGGUGAAGUUUUCCACCAAUAGGAGAGAUGUUGUGGUGUGUUUUUUUUUUCUUUUGGCAAGCCUUUUCCGCCUGUAAGACCUGUCGCUAAUGUGUGCAUGCUAUGUUUUCCUGUCUCAUAAAAGCGAGAUCGAGCGCCAAACGUGAUCAAAAUAAGCAGAAAAAAAGUAUCGCGGACAUAAUUUAUCAUAACUCUGGUUUUAUUUGGCCUAUCAACACAAUUUAAAAACUGGUAUAUAGGUUGAGGUCCUCACUUUUGAGAUAAGUUGAAACGGAGAGUUAACGAGGCUCCGUCUUGCAGCUACAUCCGGUUAAAUAUGUCAUGUGACUUGAACGCUGGGGAGCGUCAAUCGAAUCGAAUCAAACCUAACUCUCAGAUCAAUCUUCAAAAUUCACCUCAGAAAUAUGCUUAUUAUUCUUCUCAGAGUACUGCAGGAUACACACACACACACACACACACAGACACACACACACACGCACACACACACACACACACACACACACUCAGAGUCUGUUUUUUAGCACCUGCAAAUACAUGCUAUUUACAUAUUUGACAAGAAUGCAGAGGCUUCCUUUUGCCCCUGAAAAAAAUCAAAUUUCAAACACAACUUGACUGCUCAUUUCUCCAAAAGACAACCAUGAAGCUCCAUCCAAACCUGAAGCAGGCAGUUGGUGCAUGUGUACAGUAACCUGAGGGGAGUGAGGUGACUGCUUCUGAGGAGAACAUGAGCAGUGAAGAUUCACCUUGGAGCUAGAACAGGGACGUGCACAUGAUAAUACAGGGGCAGGGGCUCAAGUUUUUUCCAGUCGUUUAUACAAUAAGGAAAUUAAUGUGAAAUUAAAAAACAAAGUAUGACUGUCCUGUGUAGGUGACAGUGAUAUCCAAUAGGCUAGGCACUCACGAGGCUGGCUGUGGCAAGUGUAAGUGAAAGCAACACGCACUGGCAGGAAGAACAGCAAACGCCGAUGAAGGAAAAGGGUCUUUGCAGUGAUGGGCGUUACCAGAGAGGGCGAUGGCCAGAGGACGCGAAUGGGACGGGGAGGCAGCGCGUUGGGGGGGGGGGGGGGGGGGGUGCGACACGGCUCGGGCCCGCCAGUGCCCCAACGGGGCCCUAGUUAGGGCCCGAGCGUAGCUGCUAAGCAGCUGCGAGAGCCCUCUUGUUCCUGAUGGAUUCUUCUUUUGUUAUUAUUAUUAGGGCCCGAGCCAGCUGCAGAGCAGCCGGGCGUAGAGCCCUAUUAUUCCUGUAUAGGUUUUUAGGGCCCGAGCGUAGCUGCUAAGCAGCUGCGAGAGCCCUCUUGUUCCUGAUGGAUUCUUCUUUUGUUAUUAUUAUUAGGGCCCGAGCCAGCUGCAGAGCAGCCGGGCGUAGAGCCCUAUUAUUCCUGUAUAGGUUUUUAGGGCCCGAGCGUAGCUGCUAAGCAGCUGCGAGAGCCCUCUUGUUCCUGCAUGUUUCCUUCUUUAGGGCCCGAGCGUAGCUGCUAAGCAGCUGCGAGAGCCCUAUUAUUCCUGAUGGAUUCUUCUUUCUUCUUUAGGGCCCGAGCGUAGCUGCUAAGCAGCUGCGAGAGCCCUAUUAUUCCUGAUGGAUUCUUCUUUAGGGCCCGAGCGUAGCUGCUAAGCAGCUGCGAGAGCCCUCUUGUUCCUGCAUGUUUCCUUCUUUCGUUAUUAUUUUUCCUCCGCUUUAAACUGGAAAAUGGCCCACUUCCCACUGGCGAAAACUCAGGAAAUUUGGCAGGACGACCGGGCCUGGUGAAAAAUUCGAUAUUCUGAAGUCGCCCAAACAAUAAAAUGCAAAAUGGCUCCAUAGCGCCCCCUAAGGUGAAAAUUCACAUGACGGCUGUACGCUUUGUCAUAUUGACACAAAAAUUGACACACACAUGUAUCUCAAUAAGAUCUACAAAAAAGUCAGUGCGGGCGUAUCUGUCAAAUGUACGGUUAAUGGGUUAUUUUGCAUUUUUUGCAGAUCUGCACACAUUGGAAUUUCGCUAACUCCUCCGAAGGCUUUCGUUCGACGGGCACCACAUUUGCGCAGGCCAAUCUACCCCCCAUGGCCAUUAAAAGUUGUACAAAUCAUGACGCUGCACCCCACGGUUUACGUUCUAGGGGGCGCCAAAGAUAACCCAGAAAUCCACAUUCUUAAAAGUCUUAUAACUUUUUAUUUUUGUCCUCACUGGCCUCCAAGUUUUCUAGGAUGAUGCAAUGUCCAGCCAUCAACACAUUUGUGAAGGAAUUUUUGCUCCCCAAAAGAGCGCCCCCCAUGGCAGGAGAAAAAAGUCAAUUUUUUCUUGUCCCCUUACAUGAAAAUACACAUUGUUGAGCGUCAUGCCUGAACGCUUUGUCAUAUUGACACAAAAAUUGACAAUCACGUGUAUCUCAAUUAGAUCUACGAAAAAGUCAAAAAGCGCGUAUCUGUAUAAUGUACGGUUAAAGGGCUAUUUCGCAUUUUUUGCCGAUUCGCACACAUUGGAAUGUGGCUAUCUCCUCCUAAGGCUUUCGUCCCACCGAUACCAAAUUUGCUCAGGGCAAUCUACACCCCAUGCCCAUUCAAAGUUGUAAAAAUCAUGACGCUGCACCCCACGGUUUACGUUCUAGGGGGCACCAAAUAUGACCCAAAAAUCCACAUUCUUAAAAGUCAUUUUGGCCACUGCAGGAGUACAGAGUACUGCAGUUCUAGGGGGCGCCAAAGAUGACCCAAAAAUCCACAUCCUUAAAAGUCUUUUUGGCCACUGCAGGAGUACAGAGUACUGCAGGAUACACACACAUAUACACACACACACACACACACACACACACACACACACACACACACACACACUCAGAGUCUGUUUUUUAGCACCUGCAAAAACAUGCUGUUUACAUAUUUGACAAGAAUGCAGAGGCUUCCUUUUGCCCCUGAAAAAAAUCAGAUUUCAAACACAACUUGACUGUUCAUUUCUCCAAAAGACAACCAUGAAGCUCCAUCCAAACCUGAAGCAGAUAGUUGGUGCAUGUGUACAGUAACCUGAGGGGAGUGAGGUGACUAUUUCUGAGGAGAACAUGAGCAGUGAAGAUUCACCUUGGAGCUAGAACAGGGACGUGCACAUGAUUAUACAGGGGCAGGGGCUCAAGUUUUUUCCAGUCAUUUAUACAAUAUGGAAAUUAAUGUGAAAUUAAAACACAAAUAUGUGUGAUGAACUGUUUUUAAAACUUAAACUUCAAAUAAAAAUUGUAAACUUCAAAACAUAUGCAAAUUUUUAACAAAGAACAUAGUAAUUUACCUCUAUUUACAUCAAAAUGCAGGCAAUGGCCCAGGCGUUCUUUGUAAAAUUAUUUACAAAACACUGUAUAGUCUCACAAAUGUCACUUUUUAUUUAUGCCACUACAAAAAAACAUGAUGUAAAUGAUGCAUGAUGUAAAACAUGAUGUAAAAAACUUGUGUAGAUCCUCCUCUAUGUCAGUCCAUGUGUAAUUUUUCCAUAAUUCUUUGUUUUUUGCAGCAUUUUUGUUAGUGUAACUGCAGAUUGUGCUGACAGUGUCUAUGGCACAAAAAAAAAAAAUUUAAAAUGCCUCAACAUGAACCCCUGGUGGUCUCUGAGGGUGAAACCUGCUAACUGCUGCAGCUCUGUCAGCUUCAGUCUCCCAUGCAGAGCUCUGAGCGCAUGUGUGGCUCUGCACCCUUAGCAGCGUUGCUAACUCCUCAGUAAGGAAAGCCUGCUUCAUGUCAGAGUCUCUAAACUCCAGAAGAAGUCGAUAAAAGUCCCUUUCUUUCUAAAAAAAAGUCCGAACGUGAUCAAAAUAAGCAGAAAAAAAGUAUCGCGGACAUAAUUUAUCAUAACUCUGGUUUUAUUUGGCCUAUCAACACAAUUUAAAAACUGGUAUAUAGGUUGAGGUCCUCACUUUUGAGAUAAGUUGAAACGGAGAGUCAACGAGGCUCCGUCUUGCAGCUACAUCCGAUUAAAUAUGUCAUGUGACUUGAACGCACACACAGACACACACACACGCACACACACACACACACACACACACACACACACACUCAGAGUCUGGUUUUUAGCACCUGCAAAAACAUGCUAUUUACAUAUUUGACAAGAAUGCAGAGGCUCCUUUUGCCCCUGAAAAAAAUCAAAUUUCAAACACAACUUGACUGGUCAUUUCUCCAAAAGACAACCAUGAAGCUCCAUCCAAACCUGAAGCAGGCAGUUGGUGCAUGUGUACAGUAACCUGAGGGGAGUGAGGUGAGUGCUUCUGAGGAGAACAUGAGCAGUGAAGAUUCACCUUGGAGCUAGAACAGAGACAUGCACAUGAUUAUACAGGGGCAGGGGCUCAAGUUUUUUCCAGUCGUUUAUACAAUAUGGAAAUUAAUGUGAAACUAGGACCCCGUUGGGGCACUGGCGGGCCCGAGCCGUGUCGCGUCUCUCCCCCCCCCCCCCCCCAACGUGCUGCCUUCCCGUCCCAUUUGUGUCCUCUGGCCAUCGCCCUCUCUGUUAACGCCCAUCACUGCAAAGACCCUUUUCCUUCAUCGGCGUUUGCUGUUCUUCCUGCCAGUGCGUGUUGCUUUCACUUACACUUGCCACAGCCAGCCUCGUGAGUGCCUAGCCUAUUGGAUAUCACUGUCACCUACACAGGACAGUCAUUACCUUUCUAUUAAUACUUUGUGUUUUAAUUUCACAUUAAUUUCCAUAUUGUAUAGACGACUGGAAAAAACUUGAGCCCCUGCCCCUGUAUAAUCAUGUGCAUGUCUCUGUUCUAGCUCCAAGGUGAAUCUUCGCUGCUCAUGUUCUCCUCAGAAGCACUCACCUCACUCCCCUCAGGUUACUGUACACAUGCACCAACUGCCUGCUUCAGGUUUGGAUGGAGCUUCAUGGUUGUCUUUUGGAGAAAUGACCAGUCAAGUUGUGUUUGAAAUUUGAUUUUUUUCAGGGGCAAAAGGAGCCUCUGCAUUCUUGUCAAAUAUGUAAAUAGCAUGUUUUUGCAGGUGCUAAAAACCAGACUCUGAGUGUGUGUGUGUGUGUGUGUGUGUGUGUGUGUGUGUGUGUGUGUGUGUGUGCGUGUGUGUGUGUCUAUGUGUGCGUUCAAGUCACAUGACAUAUUUAACCGGAUGUAGCUGCAAGACGGAGCCUCGUUGACUCUCCGUUUCAACUUAUCUCAAAAGUGAGGACCUCAACCUAUAUACCAGUUUUUAAAUUGUGUUGAUAGGCCAAAUAAAACCAGAGUUAUGAUAAAUUAUGUCCGCGAUACUUGUUUUCUGCUUAUUUUGAUCACGUUCGGCGCUCGAUCGCGCUGUAUGAGACAGGAAAACAUAGCAUGCAGACAUUAGCGACAGGUCUUACAGGCGGAAAAGGCUUGCCAAAAGAAAAAAAAAACACACCACAACAUCUCUCCUAUUGGUGGAAAACUUCACCACAACAACCAAUCCAAAAUUAUAUGGUGACUGAUUGACAAGGGGCGGGCGCUUACGUUCUUCCUGCAACAUGAGAAGGGAGGGAGGGACUCUCAGCAGGGAUGCAGUCUGGGACACGUAGUUGCAAACCUAGCGACUUUGUUGUUAGAUUCAAUGACUUUUCAGACCCCCUAACGACUUUUUUUUAGAAAGAAAGGGACUUUUAUCGACUUCUUCUGGAGUUUAGAGACUCUGACAUGAAGCAGGCUUUCCUUACUGAGGAGUUAGCAACGCUGCUAAGGGUGCAAGCCACACAUGCGCUCAGAGCUCUGCAUGGGAGACUGAAGCUGACAGAGCUGCAGCAGUUAGCAGGUUUCACCCUCAGAGACCACCAGGGGUUCAUGUUGAGGCAUUUUAAUUUUUUUUUUUUUUGUGCCAUAGACACUGUCAGCACAAUCUGCAGUUACACUAACAAAAAUGCUGCAAAAAACAAAGAAUUAUGGAAAAAUUACACAUGGACUGACAUAGAGGAGGAUCUACACAAGUUUUUUACAUCAUGUUUUACAUCAUGCAUCAUUUACAUCAUGUUUUUUUGUAGUGGCAUAAAUAAAAAGUGACAUUUGUGAGACUAUACAGUGUUUUGUAAAUAAUUUUACAAAGAACGCCUGGGCCAUUGCCUGCAUUUUGAUGUAAAUAGAGGUAAAUUACUAUGUUCUUUGUUAAAAAUUUGCAUAUGUUUUGAAGUUUACAAUUUUUAUUUGAAGUUUAAGUUUUAAAAACAGUUCAUCACACAUAUUUGUGGUUUUCACAGUAAAAACGUUACUUUUUUCCACUCGGAUUUUAUGUUUUGUGUGUGAAUUUGGGUCCAAUGUGUAAAUAUAGUAUGUCAAAAUGAUAAAAUAACUGUAAAUUGACACAGGUGAGGUUGUGCUGAAAAAAAUGAUACCAGGCAAGGCAAGGUAAAAAUUUUGUAAGAGGAAAUAUAAAGGUAAAAUCUAAAGUAGUCAAAAACGGCCAAUAGUGACUCACAGACUCCACAGACAAGUCCCUUUGGCGCCACUCAGUGGGCAAAACUACUUUGUCUACUGUAAUGUAUAUUUGGGUCAUCUUUGGCGCCCCCUAAAACGUAAACCGUGGGGUGCAGCGUCAUGAUUUUUACAACUUUGAAUGGCCAUGGAGUGUAGAUUGGCCUGAGCAAAUUUGGUGUCAGUGGGACGAAAGCCUUCAGAGGAGUUAGCGAAAUUCCAAUGUGUGCGAAUCGGCAAAAAAUGCAAAAUAGCACUUUUACCGUACAUUAUACAGAUACGCGCUCUUUGACUUUUUCGUAGAUCUAAUUGAGAUACACAUGAUUGUCAAUUUUUGUGUCAUUUUGCCAAAGCGUACAGGCGUGACAGUCAACAAUGUGUAUUUUCACCUUAGGGGACAAGAAAAAAUGGACUUUUUUCUCCUGCCAUGGGGGGGCGCUCUUUUAGGGAGUAAAAAUUCCUUCACAAAUGUGUUGAUGGCUGGACAUUGCAUCAUCCUUGAAAACUUGGAGGCCAGUGAGGACAAAAAUAAAAAGUUAUAAGACUUUUAAAAAUGUGGAUUUUUGGGUUAUCUUUGGCGCCCCCUAGAACGUAAACCGUGGGGUGCAGCGUCAUGAUUUGAAUAACUUUUAAUGGCCAUGGGGUGUAGAUUGGCCUGAGCAAAUGUGGUGCCGGUGGAACGAAAGCCUUCGGAGGAGUUAGCGAAAUUCCAAUGUGUGCGAAUCGGCAAAAAAUGCGGAAUAACCCUUUAACCGUACAUUUGACAGAUACGCGCGCAUGGACUUUUUUGUAGAUCUUAUUGAGAUACAUGUGUGUGUCAAUUUUUGUGUCAUUUUGACAAAGCGUACAGGCGUGACACUCAACAAUGUGUAUUUUCACCUUAGGGGACAAGAAAAAAUGGACUUUUUUCUCCUGCCAUGGGGGGGCGCUCUUUUGGGGAGUAAAAAUUCCUUCACAAAUGUGUUGAUGGCUGGACAUUGCAUCAUCCUAGAAAACUUGGAGGCCAGUGAGGGCAAAAAUAAAAAGUUAUAAGACUUUUAAAUAUGUGGAUUUUAGGGUUAUCUUUGGCGCCCCCUAGAACCUAAACCGUGGGGUGCAGCGUCAUGAUUUGAAUAACUUUUAAUGGCCAUGGGGUGUAGAUUGGCCUGAGCAAAUGUGGUGCCGGUGGAACGAAAGCCUUCAAAGGAGUUAGCGAAAUUCCAAUGUGUGCGGAUCGGCAAAAAAUGCGAAAUAACCCUUUAACCGUACAUUUGACAGAUACGCCCGCACUGACUUUUUUGUAGAUCUUAUUGAGAUACAUGUGUGUGUCAAAUUUUGUGUCAUUUUGACAAAGCGUACAGGCGUGACACUCAAUAGUGUGAAUUUUCACCUUAGGGGGCGCUAUGGAGCCAUUUUGCAUUUUCUUGUUUGGGCGACUUCGGAAUAUCAAAUUUUUCACCAGGCCCGGUCGUCCUGCCAAAUUUCAUGAGUUUUCGCCAGUGGGAAGUGGGCCAUUUUCCAGUUCAAAGGGGAGGAAAAAGAAAAAAGAAACAAAGAAAAACCCCUUGGGGAAUAAUAGGGCUCUCGCAGCUGCUUAGCAGCUACGCUCGGGCCCUAAUUAAAAAACAAAGUAUUAAUAGAAAGGUAAUGACUGUCCUGUGUAGGUGACAGUGAUAUCCAAUAGGCUAGGCACUCACGAGGCUGGCUGUGGCAAGUGUAAGUGAAAGCAACACGCACUGGCAGGAAGAACAGCAAACGCAGAUGAAGGAAAAGGGUCUUUGCAGUGAUGGGCGUUACCAGAGAGGGCGAUGGCCAGAGGACACAAAUGGGACGGGGAGGCAGCACGUUGGGGGGGGGGGACGCGACACGGCUCGGGCCCGCCAGUGCCCCAACGGGGUCCUAGUUUCUUUAGGGCCCGAGCCAGCUGCAGAGCAGCCGGGCGUAGGCCCUAUUAUUCCCCAAGUGGUUUUUCUUUGUUUCUUUCUUUCUUUAGGGCCCGAGCGUAGCUGCUAAGCAGCUGCGAGAGCCCUCUUGUUAGGGCCCGAGCCAGCUGCAGAGCAGCCGGGCGUAGGCCCUAUUAUUCCCCAAGUGGUUUUUCUUUGUUUCUUUCUUUCUUUUUUCUUUUUCCUCCCCUUUGAACUGGAAAAUGGCCCACUUCCCACUGGCGAAAACUCAUGAAAUUUGGCAGGACGACCGGGCCUGGUGAAAAAUUUGAUAUUCUGAAGUCGCCAAAACAAUAAAAUGCAAAAUGGCUCCAUAGCGCCCCCUAAGGUGAAAAUUCACACUAUUCACUGUCACGACUGUACGCUUUGUCAAAAUGACACAAAAAUUGACACACACAUGUAUCUCAAUAAGAUCUACAAAAAAGUCAGUGCGGCCGUAUCUGUCAAAAUUACGGUUAAAGGGUUAUUUCGCAUUUUUUGCCGAUCUGCACACAUUGGAAUUUCGCUAACUCCUCCGAAGGCUUUCGUUCCACCGGCACCACAUUUGCUCAGGCCAAUCUACACCCCGUGGCCAUUAAAAGUUAUCAAAAUCAUGAUGCUGCACCCCAAGGUUUAGGUUCUAGGGGGCGCCAAAGAUAACACUAAAAUCCACAUAUUUAAAAGUCUUAUAACUUUUUAUUUUUGUCCUCACUGGCCUCCAAGUUUUCUAGGAUGAUGCAAUGUCCAGCCAUCAACACAUUUGUGAAGGAAUUUUUACUCCCCAAAAGAGCGCCCCCCCAUGGCAGGAGAAAAAAGUCAAUUUUUUCUUGUCCCCUAAGGUGAAAAUACACAUUGUUGAGUGUCACGCCUAUACGCUUUGUCAAAAUGACACAAAAAUUGACACACACAUGUAACUCAAUAAGAUCUACGAAAAAGUCAAUGCGCGCGUAUCUGUCAAAUGUACGGUUAAAGGGUUAUUUCGCAUUUUUUGCCGAUCCGCACACAUUGGAAUUUCGCUAACUCCUCCGAAGGCUUUCGUUCCACCGGCACCACAUUUGCUCAGGCCAAUCUACACCCCAUGGCCAUUAAAAGUUAUCAAAAUCAUGACGCUGCACCCCACGGUUUAGGUUCUAGGGGGCGCCAAAGAUAACCCUAAAAUCCACAUUUUUAAAAGUCUUAUAACUUUUUAUUUUUGUCCUCACUGGCCUCCAAGUUUUCUAGGAUGAUGCAAUGUCCAGCCAUCAACACAUUUGUGAAGGAAUUUUUACUCCCCAAAAGAGCGCCCCCCCAUGGCAGGAGAAAAAAGUCCAUUUUUUCUUGUCCCCUAAGGUGAAAAUACACAUUGUUGACUGUCACGCCUGUACGCUUUGGCAAAAUGACACAAAAAUUGACAAUCAUGUGUAUCUCAAUUAGAUCUACGAAAAAGUCAAAGAGCGCGUAUCUGUAUAAUGUACGGUAAAAGGGCUAUUUUGCAUUUUUUGCCGAUUCGCACACAUUGGAAUUUCGCUAACUCCUCCUAAGGCUUUCGUCCCACUGACACCAAAUUUGCUCAGGCCAAUCUACACUCCAUGGCCAUUCAAAGUUGUAAAAAUCAUGACGCUGCACCCCACGGUUUACGUUUUAGGGGGCGCCAAAGAUGACCCAAAUAUACAUUACAGUAGACAAAGUAGUUUUGCCCACUGAGUGGCGCCAAAGGGACUUGUCUGUGGAGUCUGUGAGUCACUAUUGGCCGUUUUUGACUACUUUAGAUUUUACCUUUAUAUUUCCUCUUACAAAAUUUUUACCUUGCCUUGCCUGGUAUCAUUUUUUUCAGCACAACCUCACCUGUGUCAAUUUACAGUUAUUUUACCAUUUUGACAUACUAUAUUUACACAUUGGACCCAAAUUCACACACAAAACAUAAAAUCCGAGUGGAAAAAAGUAACGUUUUUACUGUGAAAACCACAAAUAUGUGUGAUGAACUGUUUUUAAAACUUAAACUUCAAAUAAAAAUUGUAAACUUCAAAACAUAUGCAAAUUUUUAACAAAGAACAUAGUAAUUUACCUCUAUUGACAUCAAAAUGCAGGCAAUGGCCCAGGUGUUCUUUGUAAAAUUAUUUACAAAACACUGUAUAGUCUCACAAAUGUCACUUUUUAUUUAUGCCACUACAAAAAAACAUGAUGUAAAUGAUGCAUGAUGUAAAACAUGAUGUAAAAAACUUGUGUAGAUCCUCCUCUAUGUUAGUCCAUGUGUAAUUUUUCCAUAAUUCUUUGUUUUUUGCAGCAUUUUUGUUAGUGUAACUGCAGAUUGUGCUGACAGUGUCUAUGGCAAAAAAAAAAAAAAAAACUGAAAAUGCCUCAACAUGAACCCCUGGUGGUCUCUGAAGGUGAAACCUGCUAACUGCUGCAGCUCUGUCAGCUUCAGUCUCCCAUGCAGAGCUCGGAGCGCAUGUGUGGCUCUGCACCCUUAGCAGCGUUGCUAACUCCUCAGUAAGGAAAGCCUGCUUCAUGUCAGAGUCUCUAAACUCCAGAAGAAGUCGAUAAAAGUCACUUUCUUUCUAAAAAAAAGUCGUUAGGGGGUCUGAAAAGUCAUUGAAUCUAACAACAAAGUCGCUAGGUUUGCAACUACGUGUCCCAGACUGCAUCCCUGCUGAGAGUCCCUCCCUCCCUUCUCAUAUUGCAGGAAGAACGUAAGUUCCCGCCCCUUGUCAAUCAGUCACCAUAUAAUUUUGGAUUGGUUGUUGUGGUGAAGUUUUCCACCAAUAGGAGAGAUGUUGUGGUGUGUAUUUUUUUCCUUUGGCAAGCCUUUUCCGCCUGUAAGACCUGUCGCUAAUGUCUGCAUGCUAUGUUUUCCUGUCUCAUACAGCGCGAUCGAGCGCCGAACGUGAUCAAAAUAAGCAGAAAACAAGUAUCGCGGACAUAAUUUAUCAUAACUCUGGUUUUAUUUGGCCUAUCAACACAAUUUAAAAACUGGUAUAUAGGUUGAGGUCCUCACUUUUGAGAUAAAUUGAAACGGAGAGUCAACGAGGCUCCGUCUUGCAGCUACAUCCGGUUAAAUAUGUCAUGUGACUUGAACGCACACACACACACACACACAGACACACACACACGCACACACACACACUCAGAGUCUGGUUUGUAGCACCUGCAAAAACAUGCUAUUUACAUAUUUGACAAGAAUGCAGAGGCUCCUUUUGCCCCUGAAAAAAAUCAAAUUUCAAACACAACUUGACUGGUCAUUUCUCCAAAAGACAACCAUGAAGCUCCAUCCAAACCUGAAGCAGGCAGUUGGUGCAUGUGUACAGUAACCUGAGGGGAGUGAGGUGACUGCUUCUGAGGAGAACAUGAGCAGUGAAGAUUUACCUUAGAGCUAGAACAGAGACGUGCACAUGAUUAUACAGGGGCAGGGGCUCAAGUUUUUUCCAGUCGUUUAUACAAUUUGGAAAUUAAUGUGAAAUUAAAAAACAAAGUAUUAAUAGAAAGGUAAUGACUGUCCUGUGUAGGUGACAGUGAUAUCCAAUAGGCUAGGCACUCACGAGGCUGGCUGUGGCAAGUGUAAGUGAAAGCAACACGCACUGGCAGGAAGAACAGCAAACGCCGAUGAAGGAAAAGGGUCUUUGCAGUGAUGGGCGUUACCAAAGAGGGCGAUGGCCAGAGGACACAAAUGGGACGGGGAGGCAGCGCGUUGGGGGGGGGACGCGACACAGCUCGGGCCCGCCAGUGCCCCAACGGGGUCCUAGUUAGGGCCCGAGCGUAGCUGCUAAGCAGCUGCGAGAGCCCUCUUGUUCCUGUAGUUUCCUUCUUUUGUUAUUAUUAUUAUUAUUUUUCCUCCCCUUUGAACUGGAAAAUGGCCCACUUCCCACUGGCGAAAACUCAUGAAAUUUGGCAGGACGACCGGGCCUGGUGAAAAAUUUGAUAUUCCGAAGUCGCCCAAACAAGAAAAUGCAAAAUGGCUCCAUAGCGCCCCCUAAGGUGAAAAUUCACACUAUUCACUGUCACGCCUGUACGCUUUGUCAAAAUGACACAAAAAUUGACACACACAUGUAUCUCAAUAAGAUCUACAAAAAAGUCAGUGCGGGCAUAUCUGUCAAAUGUACGGUUAAAGGGUUAUUGCGCAUUUUUUGCCGAUCCGCACACAUUGGAAUUUCGCUAACUCCUCCGAAGGCUUUCGUUCCACCGGCACCACAUUUGCUCAGGCCAAUCUACACCCCAUGGCCAUUAAAAGUUAUUCAAAUCAUGACGCUGCACCCCACGGUUUAGGUUCUAGGGGGCGCCAAAGAUAACCCUAAAAUCCACAUAUUUCAAAGUCUUAUAACUUUUUAUUUUUGCCCUCACUGGCCUCCAAGUUUUCUAGGAUGAUGCAAUGUCCAGCCAUCAACACAUUUGUGAAGGAAUUUUUACUCCCCAAAAGAGCGCCCCCCCAUGGCAGGAGAAAAAAGUCCAUUUUUUCUUGUCCCAUAAGGUGAAAAUUCACACUAUUGACUGUCACGCCUGUACGCUUUGUCAAAAUUACACAAAAAUUGACACACACAUGUAUCUCAAUAAGAUCUACAAAAAAGUCAGUGCUGGCGUAUCUGUCAAAUGUACGGUUAAAGGGUUAUUGCGCAUUUUUUGCCGAUCCGCACACAUUGGAAUUUCGCUAACUCCUCCGAAGGCUUUCGUUCCACCGGCACCACAUUUGCUCAGGCCAAUCUACACCCCAUGGCCAUUAAAAGUUAUUCAAAUCAUGACGCUGCACCCCACGGUUUAGGUUCUAGGGGGCGCCAAAGAUAACCCUAAAAUCCACAUAUUUCAAAGUCUUAUAACUUUUUAUUUUUGUCCUCUCUGGCCUCCAAGUUUUCUAGGAUGAUGCAAUGUCCAGCCAUCAACACAUUUGUGAAGGAAUUUUUACUCCCCAAAAGAGCGCCCCCCCAUGGCAGGAGAAAAAAGUCAAUUUUUUCUUGUCCCAUAAGGUGAAAAUACACAUUGUUGACUGUCAUACCUGUAUGCUUUGUCAUAUUGACACAAAAUUUGACACACACAUGUAUCUCAAUAAGAUCUACGAAAAAGUCAAUGCGCGCGUAUCUGUAAAAUGUACGGUUAAAGGGCUAUUUUGCAUUUUUGCCGAUUAGCACACAUUGGAAUGUGGCUAACUCCUCCUAAGGCUUUCGUCCCACUGACACCAAAUUUGCUCAGGCCAAUCUACACCCCAUGGCCAUUCAAAGUUUUAAAAAUCAUGACGCUGCACCCCACGGUUUAGGUUCUAGGGGGCGCCAAAAAUGACCCAAAUAUCCACAUUCUUAAAAGAAUCCACAUCCCCCCCCCCCCCCCCCCAUCCCCCAUCCCCCAUCCCCCAUGGCAGGAGAAACAGUCAAGUUUUCCUGCCCAUCACUCAAUGGCUCAAUCGCAUCGCUCUCCCGGCAACAUCGUAACGAGGAGCAACUUGCCGUUUGGAUAUAUCCUAGCUGUGUUUGUGCCCUCACUCAUGGUCCAGACUUUUUUCAAAUAGGACAUGUAGUUUGUCUGCAGCGAGUGUUUUGGUAGAAACUGCGCCUCCCAUUCAUUAUAAUGGGAAAUGACCACAGACAAGUGCGCACACCAUCUUUGGACCUUGAGUGUGACGCGAUCGGGAGGGGGAGGCGGUCGCACUGGGGGCGGCGCAACGCGGCUCGGGCCCGCCAGUGCCCCAACGGGGCCCUAGUUCUUCUUCUUCUUCUUAUUAUUUUUCUGCCCCUUUGAACUGGAAAAUGGCCCACUUCCCACUGGUGAAAAGUCAUGAAAUUUGGCAGGACGACCGGGCCUGGUGAAAAAUUCGAUAUUCUGAAGUCGCCCAAAAAAUCAAAUGCAAAAUGGCUCCAUAGCGCCCCCUAAGGUGAAAAAUUCACAUGAUUGAGUGUCACGCCUGUACGCUUUGUCAAAAUGACACAAAAUUUGACACACACGUGUAUCUCAAUAAGAUCUACAAAAAAGUCAGUGCGGGCGUAUCUGUCAAAUGUACGGUUAAAGGGCUAUUUCGCAUUUUUUGCCGAUCCGCACACAUUGGAAUUUCGCUAACUCCUCCGAAGGCUUUCGUUCCACCGGCACCAAAUUUGCUCAGGCCAAUCUACACCCCAUGGCCAUUAAAAGUUGUACAAAUCAUGACGCUGCAUCCCACGGUUUACGUUCUAGGGGGCGCCAAAGAUAACCCAGAUAUCCACAUUCUUAAAAGUCGUAUAACUUUUUAUUUUUGUCCUCACUGGCCUCCAAGUUUUCUAGGAUGAUGCAAUGUCCAGCCAUCAACACAUUUGUGAAGGAAUUUUUACUCCCCAAAAGAGCGCCCCCCAUGGCAGGAGAAAAAAGUCCAUUUUUUCUUGUCUCCUAAGGCGAAAAUUCACACUAUUGACUGUCACGCCUUUACGCUUUGUCAUAUUGACACAAAAAUUGACACACACAUGUAUCUCAAUAAGAUCUACAAAAAAGUCAGUGCGGGCGAAUCUGUCAAAUGUACGGUGAAAGGGCUAUUUCGCAUUUUUUGCCGAUCCGCACACAUUGGAAUUUCGCUAACUCCUCCGAAGGCUUUCGUUCCAAAGGCACCACAUUUGCUGAGGCCAAUCUACACCCCAUGGCCAUUAAAAGUUGUACAAAUCAUGACGCUGCACCCCACGGUUUACGUUCUAGGGGGCGCCAAAGAUAACCCAAAAAUCCACAGUCUUAAAAGUCUUAUAACUUUUUAUUUUUGUCCUCACUGGCCUCCAAGUUCUCUAGGAUGAUGCAAUGUCCAGCCAUCAACACAUUUGUGAAGGAAUUUUUACUCGCCAAAAGAGCGCCCCCCAUGGCAGGAGAAAAAAGUCCAUUUUUUCUUGUCUCCUAAGGCGAAAAUACACAUUGUUGACUGUCACGCCUUUACGCUUUGUCAAAAUGACACAAAAUUUGACACACACAUGUAUCUCAAUAAGAUCUACAAAAAAGUCAGUGCGGGCGUAUCUGUCAAAUGUACGGUUAAAGGGUUAUUUCGCAUUUUUUGCCGAUCCGCACACAUUGGAAUUUCGCUAACUCCUCCUAAAUCUUUUGUCCCAUCGGCUUCAAAUUUGCUCAGGUCAAUCUACACCCCAUGGCCAUUCAAAGUUGUACAACUCAUGACGCUGCACCCCACAGUUUACGUUCUAGGGGGCGCCAAAGAGGACCCAAAUAUCCACAUUUUUAAAAGUCUUAUAACUUUUUAUUUUUGUCCUCACUGGCCUCCAAGUUUUCUAGGAUGAUGCAAUGUCCAGCCAUCAACACAUUUGUGAAGGAAUUUUUACUCCCCAAAAGAGCGCCCCCCCAUGGCAGGAGAAAAAAGUCCAUUUUUUCUUGUCCACUAAGGUGAAAAUACACAUUGUUGAGUGCUACGCCUGUAUGUUUUGUCGUAUUGACACAAAAUUUUACAUACACGUGUAUUUCAAUAAGAUCUUCGAAAAAGUCAAUGGCCACGUAUUUGUAAAAUGUACGGUUAAAGGGUUAUUCCGCAUUUUUUGCCGAUACGCACACAUUGGAAUUUCGCUAACUCCUCCGAAGGCUUUCAUUCCACCGGCACCACAUUUGCUCAGGCCAAUCUACACCCCAUGGCCAUUAAAAGUUAUUCAAAUCAUGAUGCUGCACCCCAUGGUUUAGGUUCUAGGGGGCGCAAAAAAUAACCCAAAAAUCCACAUUCUUAAAUGUUUUAUAACUUUUUUUUUUUAUCCUCACUGGCCUCCAAGUUUUCUAGGAUGAUGCAAUGUCCAGCCAUCAACACAUUUGUGAAGGAAUUUUUACUCCCCAAAAGAGCGCCCCCCCAUGGUAGGAGAAAAAAGUCAAUUUUUUCUUGUCCCCUUACAUGAAAAUACACAUUGUUGAGUGUCACGCCUGAACGCUUUGUCAUAUUGACACAAAAAUUGACAAUCAUGUGUAUCUCAAUUAGAUCUACGAAAAAGUCAAAGAGCGCGUAUCUGUAUAAUGUACGGUUAAAGGGCUAUUUUGCAUUUUUUGCCGAUUCGCACACAUUGGAAUGUGGCUAUCUCCUCCUAAGGCUUUCGUCCCACCGAUACCAAAUUUGCACAGGGCAAUCUACACCCCAUGCUUAUUCAAAGUUGUAAAAAUCAUGACGCUGCACCCCACGGUUUACGUUCUAGGGGGUGCCAAAGAUGACCCAAAUAUACAUUACAGUAGACAAAGUAGUUUUGCCCACUGAGUGGCGCCAAAGGGACUUGUCUGUGGAGUCUGUGAGUCACUAUUGGCCGUUUUUGACUACUUUAGAUUUUACCUUUAUAUUUCCUCUUACAAAAUUUUUACCUUGCCUUGCCUGGUAUCAUUUUUUUCAGCACAACCUCACCUGUGUCAAUUUACAGUUAUUUUAUCAUUUUGACAUACUAUAUUUACACAUUGGACCCAAAUUCACACACAAAACAUAAAAUCCAAGUGGAAAAAAGUAACGUUUUUUCUGUGAAAACCACAAAUAUGUGUGAUGAACUGUUUUUAAAACUUAAACUUCAAAUAAAAAUUGUAAACUUCAAAACAUAUGCAAAUUUUUAACAAAGAACAUAGUAAUUUACCUCUAUUUACAUCAAAAUGCAGGCAAUGGCCCAGGCGUUCUUUGUAAAAUUAUUUACAAAACACUGUAUAGUCUCACAAAUGUCACUUUUUAUUUAUGCCACUACAAAAAAACAUGAUGUAAAUGAUGCAUGAUGUAAAACAUGAUGUAAAAAACUUGUGUAGAUCCUCCUGUAUGUCAGUCCAUGUGUAAUUUUUCCAUAAUUCUUUGUUUUUUGCAGCAUUUUUGUUAGUGUAACUGCAGAUUGUGCUGACAGUGUCUAUGGCACAAAAAAAAAAAAAACUGAAAAUGCCUCAACAUGAACCCCUGGUGGUCUCUGAGGGUGAAACCUGCUAACUGCUGCAGCUCUGUCAGCUUCAGUCUCCCAUGCAGAGCUCGGAGCGCAUGUGUGGCUCUGCACCCUUAGCAGCGUUGCUAACUCCUCAGUAAGGAAAGCCUGCUUCAUGUCAGAGUCUCUAAACUCCAGAAGAAGUCGAUAAAAGUCACUUUCUUUCUAAAAAAGUCGUUAGGGGGUCUGAAAAGUCAUUGAAUCUAACAACAAAGUUGCAAGGUUUGCAACUACGUGUCCCAGACUGCAUCCCUGCUGAGAGUCCCUCCCUCCCUUCUCAUAUUGCAGGAAGAACGUAAGCGCCCGCCCCUUGUCAAUCAGUCACCAUAUAAUUUUGGAUUGGUUGUUGUGGUGAAGUUUUCCACCAAUAGGAGAAAUGUUGUGGUGUGUUUUUUUUUUCCUUUGGCAAGCCUUUUCCGCCUGUAAGACCUGUCGCUAAUGUCUGCAUGCUAUGUUUUCCUGUCUCAUACAGCGCGAUCGAGCGCCGAACGUGAUCAAAAUAAGCAGAAAACAAGUAUCGCGGACAUAAUUUAUCAUAACUCUGGUUUUAUUUGGCCUAUCAACACAAUUUAAAAACUGGUAUAUAGGUUGAGGUCCUCACUUUUGAGAUAAGUUGAAACGGAGUCAACGAGGCUCCGUCUUGCAGCUACAUCCGGUUAAAUAUGUCAUGUGACUUGAACGCACACACACACACACAGACACACACACACACUCAGAGUCUGGUUUUUAGCACCUGCAAAAACAUGCUAUUUACAUAUUUGACAAGAAUGCAGAGGCUCCUUUUGCCCCUGAAAAAAAUCACAUUUCAAACACAACUUGACUGCUCAUUUCUCCAAAAGACAACCAUGAAGCUCCAUCCAAACCUGAAGCAGGCAGUUGGUGCAUGUGUACAGUAACCUGAGGGGAGUGAGGUGAGUGCUUCUGAGGAGAACAUGAGCAGUGAAGAUUCACCUUGGAGCUAGAACAGAGACAUGCACAUGAUUAUACAGGGGCAGGGGCUCAAGUUUUUUCCAGUCGUUUAUACAAUAUGGAAAUUAAUGUGAAAUUAAAACACAAAGUAUUAAUAGAAAGGUAAUGACUGUCCUGUGUAGGUGACAGUGAUAUCCAAUAGGCUAGGCACUCACGAGGCUGGCUGUGGCAAGUGUAAGUGAAAGCAACACGCACUGGCAGGAAGAACAGCAAACGCCGAUGAAGGAAAAGGGUCUUUGCAGUGAUGGGCGUUACCAGAGAGGGCGAUGGCCAGAGGACACAAAUGGGACGGGGAGGCAGCACGUUGGGGGGGGGGGGGGGGGGACACGGCUCGGGCCCGCCAGUGCCCCAACGGGGUCCUAGUCUUUAGGGCCCGAGCGUAGCUGCUAAGCAGCUGCGAGAGCCCUCUUGUUCCUGCAUGUUUCCUUCUUUCGUUAUUAUUUUUCCUCCGCUUUAAACUGGAAAAUGGCCCACUUCCCACUGGCGAAAACUCAGGAAAUUUGGCAGGACGACCGGGCCUGGUGAAAAAUUCGAUAUUCUGAAGUCGCCCAAACAAUAAAAUGCAAAAUGGCUCCAUAGCGCCCCCUAAGGUGAAAAUUCACAUGACGGCUGUACGCUUUGUCAUAUUGACACAAAAAUUGACACACACAUGUAUCUCAAUAAGAUCUACAAAAAAGUCAGUGCGGGCGUAUCUGUCAAAUGUACGGUUAAUGGGUUAUUUUGCAUUUUUUGCAGAUCUGCACACAUUGGAAUUUCGCUAACUCCUCCGAAGGCUUUCGUUCGACGGGCACCACAUUUGCGCAGGCCAAUCUACCCCCCAUGGCCAUUAAAAGUUGUACAAAUCAUGACGCUGCACCCCACGGUUUACGUUCUAGGGGGCGCCAAAGAUAACCCAAAAUCCACAUUCUUAAAAGUCUUAUAACUUUUUAUUUUUGUCCUCACUGGCCUCCAAGUUUUCUAGGAUGAUGCAAUGUCCAGCCAUCAACACAUUUGUGAAGGAAUUUUUGCUCCCCAAAAGAGCGCCCCCCCAUGGCAGGAGAAAAAAGUCAAUUUUUUCUUGUCCCCUUACAUGAAAAUACACAUUGUUGAGCGUCAUGCCUGAACGCUUUGUCAUAUUGACACAAAAAUUGACAAUCACGUGUAUCUCAAUUAGAUCUACGAAAAAGUCAAAAAGCGCGUAUCUGUAUAAUGUACGGUUAAAGGGCUAUUUCGCAUUUUUUGCCGAUUCGCACACAUUGGAAUGUGGCUAUCUCCUCCUAAGGCUUUCGUCCCACCGAUACCAAAUUUGCUCAGGGCAAUCUACACCCCAUGCCCAUUCAAAGUUGUAAAAAUCAUGACGCUGCACCCCACGGUUUACGUUCUAGGGGGCACCAAAUAUGACCCAAAAAUCCACAUUCUUAAAAGUCAUUUUGGCCACUGCAGGAGUACAGAGUACUGCAGUUCUAGGGGGCGCCAAAGAUGACCCAAAAAUCCACAUCCUUAAAAGUCUUUUUGGCCACUGCAGGAGUACAGAGUACUGCAGGAUACACACACAUAUACACACACACACACACACACACACACACACACACACACACACACACACACACACUCAGAGUCUGUUUUUUAGCACCUGCAAAAACAUGCUGUUUACAUAUUUGACAAGAAUGCAGAGGCUUCCUUUUGCCCCUGAAAAAAAUCAGAUUUCAAACACAACUUGACUGUUCAUUUCUCCAAAAGACAACCAUGAAGCUCCAUCCAAACCUGAAGCAGAUAGUUGGUGCAUGUGUACAGUAACCUGAGGGGAGUGAGGUGACUAUUUCUGAGGAGAACAUGAGCAGUGAAGAUUCACCUUGGAGCUAGAACAGGGACGUGCACAUGAUUAUACAGGGGCAGGGGCUCAAGUUUUUUCCAGUCAUUUAUACAAUAUGGAAAUUAAUGUGAAAUUAAAACACAAAUAUGUGUGAUGAACUGUUUUUAAAACUUAAACUUCAAAUAAAAAUUGUAAACUUCAAAACAUAUGCAAAUUUUUAACAAAGAACAUAGUAAUUUACCUCUAUUUACAUCAAAAUGCAGGCAAUGGCCCAGGCGUUCUUUGUAAAAUUAUUUACAAAACACUGUAUAGUCUCACAAAUGUCACUUUUUAUUUAUGCCACUACAAAAAAACAUGAUGUAAAUGAUGCAUGAUGUAAAACAUGAUGUAAAAAACUUGUGUAGAUCCUCCUCUAUGUCAGUCCAUGUGUAAUUUUUCCAUAAUUCUUUGUUUUUUGCAGCAUUUUUGUUAGUGUAACUGCAGAUUGUGCUGACAGUGUCUAUGGCACAAAAAAAAAAAAAUUUAAAAUGCCUCAACAUGAACCCCUGGUGGUCUCUGAGGGUGAAACCUGCUAACUGCUGCAGCUCUGUCAGCUUCAGUCUCCCAUGCAGAGCUCUGAGCGCAUGUGUGGCUCUGCACCCUUAGCAGCGUUGCUAACUCCUCAGUAAGGAAAGCCUGCUUCAUGUCAGAGUCUCUAAACUCCAGAAGAAGUCGAUAAAAGUCCCUUUCUUUCUAAAAAAAAGUCCGAACGUGAUCAAAAUAAGCAGAAAAAAAGUAUCGCGGACAUAAUUUAUCAUAACUCUGGUUUUAUUUGGCCUAUCAACACAAUUUAAAAACUGGUAUAUAGGUUGAGGUCCUCACUUUUGAGAUAAGUUGAAACGGAGAGUCAACGAGGCUCCGUCUUGCAGCUACAUCCGAUUAAAUAUGUCAUGUGACUUGAACGCACACACAGACACACACACACGCACACACACACACACACACACACACACACACACACACACUCAGAGUCUGGUUUUUAGCACCUGCAAAAACAUGCUAUUUACAUAUUUGACAAGAAUGCAGAGGCUCCUUUUGCCCCUGAAAAAAAUCAAAUUUCAAACACAACUUGACUGGUCAUUUCUCCAAAAGACAACCAUGAAGCUCCAUCCAAACCUGAAGCAGGCAGUUGGUGCAUGUGUACAGUAACCUGAGGGGAGUGAGGUGAGUGCUUCUGAGGAGAACAUGAGCAGUGAAGAUUCACCUUGGAGCUAGAACAGAGACAUGCACAUGAUUAUACAGGGGCAGGGGCUCAAGUUUUUUCCAGUCGUUUAUACAAUAUGGAAAUUAAUGUGAAAUUAAAACACAAAGUAUUAAUAGAAAGGUAAUGACUGUCCUGUGUAGGUGACAGUGAUAUCCAAUAGGCUAGGCACUCACGAGGCUGGCUGUGGCAAGUGUAAGUGAAAGCAACACGCACUGGCAGGAAGAACAGCAAACGCAGAUGAAGGAAAAGGGUCUUUGCAGUGAUGGGCGUUACCAGAGAGGGCGAUGGCCAGAGGACACAAAUGGGACGGGGAGGCAGCACGUUGGGGGGGGGGACGCGACACGGCUCGGGCCCGCCAGUGCCCCAACGGGGUCCUAGUCUUCUUAUUAUUUUUCUGCCCCUUUGAACUGGAAAAUGGCCCACUUCCCACUGGUGAAAAGUCAUGAAAUUUGGCAGGACGACCGGGCCUGGUGAAAAAUUCGAUAUUCUGAAGUCGCCCAAAAAAUCAAAUGCAAAAUGGCUCCAUAGCGCCCCCUAAGGUGAAAAAUUCACAUGAUUGAGUGUCACGCCUGUACGCUUUGUCAAAAUGACACAAAAUUUGACACACACGUGUAUCUCAAUAAGAUCUACAAAAAAGUCAGUGCGGGCGUAUCUGUCAAAUGUACGGUUAAAGGGCUAUUUCGCAUUUUUUGCCGAUCCGCACACAUUGGAAUUUCGCUAACUCCUCCGAAGGCUUUCGUUCCACCGGCACCAAAUUUGCUCAGGCCAAUCUACACCCCAUGGCCAUUAAAAGUUGUACAAAUCAUGACGCUGCAUCCCACGGUUUACGUUCUAGGGGGCGCCAAAGAUAACCCAGAAAUCCACAUUCUUAAAAGUCGUAUAACUUUUUAUUUUUGUCCUCACUGGCCUCCAAGUUUUCUAGGAUGAUGCAAUGUCCAGCCAUCAACACAUUUGUGAAGGAAUUUUUACUCCCCAAAAGAGCGCCCCCCCAUGGCAGGAGAAAAAAGUCAAUUUUUUCUUGUCUCCUAAGGCGAAAAUUCACACUAUUGACUGUCACGCCUUUACGCUUUGUCAUAUUGACACAAAAAUUGACACACACAUGUAUCUCAAUAAGAUCUACAAAAAAGUCAGUGCGGGCGUAUCUGUCAAAUGUACGGUGAAAGGGCUAUUUCGCAUUUUUUGCCGAUCCGCACACAUUGGAAUUUCGCUAACUCCUCCGAAGGCUUUCGUUCCAAAGGCACCACAUUUGCUGAGGCCAAUCUACACCCCAUGGCCAUUAAAAGUUGUACAAAUCAUGACGCUGCACCCCACGGUUUACGUUCUAGGGGGCGCCAAAGAUAACCCAAAAAUCCACAGUCUUAAAAGUCUUAUAACUUUUUAUUUUUGUCCUCACUGGCCUCCAAGUUCUCUAGGAUGAUGCAAUGUCCAGCCAUCAACACAUUUGUGAAGGAAUUUUUACUCGCCAAAAGAGCGCCCCCCCAUGGCAGGAGAAAAAAGUCCAUUUUUUCUUGUCUCCUAAGGCGAAAAUACACAUUGUUGACUGUCACGCCUUUACGCUUUGUCAAAAUGACACAAAAUUUGACACACACAUGUAUCUCAAUAAGAUCUACAAAAAAGUCAGUGCGGGCGUAUCUGUCAAAUGUACGGUUAAAGGGUUAUUUCGCAUUUUUUGCCGAUCCGCACACAUUGGAAUUUCGCUAACUCCUCCUAAAUCUUUUGUCCCAUCGGCUUCAAAUUUGCUCAGGUUAAUCUACACCCCAUGGCCAUUCAAAGUUGUACAAAUCAUGACGCUGCACCCCACAGUUUACGUUCUAGGGGGCGCCAAAGAGGACCCAAAUAUCCACAUUUUUAAAAGUCUUAUAACUUUUUAUUUUUGUCCUCACUGGCCUCCAAGUUUUCUAGGAUGAUGCAAUGUCCAGCCAUCAACACAUUUGUGAAGGAAUUUUUUCUCCCCAAAAGAGCGCCCCCCCAUGGCAGGAGAAAAAGUCAAGUUUUUCCUGCCCAUCGCUCAAUGGCUCAAACACAUCGCUCUCUCUGCAAAACCGAAAGGAGGAGCAACUUGCCAUUUGGAUAUAUACUAGCUGUGUUUGUGCCCUCACUCAUGGUCCAGACCUUUUCAAAUAGGACAUGUAGUUUGUCUGCAGCGAGCGUUUUGGUAGAAACUGCGCCUCCCAUUCAUUAUAAUGGGAAAUGACCACAGACAAGUGCGCACACCAUCUUUGGACCUUGAGUGUGACGCGAUCGGGAGGGGGAGGCGGUCGCGCUGGGGGCGGCGCGACGCGGCUCGGGCCCGACAGUGCCCCACCGGGGCCCUAGUUAGGGCCCGAGCGUAGCUGCUAAGCAGCUGCGAGAGCCCUAUUAUUCCCCAAGUGGUUUUUCUUUGUUUCUUUUUUCUUUUUCCUCCCCUUUGAACUGGAAAAUGGCCCACUUCCCACUGGCGAAAACUCAUGAAAUUUGGCAGGACGACCGGGCCUGGUGAAAAAUUUGAUAUUCUGAAGUCGCCCAAACAAUACAAUGCAAAAUGGCUCCAUAGCGCCCCCUAAGGUGAAAAAUUCACCUGACGCCUGUACGCUUUGUCAAAAUGACACAAAAAUUGACACACACAUGUAUCUCAAUAAGAUCUACAAAAAAGUCAGUGCGGGCGUAUCUGUCAAAUGUACGGUUAAAGGGUUAUUGCGCAUUUUUUGCCGAUCCGCACACAUUGGAAUUUCGCUAACUCCUCCGAAGGCUUUCGUUCCACCGGCACCACAUUUGCUCAGGCCAAUCUACACCCCAUGGCCAUUAAAAGUUAUUCAAAUCAUGACGCUGCACCCCACGGUUUAGGUUCUAGGGGGCGCCAAAGAUAACCCUAAAAUCCACAUUUUUAAAAGUCUUAUAACUUUUUAUUUUUGCCCUCACUGGCCUCCAAGUUUUCUAGGAUGAUGCAAUGUCCAGCCAUCAACACAUGUGUGAAGGAAUUUUUACUCCCCAAAAGAGCGCCCCCCCAUGGCAGGAGAAAAAAGUCCAUUUUUUCUUGUCCCCUAAGGUGAAAAUACACAUUGUUGACUGUCACGCCUAUACGCUUUGUCAAAAUGACACAAAAAUUGACACACACAUGUAUCUCAAUAAGAUCUUCGAAAAAGUCAAUGCGCGCGUAUCUGUCUAAUGUACGGUUAAAGGGUUAUUCCGCAUUUUUUGCCGAUUCGCACACAUUGGAAUUUCGCUAACUCCUCCGAAGGCUUUCGUUCCACCGGCACCACAUUUGCUCAGGCCAAAUUACACCCCAUGGCCAUUAAAAGUUAUUCAAAUCAUGACGCUGCACCCCACGGUUUACGUUCUAGGGGGCGCCAAAGAUAACCCAAAAAUCCACAUUUUUAAAAGUCUUAUAACUUUUUAUUUUUGUCCUCACUGGCCUCCAAGUUUUCUAGGAUGAUGCAAUGUCCAGCCAUCAACACAUUUGUGAAGGAAUUUUUACUCCCUAAAAGAGCGCCCCCCCAUGGCAGGAGAAAAAAGUCCAUUUUUUCUUGUCCCCUAAGGUGAAAAUACACAUUGUUGACUGUCACGCCUGUACGCUUUGGCAAAAUGACACAAAAAUUGACAAUCAUGUGUAUCUCAAUUAGAUCUACGAAAAAGUCAAAGAGCGCGUAUCUGUAUAAUGUACGGUAAAAGGGCUAUUUUGCAUUUUUUGCCAAUUCGCACACAUUGGAAUUUCGCUAACUCCUCCUAAGGCCUUCGUCCCACUGACACCAAAUUUGCUCAGGCCAAUCUACAUCCCGUGGCCAUUAAAAGUUAUUCAAAUCAUGACGCUGCACCCCACGGUUUACGUUCUAGGGGGCGCCAAAGAUAACCCAAAAAUCCACAUUUUUAAAAGUCUUAUAACUUUUUAUUUUUGUCCUCACUGGCCUCCAAGUUUUCUAGGAUGAUGCAAUGUCCAGCCAUCAACACAUUUGUGAAGGAAUUUUUACUCCCUAAAAGAGCGCCCCCCAUGGCAGGAGAAAAAAGUCAAUUUUUUCUUGUCCCCUAAGGUGAAAAUACACAUUGUUGAGUGUCACGCCUGUACGCUUUGGCAAAAUGACACAAAAAUUGACAAUCAUGUGUAUCUCAAUUAGAUCUACGAAAAAGUCAAAGAGCGCGUAUCUGUAUAAUGUACGGUAAAAGGGCUAUUUUGCAUUUUUUGCCGAUUCGCACACAUUGGAAUUUCGCUAACUCCUCCUAAGGCUUUCGUCCCACUGACACCAAAUUUGCUCAGGCCAAUCUACACUCCAUGGCCAUUCAAAGUUGUAAAAAUCAUGACGCUGCACCCCACGGUUUACGUUUUAGGGGGCGCCAAAGAUGACCCAAAUAUACAUUACAGUAGACAAAGUAGUUUUGCCCACUGAGUGGCGCCAAAGGGACUUGUCUGUGGAGUCUGUGAGUCACUAUUGGCCGUUUUUGACUACUUUAGAUUUUACCUUUAUAUUUCCUCUUACAAAAUUUUUACCUUGCCUUGCCUGGUAUCAUUUUUUUCAGCACAACCUCACCUGUGUCAAUUUACAGUUAUUUUAUCAUUUUGACAUACUAUAUUUACACAUUGGACCCAAAUUCACACACAAAACAUAAAAUCCGAGUGGAAAAAAGUAACGUUUUUACUGUGAAAACCACAAAUAUGUGUGAUGAACUGUUUUUAAAACUUAAACUUCAAAUAAAAAUUGUAAACUUCAAAACAUAUACAAAUUUUUAACAAAGAACAUAGUAAUUUACCUCUAUUUACAUCAAAAUGCAGGCAAUGGCCCAGGUGUUCUUUGUAAAAUUAUUUACAAAACACUGUAUAGUCUCACAAAUGUCACUUUUUAUUUAUGCCACUACAAAAAAACAUGAUGUAAAUGAUGCAUGAUGUAAAACAUGAUGUAAAAAACUUGUGUAGAUCCUCCUCUAUGUCAGUCCAUGUGUAAUUUUUCCAUAAUUCUUUGUUUUUUGCAGCAUUUUUGUUAGUGUAACUGCAGAUUGUGCUGACAGUGUCUAUGGCAAAAAAAAAAAAAAAAAAAAAAACUGAAAAUGCCUCAACAUGAACCCCUGGUGGUCUCUGAGGGUGAAACCUGCUAACUGCUGCAGCUCUGUCAGCUUUAGUCUCCCAUGCAGAGCUCGGAGCGCAUGUGUGGCUCUGCACCCUUAGCAGCGUUGCUAACUCCUCAGUAAGGAAAGCCUGCUUCAUGUCAGAGUCUCUAAACUCCAGAAGAAGUCGAUAAAAGUCACUUUCUUUCUAAAAAAAAAAGUCGUUAGGGGGUCUGAAAAGUCAUUGAAUCUAACAACAAAGUCGCUAGGUUUGCAACUACGUGUCCCAGACUGCAUCCCUGCUGAGAGUCCCUCCCUCCCUUCUCAUGUUGCAGGAAGAACGUAAGCGCCCGCCCCUUGUCAAUCAGUCACCAUAUAAUUUUGGAUUGGUUGUUGUGGUGAAGUUUUCCACCAAUAGGAGAGAUGUUGUGGUGUGUUUUUUUUUUCCUUUGGCAAGCCUUUUCCGCCUGUAAGACCUGUCGCUAAUGUCUGCAUGCUAUGUUUUCCUGUCUCAUACAGCGCGAUCGAGCGCCGAACGUGAUCAAAAUAAGCAGAAAACAAGUAUCGCGGACAUAAUUUAUCAUAACUCUGGUUUUAUUUGGCCUAUCAACACAAUUUAAAAACUGGUAUAUAGGUUGAGGUCCUCACUUUUGAGAUAAGUUGAAACGGAGUCAACGAGGCUCCGUCUUGCAGCUACAUCCGGUUAAAUAUGUCAUGUGACUUGAACGCACACACACACACACACACACACACACACACACGCACACACACACACUCAGAGUCUGGUUUUUAGCACCUGCAAAAACAUGCUAUUUACAUAUUUGACAAGAAUGCAGAGGCUCCUUUUGCCCCUGAAAAAAAUCAAAUUUCAAACACAACUUGACUGGUCAUUUCUCCAAAAGACAACCAUGAAGCUCCAUCCAAACCUGAAGCAGGCAGUUGGUGCAUGUGUACAGUAACCUGAGGGGAGUGAGGUGAGUGCUUCUGAGGAGAACAUGAGCAGUGAAGAUUCACCUUAACAUAAUUAAUUCACCUCCUGUGUAGGUGACAGUGAUAUCCAAUAGGCUAGGCACUCACGAGGCUGGCUGUGGCAAGUGUAAGUGAAAGCAACACGCACUGGCAGGAAGAACAGCAAACGCCGAUGAAGGAAAAGGGUCUUUGCAGUGAUGGGCGUUACCAGAGAGGGCGAUGGCCAGAGGACACAAAUGGGACAGGGAGGCAGCGCGUUGGGGGGGGGGACGCGACACGGCUCGGGCCCGCCAGUGCCCCAACGGGGUCCUAGUUUGUUAUUAUUAUUUUUCCUCCCCUUUGAACUGGAAAAUGGCCCACUUCCCACCCGCGAAAACUCAUGAAAUUUGGCAGGACGACCGGGCCUGGUGAAAAAUUUGAUAUUCCGAAGUCGCCCAAACAAGAAAAUGCAAAAUGGCUCCAUAGCGCCCCCUAAGGUGAAAAUUCACACUAUUGACUGUCACGCCUGUACGCUUUGUCAAAAUGACACAAAAAUUGACACACACAUGUAUCUCAGUAAGAUCUACAAAAAAGUCAGUGCGGGCGUAUCUGUCAAAUGUACGGUUAAAGGGUUAUUUCGCAUUUUUUGCCGAUCCGCACACAUUGGAAUUUCGCUAACUCCUCCGAAGGCUUUCGUUCCACCGGCACCACAUUUGCUCAGGCCAAUCUACACCCCAUGGCCAUUAAAAGUUAUUCAAAUCAUGACGCUGCACCCCAAGGUUUAGGUUCUAGGGGGCGCCAAAGAUAACCCUAAGAUCCACAUAUUUAAAAGUCUUAUAACUUUUUAUUUUUGCCCUCACUGGCCUCCAAGUUUUCUACGAUGAUGCAAUGUCCAGCCAUCAACACAUUUGUGAAGGAAUUUUUACUCCCCAAAAGAGCGCCCCCCCAUGGCAGGAGAAAAAAGUCAAUUUUUUCUUGUCCCCUAAGGUGAAAAUACACAUUGUUGAGUGUAACACCUGUACGCUUUGGCAAAAUGACACAAAAAUUGACACACACAUGUAUCUCAAUAAGAUCUACGAAAAAGUCAAUGCGCGCGUAUCUGUCAAAUGUACGGUUAAAGGGUUAUUCCGCAUUUUUUGCCGAUCCGCACACAUUGGAAUUUCGCUAACUCCUCCGAAGGCUUUCGUUCCACCGGCACCACAUUUGCUCAGGCCAAUCUACACCCCAUGGCCAUUAAAAGUUAUUCAAAUCAUGACGCUGCAUCCCACGGUUUAGGUUCUAGGGGGCGCCAAAGAUAACCCUAAAAUCCACAUAUUUAAAAGUCUUAUAACUUUUUAUUUUUGUCCUCACUGGCCUCCAAGUUUUCUAGGAUGAUGCAAUGUCCAGCCAUCAACACAUUUGUGAAGGAAUUUUUACUCCCCAAAAGAGCGCCCCCCCAUGGCAGGAGAAAAAAGUCAAUUUUUUCUUGUCCCCUAAGGUGGAAAUUCACACUAUUGACUGUCACGCCUGUACGCUUUAUCAUAUUGACACAAAAAUUGACACACAUAUGUAUCUCAAUAAGAUCUACAAAAAAGUCAAUUCGCGCGUAUCUGUCAAAUGUACGGUUAAAGGGCUAUUUUGCAUUUUUUGCCGAUUCGCACACAUUGGAAUGUGGCUAACUCCUCCUAAGGCUUUCGUCCCACUGACACCAAAUUUGCUCAGGCCAAUCUACACCCCAUGGCCAUUCAAAGUUGUAAAAAUCAUGACGCUGCACCCCACGGUUUACGUUCUAGGGGGCGCCAAAGAUGACCCAAAAAUCCACAUUCUUAAAAGAAUCCACAUCCCCCCCCCUAUGGCAGGAGAAAAAGUCAAGUUUUUCCUGCCCAUCGCUCAAUGGCUCAAUCGCAUCGCUCUCCAGGCAACACCGUAAGGAGGAGCAACCUGGCAUUUCGAUAUAUCAUAGCUGUGUUUGUGCCCUCACUCAUGGUCCAGACUUUUUUCAAAUAGGACAUGAAGUUUGUCUGCAGCGAGUGUUUUGGUAGAAACUGCGCCUCCCAUUCAUUAUAAUGGGAAAUGACCACAGACAAGUGCGCACACCAUCUUUGGUUCUUGAGUGUGACUCGAUCGGGACGGGGAGGCGGUCGCACUGGGGGCGGCGCGACGCGGCUCGGGCCCGACAGUGCCCCACCGGGGCCCUAGUUCUUUGUUUCUUUCUUUCUUUCUUUCUUUCUUCUUUUUCCUCCCCUUUGAACUGGAAAAUGGCCCACUUCCCACUGGCGAAAACUCAUGAAAUUUGGCAGGACGACCGGGCCUGGUGAAAAAUUCGAUAUUCUGAAGUCGCCCAAACAAUAAAAUGCAAAAUGGCUCCAUAGCGCCCCCUAAGGUGGAAAUUCACACUAUUGACUGUCACGCCUGUACGCUUUGUCAUAUUGACACAAAAAUUGACACACAUAUGUAUCUCAAUAAGAUCUACAAAAAAGUCAGUGCGGCCGUAUCUGUCAAAAUUACGGUUAAAGGGUUAUUUCGCAUUUUUUGCCGAUCCGCACACAUUGGAAUUUUGCUAACUCCUCCGAAGGCUUUCGUUCCACCGGCACCACAUUUGCUCAGGCCAAUCUACACCCCGUGGCCAUUAAAAGUUAUCAAAAUCAUGACGCUGCACCCCAAGGUUUAGGUUCUAGGGGGCGCCAAAGAUAACACUAAAAUCCACAUAUUUAAAAGUCUUAUAACUUUUUAUUUUUGUCCUCACUGGCCUCCAAGUUUUCUAGGAUGAUGCAAUGUCCAGCCAUCAACACAUUUGUGAAGGAAUUUUUACUCCCCAAAAGAGCGCCCCCCCAUGGCAGGAGAAAAAAGUCCAUUUUUUCUUGUCCCCUAAGGUGAAAAUACACAUUGUUGAGUGUCACGCCUAUACGCUUUGUCAAAAUGACACAAAAAUUGACACACACAUGUAACUCAAUAAGAUCUACAAAAAAGUCAGUGCGCGCGUAUCUGUCAAAUGUACAGUUAAAGGGUUAUUCCGCAUUUUUUGCCGAUACGCACACAUUGGAAUUUCGCUAACUCCUCCGAAGGCUUUCGUUCCACCGGCACCACAUUUGCUCAGGCCAAUCUACACCCCAUGGCCAUUAAAAGUUAUUCAAAUCAUGAUGCUGCACCCCAUGGUUUAGGUUCUAGGGGGCGCCAAAGAUAACCCAAAAAUCCACAUUCUUAAAUGUUUUAUAACUUUUUAUUUCUGUCCUCACUGGCCUCCAAGUUUUCUAGGAUGAUGCAAUGUCCAGCCAUCAACACAUUUGUGAAGGAAUUUUUACUCCCCAAAAGAGCGCCCCCCAUGGUAGGAGAAAAAAGGCAAUUUUUUCUUGUCCCCUUACAUAAAAAUACACAUUGUUGAGUGUCACGCCUGAACGCUUUGUCAUAUUGACACAAAAUUUGACAAUCAUGUGUAUCUCAAUUAGAUCUACGAAAAAGUCAAAGAGCGCGUAUCUGUAUAAUGUACGGUUAAAGGGCUAUUUUGCAUUUUUUGCCGAUUCGCACACAUUGGAAUGUGGCUAUCUCCUCCUAAGGCUUUCGUCCCACCGAUACCAAAUUUGCUCAGGGCUAUCUACACCCCAUGCCCAUUCAAAGUUGUAAAAAUCAUGACGCUGCACCCCACGGUUUACGUUCUAGGGGGCGCCAAAGAUGACCCAAAAAUCCACAUUCUUAAAAGUCAUUUUGGCCACUGCAGGAGUACAGAGUACUGCAGUUCUAGGGGGCGCCAAAGAUGACCCAAAAAUCCACAUUCUUAAAAGUCUUUUUGGCCACUGCAGGAGUACAGAGUACUGCAGGAUACACACACAUAUACACACACGCCAACAUACACACACACACACACACACACACACACACACACACACAGACACACACACACACUCAGAGUCUGUUUUUUAGCACCUGCAAAAACAUGCUGUUUACAUAUUUGACAAGAAUGCAGAGGCUUCCUUUUGCCCCUGAAAAAAAUCAAAUUUCAAACACAACUUGACUGUUCAUUUCUCCAAAAGACAACCAUGAAGCUCCAUUUCAAACCUGAAGCAGAUAGUUGGUGCAUGUGUACAGUAACCUGAGGGGAGUGAGGUGACUAUUUCUGAGGAGAACAUGAGCAGUGAAGAUUCACCUUGGAGCUAGAACAGGGACGUGCACAUGAUUAUACAGGGGCAGGGGCUCAAGUUUUUUCCAGUCAUUUAUACAAUAUGGAAAUUAAUGUGAAAUUAAACCACAAAUAUGUGUGAUGAACUGUUUUUAAAACUUAAACUUCAAAUAAAAAUUGUAAACUUCAAAACAUAUGCAAAUUUUUAACAAAGAACAUAGUAAUUUACCUCUAUUUACAUCAAAAUGCAGGCAAUGGCCCAGGCGUUCUUUGUAAAAUUAUUUACAAAACACUGUAUAGUCUCACAAAUGUCACUUUUUAUUUAUGCCACGACAAAAAAACAUGAUGUAAAUGAUGCAUGAUGUAAAACAUGAUGUAAAAAACUUGUGUAGAUCCUCCUCUAUGUCAGUCCAUGUGUAAUUUUUCCAUAAUUCUUUGUUUUUUGCAGCAUUUUUGUUAGUGUAACUGCAGAUUGUGCUGACAGUGUCUAUGGCACAAAAAAAAAAAAAAAUUAAAAUGACUCAACAUGAACCCCUGGUGGUCUCUGAGGGUGAAACCUGCUAACUGCUGCAGCUCUGUCAGCUUCAGUCUCCCAUGCAGAGCUCGGAGCGCAUGUGUGGCUCUGCACCCUUAGCAGCGUUGCUAACUCCUCAGUAAGGAAAGCCUGCUUCAUGUCAGAGUCUCUAAACUCCAGAAGAAGUCGAUAAAAGUCACUUUCUUUCUAAAAAAAAGUCGUUAGGGGGUCUGAAAAGUCAUUGAAUCUAACAACAAAGUCGCUAGGUUUGCAACUACGUGUCCCAGACUGCAUCCCUGCUGAGAGUCCCUCCCUCCCUUCUCAUAUUGCAGGAAGAACGUAAGUUCCCGCCCCUUGUCAAUCAGUCACCAUAUAAUUUUGGAUUGGUUGUUGUGGUGAAGUUUUCCACCAAUAGGAGAGAUGUUGUGGUGUGUUUUUUUUUUCUUUUGGCAAGCCUUUUCCGCCUGUAAGACCUGUCGCUAAUGUCUGCAUGCUAUGUUUUCCUGUCUCAUACAGCGCGAUCGAGCGCCGAACGUGAUCAAAAUAAGCAGAAAACAAGUAUCGCGGACAUAAUUUAUCAUAACUCUGGUUUUAUUUGGCCUAUCAACACAAUUUAAAAACUGGUAUAUAGGUUGAGGUCCUCACUUUUGAGAUAAAUUGAAACGGAGAGUCAACGAGGCUCCGUCUUGCAGCUACAUCCGGUUAAAUAUGUCAUGUGACUUGAACGCACACACACACACACACACAGACACACACACAGACACACACACACGCACACACACACACACACACACACACUCAGAGUCUGGUUUUUAGCACCUGCAAAAACAUGCUAUUUACAUAUUUGACAAGAAUGCAGAGGCUCCUUUUGCCCCUGAAAAAAAUCAAAUUUCAAACACAACUUGACUGGUCAUUUCUCCAAAAGACAAACAUGAAGCUCCAUCCAAACCUGAAGCAGGCAGUUGGUGCAUGUGUACAGUAACCUGAGGGGAGUGAGGUGACUGCUUCUGAGGAGAACAUGAGCAGUGAAGAUUCACCUUAGAGCUAGAACAGAGACGUGCACAUGAUUAUACAGGGGCAGGGGCUCAAGUUUUUUCCAGUUGUUUAUACAAUAUGGAAAUUAAUGUGAAAUUAAAAAACAAAGUAUUAAUAGAAAGGUAAUGACUGUCCUGUGUAGGUGACAGUAAUAUCCAAUAGGCUAGGCACUCACGAGGCUGGCUGUGGCAAGUGUAAGUGAAAGCAACACGCACUGGCAGGAAGAACAGCAAACGCCGAUGAAGGAAAAGGGUCUUUGCAGUGAUGGGCGUUACCAGAGAGGGCGAUGGCCAGAGGACACAAAUGGGACGGGGAGGCAGCGCGUUGGGGGGGGGGGGGGGGCGCGACACAGCUCGGGCCCGCCAGUGCCCCAACGGGGUCCUAGUGUUAUUAUUAGGGCCCGAGCCAGCUGCAGAGCAGCCGGGCGUAGAGCCCUAUUAUUCCUGUAUAGGUUUUUUAGGGCCCGAGCGUAGCUGCUAAGCAGCUGCGAGAGCCCUCUUGUUCCUGCAUGUUUCCUUCUUUCGUUAUUAGGGCCCGAGCGUAGCUGCUAAGCAGCUGCGAGAGCCCUCUUGUUCCUGAUGGAUUCUUCUUUCGUUAUUUUUCCUCCGCUUUAAACUGGAAAAUGGCCCACUUCCCACUGGCGAAAACUCAGGAAAUUUGGCAGGACGACCGGGCCUGGUGAAAAAUUCGAUAUUCUGAAGUCGCCCAAACAAAAAAAUGAAAAAUGGCUCCAUAGCGCCCCCUAUGGUGAAAACUCACCUGACGCCUGUACGCUUUGUCAUAUUGACACAAAAAUUGACACACACAUGUAUCUCAAUAAGAUCUACAAAAAAGUCAGCGCGGGCGUAUCUGUCAAAUGUACGGUUAAAGGGUUAUUUCGCAUUUUUUGCCGAUCCGCACACAUUGGAAUUUCGCUAACUCCUCCGAAGGCUUUCGUUCCACUGGCACCACAUUUGCUCAGGCCAAUCUACACCCCAUGGCCAUUAAAAGUUGUACAAAUCAUGACGCUGCACCCCACGGUUUACGUUCUAGGGGGCGCCAAAGAUAACCCAAAAAUCCACAGUCUUAAAAGUCUUAUAACUUUUUAUUUUUGUCCUCACUGGCCUCCAAGUUCUCUAGGAUGAUGCAAUGUCCAGCAAUUAACACAUUUGUGAAGGAAUUUUUACUCGCCAAAAGAGCGCCCCCCCAUGGCAGGAGAAAAAAGUCCAUUUUUUCUUGUCCCCUAAGGCGAAUAUACACAUUGUUGAGUGUCACGCCUGUACGCUUUGUCAUAUUGACACAAAAUUUGACAAUCACGUGUAUCUCAAUAAGAUCUACGAAAAAGUCAAUGUGCGCGUAUCUGUAAAAUGUACAGUUAAAGGGCUAUUUCGCAUUUUUUGCCGAUUCGCACACAUUGGAAUGUGGCUAACUCCUCCUAAGGCUUUCGUUCCACUGACACCAAAUUUGCUCAGGCCAAUCUACACCCCAUGGCCAUUCAAAGUUGUACAAAUCAUGACGCUGCAUCCCACGGUUUACGUUCUAGGGGGCGCCAAAGAUGACCCAAAUAUCCACAUUUUUAAAAGUCUUAUAACUUUAUUUUUGUCCUCACUGGCCUCCAAGUUUUCUAGGAUGAUGCAAUGUUCAGUCAUCAACACAUUUGUGAAGGAAUUUUUUUUCCCCAAAAGAGCGCCCCCCCAUGGCAGGAGAAAAAGUCAAGUUUUUCCUGCCGAUCGCUCAAUGGCUCAAAUUCAUCGCUCUCUCGGCAAAACCGAAAGGAGGAGCACCUUGCCAUUUGGGUAUAUACUAGCUGUGUUUGUGCCCUCACUCAUGGUCCAGACUAUUUUCAAAAAGGACAUGGAGUUUGUCUGCAGCAAACGUUUUGGUAGAAACUGCGCCUCCCAUUAUUAUAAUGGUAAAUGACCACAGACAAGUGCGCACACCAUCUUUGAACCUUUAGUGUGACGCUAUCGGGAGGGGUAGGUGGUCGCGCUGGGAGCGGCGCGACAGGCUCGGGCCCGCCAGUGCCCCAACGGGGCCCUAGUUAUUAUUUUUCUGCCCCUUUGAACUGGAAAAUGGCCCACUUCCCACUGGUGAAAACUCAUGAAAUUUGGCAGGACGACCGGGCCUGGUGAAAAAUUCGAUAUUCUGAAGUCACCCAAACAAUCAAAUGCAAAAUGGCUCCAUAGCGCCACCUAAGGUGAAUGAUUCACAUGAUUGAGUGUCACGCCUGUACGCUUUGUCAAAAUGACACAAAAUUUGACACACACGUGUAUCUCAAUAAGAUCUACAAAAAAGUCAGUGCGGGCGUAUCUGUCAAAUGUACGUUUAAAGGGCUAUUUCGCAUUUUUUGCCGAUCCGCACACAUUGGAAUUUCGCUAACUCCUCCGAAGGCUUUCGUUCCACCGGCACCAAAUUUGCUCAGGCCAAUCUACACCCCAUGGCCAUUAAAAGUUGUACAAAUCAUGACGCUGCACCCCACGGUUUACGUUGUAGGGGGCGCCAAAGAUAACCCAAAAAUCCACAUUCUUACAAGUCUUAUAACUUUUUUUUUCUGUCCUCACUGGCCUCCAAGUUUUCUAGGAUGAUGCAAUGUCCAGCCAUCAACACAUUUGUGAAGGAAUUUUUACUCCCCAAAAGAGCGCCCCCCCAUGGCAGGAGAAAAAAGGCCAUUUUUUCUUGUCCUAUAAGGUGAAAAUACACAUUGUUGAGUGUCACGCCUGUACGCUUUGUCAUAUUGAAACAAAAUUUGAUAAUCACGUGUAUCUCAAUAAGAACUAGGACCCCGUUGGGGCACUGGCGGGCCCGAGCCGUGUCGCGUCCCCCCCCCCCCCCAACGUGCUGCCUCCCCGUCCAAUUUGUGUCCUCUGGCCAUCGCCCUCUCUGGUAACGCCCAUCACUGCAAAGACCCUUUUCCUUCAUCGGCGUUUGCUGUUCUUCCUGCCAGUGCGUGUUGCUUUCACUUACACUUGCCACAGCCAGCCUCGUGAGUGCCUAGCCUAUUGGAUAUCACUGUCACCUACACAGGACAGUCAUUACCUUUCUAUUAAUACUUUGUGUUUUAAUUUCACAUUAAUUUCCAUAUUGUAUAAAUGACUGGAAAAAACUUGAGCCCCUGCCCCUGUAUAAUCAUGUGCACGUCCCUGUUCUAGCUCCAAGGUGAAUCUUCACUGCUCAUGUUCUCCUCAGAAAUAGUCACCUCACUCCCCUCAGGUUACUGUACACAUGCACCAACUAUCUGCUUCAGGUUUGAAAUGGAGCUUCAUGGUUGUCUUUUGGAGAAAUGAACAGUCAAGUUGUGUUUGAAAUUUGAUUUUUUUCAGGGGCAAAAGGAGCCUCUGCAUUCUUGUCAAAUAUGUAAACAGCAUGUUUUUGCAGGUGCUAAAAACCAGACUCUGAGUGUGUGUGUGUGUGUGUGUGUGUGUGUGUGUGUGUGUGUGUGUGUGUGUGUGUGUGCGCGUGUGUGUGUGUCUGUGUGUGCGUUCAAGUCACAUGACAUAUUUAACCGGAUGUAGCUGCAAGACGGAGCCUCGUUGACUCUCCGUUUCAACUUAUCUCAAAAGUGAGGACCUCAACCUAUAUACCAGUUUUUAAAUUGUGUUGAUAGGCCAAAUAAAACCAGAGUUAUGAUAAAUUAUGUCCGCGAUACUUUUUUUCUGCUUAUUUUGAUCACGUUCGGCGCUCGAUCGCGCUGUAUGAGACAGGAAAACAUAGCAUGCAGACAUUAGCGACAGGUCUUACAGGCGGAAAAGGCUUGCCAAAAGAAAAAAAAAAACACACCACAACAUCUCUCCUAUUGGUGGAAAACUUCACCACAACAACCAAUCCAAAAUUAUAUGGUGACUGAUUGACAAGGGGCGGGCGCUUACGUUCUUCCUGCAACAUGAGAAGGGAGGGAGGGACUCUCAGCAGGGAUGCAGUCUGGGACACGUAGUUGCAAACCUAGCGACUUUGUUGUUAGAUUCAAUGACUUUUCAGACCCCCUAACGACUUUUUUUUAGAAAGAAAGGGACUUUUAUCGACUUCUUCUGGAGUUUAGAGACUCUGACAUGAAGCAGGCUUUCCUUACUGAGGAGUUAGCAACGCUGCUAAGGGUGCAGAGCCACACAUGCGCUCAGAGCUCUGCAUGGGAGACUGAAGCUGACAGAGCUGCAGCAGUUAGCAGGUUUCACCCUCAGAGACCACCAGGGGUUCAUGUUGAGGCAUUUUAAUUUUUUUUUUUUUUUUGUGCCAUAGACACUGUCAGCACAAUCUGCAGUUACACUAACAAAAAUGCUGCAAAAAACAAAGAAUUAUGGAAAAGUUACACAUGGACUGACAUAGAGGAGGAUCUACACAAGUUUUUUACAUCAUGUUUUACAUCAUGCAUCAUUUACAUCAUGUUUUUUUGUAGUGGCAUAAAUAAAAAGUGACAUUUGUGAGACUAUACAGUGUUUUGUAAAUAAUUUUACAAAGAACGCCUGGGCCAUUGCCUGCAUUUUGAUGUAAAUAGAGGUACUCAACAAUGUGUAUUUUCACCUUAUGGGACAAGAAAAAAUGGACUUUUUUCUCCUGCCAUGGGGGGGCGCUCUUUUGGGGAGUAAAAAUUCCUUCACAAAUGUGUUGAUGGCUGGACAUUGCAUCAUCCUAGAAAACUUGGAGGCGAGUGAGGACAAAAAUAAAAAGUUAUAAGACUUUUAAAUAUGUGGAUUUUUGGGUUAUCUUUGGCGCCCCCUAGAACCUAAACCGUGGGGUGCAGCGUCAUGAUUUGAAUAACUUUUAAUGGCCAUGGGGUGUAGAUUGGCCUGAGCAAAUUUGGUGUCAGUGGGACGAAAGCCUUAGGAGGAGUUAGCCACAUUCCAAUGUGUGCGAAUCGGCAAAAAAUGCAAAAUAGCCCUUUAACCGUACAUUUUACAGAUACGCGCGCAUUGACUUUUUCGUAGAUCUUAUUGAGAUACAUGUGAUUGUCAAAUUUUGUGUCAAUAUGACAAAGCGUACAGGUAUGACAGUCAACAAUGUGUAUUUUCACCUUAUGGGACAAGAAAAAAUGGACUUUUUUCUCCUGCCAUGGGGGGGCGCUCUUUUGGGGAGUAAAAAUUUCUUCACAAAUGUGUUGAUGGCUGGACAUUGCAUCAUCCUAGAAAACUUGGAGGCCAGUGAGGACAAAAAUAAAAAGUUAUAAGACUUUUAAAUAUGUGGAUUUUUGGGUUAUCUUUGGCGCCCCCUAGAAUGUAAACCGUGGGGUGCAGUGUCAUGAUUUGUACAACUUUUAAUGGCCAUGGGGUGUAGAUUGUCCUGAGCAAAUUUGGUGCCGGUGGAACGAAAGCCUUCGGAGGAGUUAGCGAAAUUCCAAUGUGUGCGGAUUGUCAAAAAAUGCGAAAUAGCCCUUUAACGGUACAUUUGACAGAUACGCCCGCACUGACUUCUUUGUAGAUCUUAUUGAGAUACACAUGUGUGUCAAAUUUUGUGUCAUUUUGACAAAGCGUACAGGCGUCAGGUGAGUUUUCACCAUAGGGGGCGCUAUGGAGCCAUUUUUCAUUUUUUUUUUUGGGCGACUUCAGAAUAUCGAAUUUUUCACCAGGCCCGGUCGUCCUGCCAAAUUUCCUGAGUUUUCGCCAGUGGGAAGUGGGCCAUUUUCCAGUUUAAAGCGGAGGAAAAAUAACGAAAGAAGAAUCCAUCAGGAACAAGAGGGCUCUCGCAGCUGCUUAGCAGCUACGCUCGGGCCCUAACUACGAAAAAGUCAAUGCGCACGUGUCUGCAAAAUGUACGGUUAAAGGGCUAUUUUGCAUUUUUGGUUGAUUCGCACACAUUGGAAUGUGGCUAACUCCUCCUAAAGCUUUCGUUCCACCGGCACCAAAUUUGCUCAGGCCAAUCUACACCCCAUGGCCAUUAAAAGUUGUACAAAUCAUGAUGCUGCACCCCACGGUUUACGUUCUAGGGGUCGCCAAAGAUAACCCAAAAUCCACAUAUUUAAAAGUCUUAUAACUUUUCAUUUUUGUCCUCACUGGCUUCAAAGUUUUCUAGGAUGAUGCAAUGUCUAGCCAUCAACACAUUUGUGAAGGAAUUUGUUCUCCCUAAAAGAGUGCCCCCCCAUGGCAGGAGAAAAAGUCAAGUUUUUCCUGCCCAUCGCUCAAUGGCUCAAACACAUCGCUCUCUCGGAAAAAAACGAAAGGAGGAGGAACUUGCCAUUUGGAUAUAUCCUAGCUGUGUUUGUGCCCUCACUCAUGGUCCAGACUUUUUUCAAAUAGGACAUGUAGUUUGUCUGCAGCAAGCGUUUUGUAAGAAACUGCGCCUCCCCUUCAUUAUAAUGGUAAAUGACCACAGACAAGUGCGCACACCAUCGUUGAACCUUGAGUGUGACGCGAUCGGGAGGGAGAGGCGGUCGUGUUGGGAGCGGCGUGACACAGCUCGGGCCCGCCAGUGCCCCAACGGGGCCCUAGUUAGGGCCCGAGCGUAGCUGCUAAGCAGCUGCGAGAGCCCUCUUGUUCCUGAUGGAUUCUUCUUUCGUUAUUUUUCCUCCGCUUUAAACUGGAAAAUGGCCCACUUCCCACUGGCGAAAACUCAGGAAAUUUGGCAGGACGACCGGGCCUGGUGAAAAAUUUGAUAUUCUGAAGUCGUCCAAACAAAAAAAUGAAAAAUGGCUCCAUAGCGCCCCCUAUGGUGAAAACUCACCUGAUGCCUGUACGCUUUGUCAAAAUGACACAAAAUUUGACACACAUGUGUAUCUCAAUAAGAUCUACGAAAAAGUCAGUGCGGGCGUAUCUGCCAAAUGUACGGUUAAAGGGCUAUUUCGCUUUUUUUGCCGAUCCGCACACAUUGGAAUUUCGCUAACUCCUCCGAAGGCUUUCGUUCCACCGGCACCAAAUUUGCUCAGGCCAAUCUACACCCCAUGGCCAUUAAAAGUUGUACAAAUCAUGACGCUGCACCCCACGGUUUACUUUCUAGGGGGCGCCAAAGAUAACCCAAAAAUCCACAUUCUUAAAAGUCUUAUAACUUUUUAUUUUUGUCCUCACUGGCCUCCAAGUUUUCUAGGAUGAUGCAAUGUCCAGCCAUCAACACAUUUGUGAAGGAAUUUUUACUCCCCAAAAGAGCGCCCCCCCAUGGCAGGAGAAAAAAGUCCAUUUUUUCUUGUCUCCUAAGGUAAAAAUACACAUUGUUGAGUGUCACGCCUAUACACUUUGUCAUAUUGACACACAAUUUGACAAUCACGUGUAUCUCAAUAAGAUCUACAAAAAAGUCAAUAGGCACGUAUCUGUCAAAUGUAUGGUUAAAGGGCUAUUUAGGGCCCGAGCGUAGCUGCUAAGCAGCUGCGAGAGCCCUAUUAUUCCCCAAGUGGUUUUUCUUUGUUUCUUUUUUCUUUUUCCUCCCCUUUGAACUGGAAAAUGGCCCACUUCCCACUGGCGAAAACUCAUGAAAUUUGGCAGGACGACCGGGCCUGGUGAAAAAUUUGAUAUUCCGAAGUCGCCCAAACAAGAAAAUGCAAAAUGGCUCCAUAGCGCCCCCUAAGGUGAAAAUUCACACUAUUGACUGUCACGCCUGUACGCUUUGUCAAAAUGACACAAAAAUUGACACACACAUGUAUCUCAAUAAGAUCUACAAAAAAGUCAGUGUGGGCGUAUCUGUCAAAUGUACGGUUAAAGGGUUAUUCCGCAUUUUUUGCCGAUCCGCACACAUUGGAAUUUCGCUAACUCCUCCGAAGGCUUUCGUUCCACCGGCACCACAUUUGCUCAGGCCAAUCUACACCCCAUGGCCAUUAAAAGUUAUUCAAAUCAUGAUGCUGCACCCCACGGUUUAGGUUCUAGGGGGCGCCAAAGAUAACCCUAAAAUCCACAUAUUUAAAAGUCUUAUAACUUUUUAUUUUUGCCCUCACUGGCCUCCAAGUUUUCUAGGAUGAUGCAAUGUCCAGCCAUCAACACAUUUGUGAAGGAAUUUUUACUCCCCAAAAGAGCGCCCCCCCAUGGCAGGAGAAAAAAGUCCAUUUUUUCUUGUCCCCUAAGGUGAAAAUACACAUUGUUGAGUGUCACGCCUGUACGCUUUGUCAAAAUGACACAAAAAUUGACACACACAUGUAUCUCAAUAAGAUCUACAAAAAAGUCCAUGCGCGCGUAUCUGUCAAAUGUACGGUUAAAGGGUUAUUCCGCAUUUUUUGCCGAUUCGCACACAUUGGAAUUUCGCUAACUCCUCCGAAGGCUUUCGUUCCACCGGCACCACAUUUGCUCAGGCCAAUCUACACCCCAUGGCCAUUAAAAGUUAUUCAAAUCAUGACGCUGCACCCCACGGUUUACGUUCUAGGGGGCGCCAAAGAUAACCCAAAAAUCCACAUUUUUAAAAGUCUUAUAACUUUUUAUUUUUGUCCUCACUGGCCUCCAAGUUUUCUAGGAUGAUGCAAUGUCCAGCCAUCAACACAUUUGUGAAGGAAUUUUUACUCCCUAAAAGAGCGCCCCCCCAUGGCAGGAGAAAAAAGUCCAUUUUUUCUUGUCCCCUAAGGUGAAAAUACACAUUGUUGACUGUCACGCCUGUACGCUUUGGCAAAAUGACACAAAAAUUGACAAUCAUGUGUAUCUCAAUUAGAUCUACGAAAAAGUCAAAGAGCGCGUAUCUGUAUAAUGUACGGUAAAAGGGCUAUUUUGCAUUUUUUGCCGAUUCGCACACAUUGGAAUUUCGCUAACUCCUUAUAAGGCUUUCGUCCCACUGACACCAAAUUUGCUCAGGCCAAUCUACACUCCAUGGCCAUUCAAAGUUGUAAAAAUCAUGACGCUGCACCCCACGGUUUACGUUUUAGGGGGCGCCAAAGAUGACCCAAAUGUACAUUACAGUAGACAAAGUAGUUUUGCCCACUGAGUGGCGCCAAAGGGACUUGUCUGUGGAGUCUGUGAGUCACUAUUGGCCGUUUUUGACUACUUUAGAUUUUACCUUUAUAUUUCCUCUUACAAAAUUUUUACCUUGCCUUGCCUGGUAUCAUUUUUUUCAGCACAACCUCACCUGUGUCAAUUUACAGUUAUUUUAUCAUUUUGACAUACUAUAUUUACACAUUGGACCCAAAUUCACACACAAAACGUAAAAUCCGAGUGGAAAAAAGUAACGUUUUUACUGUGAAAACCACAAAUAUGUGUGAUGAACUGUUUUUAAAACUUAAACUUCAAAUAAAAAUUGUAAACUUCAAAACAUAUGCAAAUUUUUAACAAAGAACAUAGUAAUUUACCUCUAUUUACAUCAAAAUGCAGGCAAUGGCCCAGGUGUUCUUUGUAAAAUUAUUUACAAAACACUGUAUAGUCUCACAAAUGUCACUUUUUAUUUAUGCCACUACAAAAAAACAUGAUGUAAAUGAUGCAUGAUGUAAAACAUGAUGUAAAAAACUUGUGUAGAUCCUCCUCUAUGUUAGUCCAUGUGUAAUUUUUCCAUAAUUCUUUGUUUUUUGCAGCAUUUUUGUUAGUGUAACUGCAGAUUGUGCUGACAGUGUCUAUGGCGCAACAAAAAAAAAAAAACUGAAAAUGCCUCAACAUGAACCCCUGGUGGUCUCUGAGGGUGAAACCUGCUAACUGCUGCAGCUCUGUCAGCUUCAGUCUCCCAUGCAGAGCUCGGAGCGCAUGUGUGGCUCUGCACCCUUAGCAGCGUUGCUAACUCCUCAGUAAGGAAAGCCUGCUUCAUGUCAGAGUCUCUAAACUCCAGAAGAAGUCGAUAAAAGUCACUUUCUUUCUAAAAAAAAAGUCGUUAGGGGGUCUGAAAAGUCAUUGAAUCUAACAACAAAGUCGCUAGGUUUGCAACUACGUGUCCCAGACUGCAUCCCUGCUGAGAGUCCCUCCCUCCCUUCUCAUAUUGCAGGAAGAACGUAAGCGCCCGCCCCUUGUCAAUCAGUCACCAUAUAAUUUUGGAUUGGUUGUUGUGGUGAAGUUUUCCACCAAUAGGAGAGAUGUUGUGGUGUGUUUUUUUUUUCCUUUGGCAAGCCUUUUCCGCCUGUAAGACCUGUCGCUAAUGUCUGCAUGCUAUGUUUUCCUGUCUCAUACAGCGCGAUCGAGCGCCGAACGUGAUCAAAAUAAGCAGAAAACAAGUAUCGCGGACAUAAUUUAUCAUAACUCUGGUUUUAUUUGGCCUAUCAACACAAUUUAAAAACUGGUAUAUAGGUUGAGGUCCUCACUUUUGAGAUAAGUUGAAACGGAGUCAACGAGGCUCCGUCUUGCAGCUACAUCCGGUUAAAUAUGUCAUGUGACUUGAACGCACACACACACACACACACACACACAGACACACACACACACGCACACACACACACUCAGAGUCUGGUUUUUAGCACCUGCAAAAACAUGCUAUUUACAUAUUUGACAAGAAUGCAGAGGCUCCUUUUGCCCCUGAAAAAAAUCAAAUUUCAAACACAACUUGACUGGUCAUUUCUCCAAAAGACAACCAUGAAGCUCCAUCCAAACCUGAAGCAGGCAGUUGGUGCAUGUGUACAGUAACCUGAGGGGAGUGAGGUGACUGCUUCUGAGGAGAACAUGAGCAGUGAAGAUUCACCUUAGAGCUAGAACAGAGACGUGCACAUGAUUAUACAGGGGCAGGGGCUCAAGUUUUUUCCAGUUGUUUAUACAAUAUGGAAAUUAAUGUGAAAUUAAAAAACAAAGUAUUAAUAGAAAGGUAAUGACUGUCCUGAGUAGGUGACAGUGAUAUCCAAUAGGCUAGGCACUCAAGAGGCUGGCUGUGGCAAGUGUAAGUGAAAGCAACACGCACUGGCAGGAAGAACAGCAAACGCCGAUGAAGGAAAAGGGUCUUUGCAGUGAUGGGCGUUACCAGAGAGGGCGAUGGCCAGAGGACACAAAUGGGACGGGGAGGCAGCGCGUUGGGGGGGGGACGCGACACGGCUCGGGCCCGCCAGUGCCCCAACGGGGUCCUAGUUCGCAUUUUUUGCCGAUUCGCACACAUUGGAAUGUGGCUAUCUCCUCCUAAGGCUUUCGUCCCACCGAUACCAAAUUUGCUCAGGGCAAUCUACACCCCAUGGCCAUUCAAAGUUGUAAAAAUCAUGACGCUGCACCCCACGGUUUACGUUCUAGGGGGCGCCAAAGAUGACCCAAAAAUCCACAUUCUUAAAAGUCAUUUUGGCCACUGCAGGAGUACAGAGUACUGCAGUUCUAGGGGGCGCCAAAGAUGACCCAAAAAUCCACAUUCUUAAAAGUCUUUUUGGCCACUGCAGGAGUACAGAGUACUGCCGGACACACACACAUAUACACACACGCCAACACACACACACACACACACACACACACACACACACACACACACACACACACACACUCAGAGUCUGUUUUUUAGCACCUGCAAAAACAUGCUGUUUACAUAUUUGACAAGAAUGCAGAGGCUUCCUUUUGCCCCUGAAAGAAAUCAAAUUUCAAACACAACUUGACUGUUCAUUUCUCCAAAAGACAACCAUGAAGCUCCAUCCAAACCUGAAGCAGAUAGUUGGUGCAUGUGUACAGUAACCUGAGGAGAGUGAGGUGACUACUUCUGAGGAGAACAUGAGCAGUGAAGAUUCACCUUGGAGCUAGAACAGGGACGUGCACAUGAUUAUACAGGGGCAGGGGCUCAAGUUUUUUCCAGUCAUUUAUACAAUAUGGAAAUUAAUGUGAAAUUAAACCACAAAUAUGUGUGAUGAACUGUUUUUAAAACUUAAACUUCAAAUAAAAAUUGUAAACUUCAAAACAUAUGCAAAUUUUUAACAAAGAACAUAGUAAUUUACCUCUAUUUACAUCAAAAUGCAGGCAAUGGCCCAGGCGUUCUUUGUAAAAUUAUUUACAAAACACUGUAUAGUCUCACAAAUGUCACUUUUUAUUUAUGCCACUACAAAAAAACAUGAUGUAAAUGAUGCAUGAUGUAAAACAUGAUGUAAAAAACUUGUGUAGAUCCUCCUCUAUGUCAGUCCAUGUGUAAUUUUUCCAUAAUUCUUUGUUUUUUGCAGCAUUUUUGUUAGUGUAACUGCAGAUUGUGCUGACAGUGUCUAUGGCAAAAAAAAAAAAACUGAAAAUGCCUCAACAUGAACUCCUGGUGGUCUCUGAGGGUGAAACCUGCUAACUGCUGCAGCUCUCUCAGCUCUAGUCUCCCAUGCAGAGCUCGGAGCGCAUGUGUGGCUCUGCACCCUUAGCAGCGUUGCUAACUCCUCAGUAAGGAAAGCCUGCUUCAUGUCAGAGUCUCUAAACUCCAGAAGAAGUCGAUAAAAGUCACUUUCUUUCUAAAAAAACGUCGUUAGGGGGUCUGAAAAGUCAUUGAAUCUAACAACAAAGUCGCUAGGUUUGCAACUACGUGUCCCAGACUGCAUCCCUGCUGAGAGUCCCUCCCUCCCUUCUCAUAUUGCAGGAAGAACGUAAGCGCCCGCCCCUUGUCAAUCAGUCACCAUAUAAUUUUGGAUUGGUUGUUGUGGUGAAGUUUUCCACCAAUAGGAGAGAUGUUGUGGUGUGUUUUUUUUUUCCUUUGGCAAGCCUUUUCCGCCUGUAAGACCUGUCGCUAAUGUCUGCAUGCUAUGUUUUCCUGUCUCAUACAGCGCGAUCGAGCGCCGAACGUGAUCAAAAUAAGCAGAAAACAAGUAUCGCGGACAUAAUUUAUCAUAACUCUGGUUUUAUUUGGCCUAUCAACACAAUUUAAAAACUGGUAUAUAGGUUGAGGUCCUCACUUUUGAGAUAAGUUGAAACGGAGAGUCAACGAGGCUCCGUCUUGCAGCUACAUCCGGUUAAAUAUGUCAUGUGACUUGAACGCACACACACACACACACACACACACACACACACACACACACACACACGCACACACACACACUCAGAGUCUGGUUUUUAGCACCUGCAAAAACAUGCUAUUUACAUAUUUGACAAGAAUGCAGAGGCUCCUUUUGCCCCUGAAAAAAAUCAAAUUUCAAACACAACUUGACUGGUCAUUUCUCCCAAAGACAACCAUGAAGCUCCAUCCAAACCUGAAGCAGGCAGUUGAUGCAUGUGUACAGUAACCUGAGGGGAGUGAGGUGACUGCUUCUGAGGAGAACAUGAGCAGUGAAGAUUCACCUUAGAGCUAGAACAGAGACGUGCACAUGAUUAUACAGGGGCAGGGGCUCAAGUUUUUACCAGUUGUUUAUACAAUAUGGAAAUUAAUGUGAAAUUAAAAAACAAAGUAUUAAUAGAAAGGUAAUGACUGUCCUGUGUAGGUGACAGUGAUAUCCAAUAGGCUAGGCACUCACGAGGCUGGCUGUGGCAAGUGUAAGUGAAAGCAACACGCACUGGCAGGAAGAACAGCAAACGCCGAUGAAGGAAAAGGGUCUUUGCAGUGAUGGGCGUUACCAGAGAGGGCGAUGGCCAGAGGACACAAAUGGGACGGGGAGGCAGCGCGUUGGGGGGGGGACGCGACACAGCUCGGGCCCGCCAGUGCCCCAACGGGGUCCUAGUUAGGGCCCGAGCGUAGCUGCUAAGCAGCUGCGAGAGCCCUCUUGUUCCUGCAUGUUUCCUUCUUUCGUUAUUAUUUUUCCUCCGCUUUAAACUGGAAAAUGGCCCACUUCCCACUGGCGAAAACUCAGGAAAUUUGGCAGGACGUCCGGGCCUGGUGAAAAAUUCGAUAUUCUGAAGUCGCCCAAACAAUAAAAUGCAAAAUGGCUCCAUAGCGCCCCCUAAGGUGAAAAUUCACAUGACGGCUGUACGCUUUGUCAUAUUGACACAAAAAUGGACACACACAUGUAUCUCAAUAAGAUCUACAAAAAAGUCAGUGCGGGCGUAUCUGUCAAAUGUACGGUUAAAGGGUUAUUUCGCAUUUUUUGCCGAUCCGCACACAUUGGAAUUUCGCUAACUCCUCCGAAGGCUUUCAUUCCACCGGCACCACAUUUGCUCAGGCCAAUCUACACCCCAUGGCCAUUAAAAGUUAUUCAAAUCAUGACGCUGCACCCCAGGGUUUAGGUUCUAGGGGGCGCCAAAGAUAACCCUAAGAUCCACAUAUUUAAAAGUCUUAUAACUUUUUAUUUUUGCCCUCACUGGCCUCCAAGUUUUCUAGGAUGAUGCAAUGUCCAGCCAUCAACACAUUUGUGAAGGAAUUUUUACUCCCCAAAAGAGCGCCCCCCCAUGGCAGGAGAAAAAAGUCCAUUUUUUCUUGUCCCCUAAGGUGAAAAUACACAUUGUUGAGUUUAACACCUGUACGCUUUGGCAAAAUGACACAAAAAUUGACACACACAUGUAUCUCAAUAAGAUCUACGAAAAAGUCAAUGCGCGCGUAUCUGUCAAAUGUACGGUGAAAGGGUUAUUCCGCAUUUUUUGCCGAUCCGCACACAUUGGAAUUUUGCUAACUCCUCCGAAGGCUUUCGUUCCACCGGCACCACAUUUGCUCAGGCCAAUCUACACCCCAUGGCCAUUAAAAGUUAUUCAAAUCAUGACGCUGCACCCCACGGUUUAGGUUCUAGGGGGCGCCAAAGAUAACCCUAAAAUCCACAUAUUUAAAAGUCUUAUAACUUUUUAUUUUUGUCCUCACUGGCCUCCAAGUUUUCUAGGAUGAUGCAAUGUCCAGCCAUCAACACAUUUGUGAAGGAAUUUUUACUCCCCAAAAGAGCGCCCCCCAUGGCAGGAGAAAAAAGUCAAUUUUUUCUUGUCCCCUAAGGUGGAAAUUCACACUAUUGACUGUCACGCCUGUACGCUUUAUCAUAUUGACACAAAAAUUGACACACAUAUGUAUCUCAAUAAUAUCUACAAAAAAGUCAAUGCGCGCGUAUCUGUCAAAUGUACGGUUAAAGGGCUAUUUUGCAUUUUUUGCCGAUUCGCACACAUUGGAAUGUGGCUAACUCCUCCUAAGGCUUUCGUCCCACUGACACCAAAUUUGCUCAGGCCAAUCUACACCCCAUGGCCAUUCAAAGUUGUAAAAAUCAUGACGCUGCACCCCACGGUUUACGUUCUAGGGGGCGCCAAAGAUGACCCAAAAAUCCACAUUCUUAAAAGAAUCCCCCCCCCCCCCCAAGGCAGGAGAAAAAGUCAAGUUAACCCUGCCCAUCGCUCAAUGGCUCAAUCGCAUCGCUCUCCAGGCAACACCGUAAGGAGGAGCAACCUGCCAUUUCGAUAUAUCAUAGCUGUGUUUGUGCCCUCACUCAUGGUCCAGACUUUUUUCAAAUAGGACAUGAAGUUUGUCUGCAGCGAGUGUUUUGGUAGAAACUGCGCCUCCCAUUCAUUAUAAUGGGAAAUGACCACAGACAAGUGCGCACACCAUCUUUGGACCUUGAGUGUGACGCGAUCGGGAGGGGGAGGCGGUCGCGCUGGGGGCGGCGCAACGCGGCUCGGGCCCGACAGUGCCCCACCGGGGCCCUAGUUCUUCUUAUUUUUCCUCCCCUUUGAAGGGGAAAAUGGCCCACUUCCCACUGGCGAAAACUCAUGAAAUUUGGCAGGACGACCGGGCCUGGUGAAAAAUUCGAUAUUCUGAUGUCGCCCAAACAAUAAAAUGCAAAAUGGCUCCAUAGCGCCCCCUAAGGUGAAAAUUUACACUAUUGACUGUCACGCCUGUACGCUUUGUCAUAUUGACACAAAAAUUGACACACAUAUGUAUCUCAAUAAGAUCUACAAAAAAGUCAGUGCGGGCGUAUCUGUCAAAUGUACGGUUAAAGGGUUAUUUCGCAUUUUUUGCCGAUCCGCACACAUUGGAAUUUCGCUAACUCCUCCGAAGGCUUCCGUUCCACCGGCACCACAUUUGCUCAGGCCAAUCUACACCCUAUGGCCAUUAAAAGUUGUACAAAUCAUGACGCUGCACCCCACGGUUUAGGUUCUAGGGGGCGCCAAAGAUAACCCAAAAAUCCACAGUCUUAAAAGUCUUAUAACUUUUUAUUUUUGUCCUCACUGGCCUCCAAGUUCUCUAGGAUGAUGCAAUGUCCAGCAAUUAACACAUUUGUGAAGGAAUUUUUACUCGCCAAAAGAGCGCCCCCCCCAUGGCAGGAGAAAAAAGUCCAUUUUUUCUUGUCCCCUAAGGCGAAAAUACACAUUGUUGAGUGUCACACCUAUACGCUUUGUCAUAUUGACACAAAAUUUGAAAAUCAAGUGUAUCUCAAUAAGAUCUACGAAAAAGUCAAUGCGCGCGUAUCUGUCAAAUGUACGGUUAAAGGGCGAUUUCGCAUUUUUUGCCAAUUCGCACACAUUGGAAUGUGGCUAACUCCUCCUAAAGCUUUCGUCCCAUCGGCACCAAAUUUGCUCAGGCCAAUCUACACCCCAUGGCCAUUCAAAGUUGUAAAAAUCAUGAUGCUGCACCCCACGGUUUAGGUUCUAGGGGGCGCCAAAGAUAACCCAAAAAUCCACAGUCUUAAAAGUCUUAUAACUUUUUAUUUUUGUCCUCACUGGCCUCCAAGUUUUCUAGGAUAAUGCAAUGUUCAGCCAUCAACACAAUUGUGAAGGAAUUUUUACUCCCCAAAAGAGCGCCCCCCCCAUGGCCGGAGAAAAGGUCAAGUUGUUCCUGCCCAUCGCUCAAUAGCUUAAACGCAUCGCUCUCUCGGCUAAACCGAAAGGAGGAGCAACUUGCCAUUUGGAUAUAUCUUAGCUGUGUUUGUGCCCUCACGCAUGUUCUAGACUUUUUUCAAAUAGGACAUGGAGUUUGUCUGCAGCGAGCGUUUUGGUAGAAACUGCGCCUCCCAUUCAUUAUAAUGGUAAAUGACCACAGACAAGUGCGCACACCAUCUUUGGACCUUGAGUGUGACGCGAUCGGGAGGGGUAGGCGGUCGAGCUGGGGGCGGCGCGACACGGCUCGGGCCCGCCAGUGCCCCAACGGGGCCCUAGUUCCUGAUGGAUUCUUCUUUCGUUAUUUUUCCUCCGCUUUAAACUGGAAAAUGGCCCACUUCCCACUGGCGAAAACUCAGGAAAUUUGGCAGGACGACCGGGCCUGGUGAAAAAUUUGAUAUUCUGAAGUCGCCCAAACAAAAAAAUGAAAAAUGGCUCCAUAGCGCCCCCUAUGGUGAAAACUCACCUGAUGCCUGUACGCUUUGUCAAAAUGACACAAAAUUUGACACACAUGUGUAUCUCAAUAAGAUCUACAAAAAAGUCAGUGCGGGCGUAUCUGUCAAAUGUACGGUUAAAGGGCUAUUUCGCAUUUUUUGCCGAUCCGCACACAUUGGAAUUUCGCUAACUCCUCCGAAGGCUUUCGUUCCACCGGCACCAAAUUUGCUCAGGCCAAUCUACACCCCAUGGCCAUUAAAAGUUGUACAAAUCAUGACGCUGCACCCCACGGUUUAUGUUCUAGGGGGCGCCAAAGAUAACCCAAAAAUCCACAUUCUUAAAAGUCUUAUAACUUUUUAUUUUUGUCCUCACUGGCCUCCAAGUUUUCUAGGAUGAUGCUAUGUCCAUCCAUCAACACAUGUGUGAAGGAAUUUUUACUCCCCAAAAGAGCGCCCCCCCAUGGCAGGAGAAAAAAGUCAAGUUUUUCUUGUCCCCUAACAUGAAAAUACACAUUGUUGAGUGUCACGCCUAAACGCUUUGUCAUAUUGACACAAAAAUUGACACACACGUGUAUCUCAAUAAGAUCUACGAAAAAGUCAAAGAGCGCGUAUCUGUAUAAUGUACGGUUAAAGGUUUAUUUCGCAUUUUUUGCCGAUUCGCACACAUAGGAAUUUCGCUAACUCCUCCGAAGGCUUUCGUUCCACCGGCACCAAAUUUGCUCAGGCCAAUCUACACCCCAUGGCCAUUAAAAGUUGUAAAAAUCAUGACGCUGCACCCCACGGUUUAGGUUCUAGGGGGCGCCAAAGAUAACCCUAAAAUCCAAAUAUUUAAAAGUCUUAUAACUUUUUAUUUUUGUCCUCACUGGCCUCCAAGUUCACUAGGAUGAUGCAAUGUCCAGCCAUCAACACAUUUGUGAAGGAAUUUUUACUCCCCAAAAGAGCGCCCCCCCAUGGCAGGAGAAAAAAGUCAAUUUUUUCUUGUCCCCUAAGGGGAAAAUACACAUUGUUGAGUGUCACGCCUGAACUCUUUGUCAUAUUGACACAAAAAUUGACAAUCAUGUGUAUCUCAAUUACAUCUACGAAAAAGUCAAAGAGCGCGUAUCUGUAUAAUGUACGGUAAAAGGUUUUUUUUGCAUUUUUUGCCGAUUCGCACACAUUGGAAUUUCGCUAACUCCUCCGAAGGCUUUCGUCCCACUGACACCAUAGUUGCUCAGGCCAAUCUACAACCCAUGGCCAUUCAAAGUUGUACAAAUCAUGACGCUGCACCCCACGGUUUAGGUUCUAGGGGGCGCCAAAGAUAACCAAAAAAUCCACAGUCUUAAAAGUCUUAUAACUUUUUAUUUUUGUCCUCACUGGCCUCCAAGUUCUCUAGGAUGAUGCAAUGUCCAGCAAUCAACAUAUUUGUGAAGGAAUUUUUACUCCCCAAAAGAGCGCCCCCCCAUGGCAGGAGAAAAAAGUCCAUUUUUUCUUGUCCCCCAAGGCGAAAAUACACAUUGUUGAAUGUCACGCCUGUACGCUUUGUCAUAUUGACACAAAAUUUGACAAUCACGUGCAUCUCAAUAAGAUCUACGAAAAAGUCAAUGCGCGCGUAUCUGUAAAAUGUACGGUUAAAGGGCUUUUUCGCAUUUUUUGCAGAUUCGCACACAUUGGAAUGUGGCUUAGUCCUCCUAAGGCUUUCGUCCCACUGACACCAAAUUUGCUCAGGCCAAUCUACACCCCAUGGCCAUUCAAAGUUGUAAAAAUCAUGACGCUGCACCCCACGGUCUACGUUCUAGGGGGCGCCAAAGAUGACCCAAAUAUCCACAUUUUUAAAAGUCUUAUAACUUUUUAUUUUUGUGCUCACUGGCCUCCAAGUUUUCUAGGAUGAUGCAAUGUCCAGCCAUCAACACAUUUGUGAAGGAAUUUUUACUCCCCAAAAGAGCGCCCCCCCAUGGCAGGAGAAAAAAGUCCAUUUUUUCUUGUCCCCUAAGGUGAAAAUACACAUUGUUGAGGGUCAUGCCUGUACGCUUUGUCAAAAUGACACAAAAUUCGACACACACGUGUAUCUCAAUAAGAUCUACGAAAAAGUAAAUGCAGGCGUAUCUGUCAAAUGUACGGUUAAAGGGCUAUUUCGCAUUUUUUGCCGAUUCGCACACAUUGGAAUGUAGCUAACUCCUCCUAAGGCUUUCGCUCCACCGGCACCAAAUUUGCUCAGGCCAAUCUACACCCCAUGGUCAGUCAAAGUUGUAAAAAUCAUGACGCUGCACCCCACGGUUUAAGUUCUAGGGGGCGCCAAAGAUGACCCAAAUAUCCAUAUUCUUAAAAGUGUUAUAACAUUUUAUUUUUGUCCUCACUGGCCUCCAUGUUUUCUAGGAUGAUGCAAUGUCCAGCCAUCAACACAUUUGUGAAGGAGUUUUUUCUCGUUAAAAGAGCGCCCCCCCAUGGCAGGAGAAUAAAGUCAAGUUUUUCCUGUUCAUCGUUCAAUGGCUCAAACGCAUCGCUCUCUCGGCAAAAGCGAAAGGAGCAGCAACUUGCCAUUUGGAUAUAUCUUGGCUGUGUUUGUGCCCUCACUCAUGGUCCAGACUUUUUUCAAAUAGGACAUGGAGUUUUUCUGCAGCGAGCGUUUUGGUAGAAACUGCGCCUCCCAUUCAUUAUAAUGGUAAAUGACCACAGACACGUGCGCACACCAUCUUUGGACCUUGAGUGUGACGCGAUUGGGUGGGGGAGGCGGUCGCGCUGGGGGCGGCGCGACACGGCUCGGGCCCGCCAGUGCCCCACCGGGGCCCUAGUUCUUUCUUUCUUUAGGGCCCGAGCGUAGCUGCUAAGCAGCUGCGAGAGCCCUAUUAUUCCUGAUGGAUUCUUCUUUAGGGCCCGAGCGUAGCUGCUAAGCAGCUGCGAGAGCCCUCUUGUUCCUGCAUGUUUCCUUCUUUUGUUAUUAUUAGGGCCCGAGCGUAGCUGCUAAGCAGCUGCGAGAGCACUAUUAUUCCCCAAGUGGUUUUUCUUUGUUUCUUUUUAGGACCCGAGCCAGCUGCAGAGCAGCCGGGCGUAGGCCCUAUUAUUCCCCAAGUGGUUUUUCUUUGUUUCUUUCUUUCUUUUUAGGGCCCGAGCGUAGCUGCUAAGCAGCUGCGAGAGCCCUCUUGUUCCUGCAUGUUUCCUUCUUUUGUUAUUAGGGCCCGAGCGUAGCUGCUAAGCAGCUGCGAGAGCCCUAUUGUUCCUGUAUGGGUUUUUCUUUCUUCUUUCUUUCUUUCUUUCUUAGGGCCCGAGCGUAGCUGCUAAGCAGCUGCGAGAGCCCUCUUGUUCCUGAUGGAUUCUUCUUUUGUUAUUAUUAUUAUUUUUCCUCCGCUUUAAACUGGAAAAUGGCCCACUUCCCACUGGCGAAAACUCAUGAAAUUUGGCAGGACGACCGGGCCUGGUGAAAAAUUCGAUAUUCUGAAGUCGCCCAAACAAGAAAAUGCAAAAUGGCUCCAUAGCGCCCCCUAAGGUGAAAAUUCACACUAUUGACUGUCACGCCUGUACGCUUUGUCAUAUUGACACAAAAAUUGACACACACAUGUAUCUCAAUAAGAUCUACAAAAAAGUCAGUGCGGGCGUAUCUGUCAAAUGUACGGUUAAAGGGUUAUUUUGCAUUUUUUGCAGAUCCGCACACAUUGGAAUUUCGCUAACUCCUCCGAAGGCUUUCGUUCCACCAGCACCACAUUUGCUCAGGCCAAUCUACACUCCAUGGCCAUUCAAAGUUGUACAAAUCAUAAUGCUGCACCCCAUGGUUUAGGUUUUAGGGGGCGCCAAAAAUAACCCAAAAAUCCACAUUCUUAAAAGUUUUAUAAAUUUUUUUUUUUGUCCUCACUGGCCUCCAAGUUUUCUAGGAUGAUGCAAUGUCCAGCCAUCAACACAUUUGUGAAGGAAUUUUUACUCCCCAAAAGAGCGCCCCCCCAUGGCAGGAAUAAAAAGUCCAUUUUUUCUUGUCCCCUAAGGUGAAAAUACACAUUGUUGAGUGUCACGCCUGUACGCUUUGUCGUAUUGACAAAAAAUUUGACACACACGUGUAUCUCAAUAAGAUCUACGAAAAAGUCAAUGGGCGCGUAUCUGUAAAAUGUACGGCUAAAGGGCUAUUUUGCAUUUUUUGCCGAUUCGCACACAUUGGAAUGUGGCUAACUCCUCCUAAGGCUUUCGUCCCACUGACACCAAAUUUGCUCAGGCCAAUCUACACCCCAUGGCCAUUCAAAGUUGUAAAAAUCAUGCCGCUGCACCCCAUGGUUUACGUUCUAGGGGGCGCCAAAGAUGACCCAAAUAUCCACAUUCUUAAAAGUCGUUUUGGCCACUGCAGGAGUACAGAGUACUGCAGGAUACACACACACAGACACACACACACACAGACACACACACACACACACACACACACACACACACACUCAGAGUCUGUUUUUUAGCACCUGCAAAAACAUGCUAUUUACAUAUUUGACAACAAUGCAGAGGCUUCCUUUUGCCCCUGAAAAAAAUCAAAUUUCUAACACAACUUGACUGCUCAUUUCUCCAAAAGACAACCAUGAAGCUCCAUCCAAACCUGAAGCAGGCAGUUGGUGCAUGUGUACAGUAACCUGAGGGGAGUGAGGUGACUGCUUCUGAGGAGAACAUGAGCAGUGAAGAUUCACCUUGGAGCGAGAACAGGGACGUGCACAUGAUUAUACGGGGGCAGGGGCUCAAGUUUUUUCCAGUCGUUUAUACAAUAUGGAAAUUAAUGUGAAAUUAAAAAACAAAGUAUUAAUAGAAAGGUAAUGACUGUCCUGUGUAGGUGACAGUGAUAUCCAAUAGGCUAGGCACUCACAAGGCUGGCUGUGGCAAGUGUAAGUGAAAGCAACACGCACUGGCAGGAAGAACAGCAAACGCCGAUGAAGGAAAAGGGUCUUUGCAGUGAUGGGCGUUACCAGAGAGGACGAUGGCCAGAGGACGCGAAUGGGACGGGGAGGCAGCGCGUUGGGGGGGGGGGGGGGGGGGGCGACACAGCUCGGGCCCGCCAGUGCCCCAACGGGGCCCUAGUUAGGGCCCGAGCGUAGCUGCUAAGCAGCUGCGAGAGCCCUAUUAUUCCCCAAGUGGUUUUUCUUUGUUUCUUUUUAGGGCCCGAGCGUAGCUGCUAAGCAGCUGCGAGAGCCCUAUUAUUCCCCAAGGGGUUUUUCUUUGUUUCUUUCUUUCUUUCUUUCUUCUUUUUCCUCCCCUUUGAACUGGAAAAUGGCCCACUUCCCACUGGCGAAAACUCAUGAAAUUUGGCAGGACGACCGGGCCUGGUGAAAAAUUUGAUAUUCCGAAGUCGCCCAAACAAGAAAAUGCAAAAUGGCUCCAUAGCGCCCCCUAAGGUGAAAAUUCACACUAUUGACUGUCACGCCUGUACGCUUUGUCAAAAUGACACAAAAAUUGACACACACAUGUAUCUCAAUAAGAUCUACAAAAAAGUCAGUGCGGGCGUAUCUGUCAAAUGUACGGUUAAAGGGUUAUUUCGCAUUUUUUGCCGAUCCGCACACAUUGGAAUUUCGCUAACUCCUCCGAAGGCUUUCGUUCCACCGGCACCACAUUUGCUCGGGCCAAUCUACACCCCAUGGCCAUUAAAAGUUAUUCAAAUCAUGAUGCUGCACCCCACGGUUUAGGUUCUAGGGGGCGCCAAAGAUAACCCUAAGAUCCACAUAUUUAAAAGUCUUAUAACUUUUUAUUUUUGCCCUCACUGGCCUCCAAGUUUUCUAGGAUGAUGCAAUGUCCAGCCAUCAACACAUUUGUGAAGGAAUUUUUACUCCCCAAAAUAGCGCCCCCCUAUGGCAGGAGAAAAAAGUCCAUUUUUUCUUGUCCCCUAAGGUGAAAAUACACAUUGUUGGGUUUAACACCUGUACGCUUUGGCAAAAUGACACAAAAAUUGACACACACAUGUAUCUCAAUAAGAUCUACGAAAAAGUCAAUGCGCGCGUAUCUGUCAAAUGUACGGUGAAAGGGUUAUUCCGCAUUUUUUGCCGAUCCGCACACAUUGGAAUUUCGCUAACUCCUCCGAAGGCUUUCGUUCCACCGGCACCACAUUUGCUCAGGCCAAUCUACACCCCAUGGCCAUUAAAAGUUAUUCAAAUCAUGACGCUGCACCCCACGGUUUAGGUUCUAGGGGGCGCCAAAGAUAACCCUAAAAUCCACAUAUUUAAAAGUCUUAUAACUUUUUAUUUUUGUCCUCACUGGCCUCCAAGUUUUCUAGGAUGAUGCAAUGUCCAGCCAUCAACACAUUUGUGAAGGAAUUUUUACUCCCCAAAAGAGCGCCCCCCCCCAUGGCAGGAGAAAAAAGUCAAUUUUUUCUUGUCCCCUAAGGUGGAAAUUCACACUAUUGACUGUCACGCCUGUACGCUUUAUCAUAUUGACACAAAAAUUGACACACAUAUGUAUCUCAAUAAUAUCUACAAAAAAGUCAAUGCGCGCGUAUCUGUCAAAUGUACGGUUAAAGGGUUAUUCCGCAUUUUUUGCCGAUUCGCACACAUUGGAAUGUGGCUAACUCCUCCUAAGGCUUUCGUCCCACUGACACCAAAUUUGCUCAGGCCAAUCUACACCCCAUGGCCAUUCAAAGUUGUAAAAAUCAUGACGCUGCACCCCACGGUUUACGUUCUAGGGGGCGCCAAAGAUGACCCAAAAAUCCACAUUCUUAAAAGAAUCCACAUCCCCCCCCCCCCCCAAGGCAGGAGAAAAACUCAAGUUAACCCUGCCCAUCGCUCAAUGGCUCAAUCGCAUCGCUCUCCAGGCAACACCGUAAGGAGGAGCAACCUGCCAUUUCGAUAUAUCAUAGCUGUGUUUGUGCCCUCACUCAUGGUCCAGACUUUUUUCAAAUAGGACAUGAAGUUUGUCUGCAGCGAGUGUUUUGGUAGAAACUGCGCCUCCCAUUCAUUAUAAUGGGAAAUGACCACAGACAAGUGCGCACACCAUCUUUGGACCUUGAGUGUGACGCGAUCGGGAGGGGGAGGCGGUCGCGCUGGGGGCGGCGCGACGCGGCUCGGGCCCGACAGUGCCCCACCGGGGCCCUAGUUCUUAUUUUUCCUCCUCUUUGAAGGGGAAAAUGGCCCACUUCCCACUGGCGAAAACUCAUGAAAUUUGGCAGGACGACCAGGCCUGGUGAAAAAUUCGAUAUUUUGAAGUCGCCCAAAUAAUAAAAUGCAAAAUGGCUCCAUAGCGCCCCCUAAGGUGAAAAUUCACACUAUUGACUGUCACGCCUGUACGCUUUGUCAUAUUGACACAAAAAUUGACACACACAUGUAUCUCAAUAAGAUCUACAAAAAAGUCAGUGCGGGAAUAUCUGUCAAAUUUACGGUUAAAGGGUUAUUUCACAUUUUUUGCCGAUCCGCACACAUUGGAAUUUCGCUAACUCCUCCGAAGGCUUUCGUUCCACCGGCACCACAUUUGCUCAGGCCAAUCUACACUCCAUGGCCAUUAAAAGUUGUACAAAUCAUGACGCUGCACCCCACGGUUAAGGUUCUAGAUGGCGCAAAAUAUAACCCAAAAAUCCACAGCCUUGAAAGUCUUAUAACUUUUUAUUUUUUUCCUCACUGGCCUCCAAGUUUUCUAGGAUUAUGCAAUGUCCAGCCAUCAACACAUUUGUGAAGGAAUUUUUACUCCCCAAAAGAGCGCCCCCCCAUGGCAGGAGAAAAAAGUCCAUUUUUUCUUGUCCCCUAAGGUGAAAAUUCACAUUGUUGAGUGUCACGCCUGUACGCUUUGUCAUAUUGACACAAAAUUUGACAAUCACGUGUAUCUGAAUAAGAUCUACGAAAAAGUAAAUUCGCGCAUAUCUGUAAAAUGUACGGUUAAAGGGCUAUUUAGCAUUUUUUGCCGAUUCGCACACAUUGGAAUGUGGCUAACUCCUCCUAAGGUCUUCGUCCCACUGACACCAAAUUUGCUCAGGCCAAUCUACACGCGAUGGCCAUUCAAAGUUGUAAAAAUCAUGACGCUGCACCCCACGGUUUACGUUCUAGGGGGCGCCAAAGAUGACCCAAAAAUCCACAUUCCACACAUUGGAAUGUGGCUAACUCCUCCUAAAGCUUUCGUCCCACCAACACCAAAUUUGCUCAGGCCAAUCUACACCCCAUGGCCUUUCAAAGUUGUACAAAUCAUGACGCUGCACCCCACGGUUUAGGUUCAAGGGGGCGCCAGAGAGGACCCAAAUAUCCACAUUCUUAAAAGUCUUGUAACUUUUUAUUUUUGUCCUCACUGGCCUCCAAGUUUUCUAGGAUGAUGCAAUGUUCAGCCAUCAACACAUUUGUGAAGGAAUUUUUACUCCCCAAAAGAGCGCCCCCCUAUGGCAGUAGAAAAAGUCAAGUUUUUCCUGCCCAUCACUCAAUGGCUCAAACGCAUCGCUCUCUCGGCAAAACCGAAAGGAGGAGCAACUUGCCAUUUGGAUAUAUACUAGCUGUGUUUGUGCCCUCACUCAUGGUCCAGACUUUUUUCAAAAAGGGCCAGGAGUUUGUCUGCAGCGAGCGUUUUGGUAGAAACUGCGCCUCCCAUCCAUUAUAAUGGUAAAUGACCACAGACAAGUGCGCACACCAUCUUUGGACCUUGAGUGUGACGGGAUCGGGAGGGGGAGGCGGUCCCGCUGGGGGUGGCGCAACAUGGCUCGGGCCCGCCAGUGCCCCAACGGGGCCCUAGUUAGGGCCCGAGCGUAGCUGCUAAGCAGCUGCGAGAGCCCUCUUGUUCCUGCAUGUUUCCUUCUUUUGUUAUUAGGGCCCGAGCGUAGCUGCUAAGCAGCUGCGAGAGCCCUCUUGUUCCUGAUGGAUUCUUCUUUCGUUAUUUUUCCUCCGCUUUAAACUGGAAAAUGGCCCACUUCCCACUGGCGAAAACUCAGGAAAUUUGGCAGGACGACCGGGCCUGGUGAAAAAUUCGAUAUUCUGAAGUCGCCCAAACAAAAAAAUGAAAAAUGGCUCCAUAGCGCCCCCUAUGGUGAAAACUCACCUGACGCCUGUACGCUUUGUCAAAAUGACACAAAAAUUGACACACAUGUGUAUCUCAAUAAGAUCUACAAAAAAGUCAGUGCGGGCGUAUCUGUCAAAUGUACCGUUAAAGGGCUAUUUCGCAUUUUUUGCCGAUCCGCACACAUUGGAAUUUCGCUAACUCCUCCGAAGGCUUUCCUUCCACCGGCACCAAAUUUGCUCAGGCCAAUCUACACCCCAUGGCCAUUAAAAGUUGUACAAAUCAUGACGCUGCACCCCACGGUUUAGGUUCUAGGGGGCGCCAAAGAUAACCCAAAAAGCCACAUUCUUAAAAGUCUUAUAACUUUUUAUUUUUGUCCUCACUGGCCUCCAAGUUUUCUAGGAUGAUGCAAUGUCCAGCCAUCAACACAUUUGUGAAGGAAUUUUUACUCCCCAAAAGAGCGCCCCCCCAUGGCAGUAGAAAAAAGUCCAUUUUUUCUUGUCCCCUAAGGUGAAAAUACACAUUGUUGAGUGUCACGCCUAAACGCUUUGUCAUAUUGACACAAAAUUUGACAAUCACGUGUAUCUCAAUAAGAUCUACGAAAAAGUCAAAGAGCGCGUAUCUGUAUAAUGUACGGUAAAAGGGCUAUUUUGCAUUUUUUGCCGAUCCGCACACAUUGGAAUUUCACUAACUCCUCCGAAGGCUUUCAUUCCACCGACACCAAAUUUGCUCAGGCCAAUCUACACCCCAUGGCCAUUAAAAGUUGUACAAAUCAUGAUGCUGCACCCCACGGUUUACGUUCUAGGGGGCGCCAAAGAUGACCCAAAUAUCCACAUUCUUAAAAGUCUUAUAACUUUUUAUUUUUGUCCUCACUGGCCUCCAAGUUUUCUUGGACGAUGCAAUGUCCAGCCAUCAACACAUUUGUGAAGGAAUUUUUACUCCCCAAAAGAGCGCCCCCCAUGGCAGGAGAAAAAAGUCCAUUUUUUCUUGUCCCCUAAGGUGAAAAUACGCACUGUUGAGUGUCACGCCUGUACGCUUUGUCAAAAUGACACAAAAAUUGACACACACAUGUAUCUCAAUAAGAUCUACGAAAAAGUCAAUGCACGCGUAUCUGUCAAAUGUACGGUUAAAGGGUUAUUCCGCAUUUUUUGCUGAUCCGCACACAUUGGAAUGUGGCUAACUCCUCUGAAGGCUUUCGUUCCAUCGGCACCAAAUUUGCUCAGGCCAAUCUACACCCCAUGGCCAUUGAAAGUUAUUCAAAUCAUGACGCUGCACCCCACAGUUUACGUUCUAGGGGGCGCCAAAGAUGACACAAAUAUCCACAUAUUUAAAAGUCUUAUAACUUUUUAUUUUCGUCCUCACUGGCCUCCAAGUUUUCUAGGAUGAUGCAAUGUCCAAAUAUCCACAUUCUUAAAAGAAUCUACAUCCCCCCCCCCAUCCCCCAAGUUUUUCCUGCCCAUCACUCAAUGGCUCAAUCGCAUCGCUCUCCCGGCAACACCGUAAUGAGGAGCAACUUGCCGUUUGGAUAUAUCCUAGCUGUGUUUGUGCCCUCACUCAUGGUCCAGACUUUUUUCAAAUAGGACAUGUAGUUUGUCUGCAGCGAGUGUUUUGGUAGAAACUGCGCCUCCCAUUCAUUAUAAUGGGAAAUGACCACAGACAAGUGCGCACACCAUCUUUGGACCUUGAGUGUGACGCGAUCGGGAGGGGGAGGCGGUCGCGCUGGGGGCGGCUCGACGCGGCUCGGGCCCGACAGUGCCCCACCGGGGCCCUAGUUAUUAUUAUUAUUUUUCCUCCCCUUUGAACUGGAAAAUGGCCCACUUCCCACUGGCGAAAACUCAUGAAAUUUGGCAGGACUACCGGGCCUGGUGAAAAAUUUGAUAUUCCGAAGUCGCCCAAACAAGAAAAUGCAAAAUGGCUCCAUAGCGCCCCCUAAGGUGAAAAUUCACACUAUUGACUGUCACGCCUGUACGCUUUGUCAAAAUGACACAAAAAUUGACACACACAUGUAUCUCAAUAAGAUCUACAAAAAAGUCAAUGCGCGCGUAUCUGUCAAAUGUACGGUUAAAGGGUUAUUUCGCAUUUUUUGCCGAUCCGCACACAUCGGAAUUUCGCUAACUCCUCCGAAGGCUUUCGUUCCACCGGCACCACAUUUGCUCAGGCCAAUCUACACCCCAUGGCCAUUUAAAGUUAUUCAAAUCAUGACGCUGCACCCCACGGUUUAGGUUCUAGGGGGCGCCAAAGAUAACCCUAAGAUCCACAUAUUUAAAAGUCUUAUAACUUUUUAUUUUUGCCCUCACUGGCCUCCAAGUUUUCUAGGAUGAUGCAAUGUCCAGCCAUCAACACAUUUGUGAAGGAAUUUUUACUCGCCAAAAGAGCGCCCCCCCCCCCCAUGGCAGGAGAAAAAAGUCCAUUUUUUCUUGUCCCCUAAGGUGAAAAUACACAUUGUUGAGUGUCACGCCUGUACGCUUUGGCAAAAUGACACAAAAAUUGACACACACAUGUAUCUCAAUAAGAUCUACAAAAAAGUCAGUGCGGGCGUAUCUGUCAAAUGUACGGUUAAAGGGUUAUUGCGCAUUUUUUGCCGAUCCGCACACAUUGGAAUUUCGCUAACUCCUCCGAAGGCUUUCGUUCCACCGGCACCACAUUUGCUCAGGCCAAUCUACACCCCAUGGCCAUUAAAAGUUAUUCAAAUCAUGACGCUGCACCCCACGGUUUAGGUUCUAGGGGGCGCCAAAGAUAACCCUAAAAUCCACAUAUUUCAAAGUCUUAUAACUUUUUAUUUUUGCCCUCACUGGCCUCCAAGUUUUCUAGGAUGAUGCAAUGUCCAGCCAUCAACACAUUUGUGAAGGAAUUUUUACUCCCCAAAAGAGCGCCCCCCCAUGGCAGGAGAAAAAAGUCCAUUUUUUCUUGUCCCCUAAGGUGAAAAUACGCACUGUUGAGUGUCACGCCUGUACGCUUUGUCAAAAUGACACAAAAAUUGACACACACAUGUAUCUCAAUAAGAUCUACGAAAAAGUCAAUGCACGCGUAUCUGUCAAAUGUACGGUUAAAGGGUUAUUCCGCAUUUUUUGCUGAUCCGCACACAUUGGAAUGUGGCUAACUCCUCUGAAGGCUUUCGUUCCAUCGGCACCAAAUUUGCUCAGGCCAAUCUACACCCCAUGGCCAUUGAAAGUUAUUCAAAUCAUGACGCUGCACCCCACAGUUUACGUUCUAGGGGGCGCCAAAGAUGACACAAAUAUCCACAUAUUUAAAAGUCUUAUAACUUUUUAUUUUCGUCCUCACUGGCCUCCAAGUUUUCUAGGAUGAUGCAAUGUCCAAAUAUCCACAUUCUUAAAAGAAUCUACAUCCCCCCCCCCCCAUCCCCCAAGUUUUUCCUGCCCAUCACUCAAUGGCUCAAUCGCAUCGCUCUCCCGGCAACACCGUAAUGAGGAGCAACUUGCCGUUUGGAUAUAUCCUAGCUGUGUUUGUGCCCUCACUCAUGGUCCAGACUUUUUUCAAAUAGGACAUGUAGUUUGUCUGCAGCGAGUGUUUUGGUAGAAACUGCGCCUCCCAUUCAUUAUAAUGGGAAAUGACCACAGACAAGUGCGCACACCAUCUUUGGACCUUGUGUGUGACGCGAUCGGGAGGGGGAGGCGGUCGCGCUGGGGGCGGCUCGACGCGGCUCGGGCCCGACAGUGCCCCACCGGGGCCCUAGUUAUUAUUAUUAUUUUUCCUCCCCUUUGAACUGGAAAAUGGCCCACUUCCCACUGGCGAAAACUCAUGAAAUUUGGCAGGACUACCGGGCCUGGUGAAAAAUUUGAUAUUCCGAAGUCGCCCAAACAAGAAAAUGCAAAAUGGCUCCAUAGCGCCCCCUAAGGUGAAAAUUCACACUAUUGACUGUCACGCCUGUACGCUUUGUCAAAAUGACACAAAAAUUGACACACACAUGUAUCUCAAUAAGAUCUACAAAAAAGUCAAUGCGCGCGUAUCUGUCAAAUGUACGGUUAAAGGGUUAUUUCGCAUUUUUUGCCGAUCCGCACACAUCGGAAUUUCGCUAACUCCUCCGAAGGCUUUCGUUCCACCGGCACCACAUUUGCUCAGGCCAAUCUACACCCCAUGGCCAUUUAAAGUUAUUCAAAUCAUGACGCUGCACCCCACGGUUUAGGUUCUAGGGGGCGCCAAAGAUAACCCUAAGAUCCACAUAUUUAAAAGUCUUAUAACUUUUUAUUUUUGCCCUCACUGGCCUCCAAGUUUUCUAGGAUGAUGCAAUGUCCAGCCAUCAACACAUUUGUGAAGGAAUUUUUACUCCCCAAAAGAGCGCCCCCCCAUGGCAGGAGAAAAAAGUCCAUUUUUUCUUGUCCCCUAAGGUGAAAAUACACAUUGUUGAGUGUAACACCUGUACGCUUUGGCAAAAUGACACCAAAAUUGAGACACACAUGUAUCUCAAUAAGAUCUACAAAAAAGUCAAUGCGCACGUAUCUGUCAAAUGUACGGUUAAAGGGUUAUUCCGCAUUUUUUGCCGAUCCGCACACAUUGGAAUUUCGCUAACUCCUCCGAAGGCUUUCGUUCCACCGGCACCACAUUUUCUCAGGCCAAUCUACACCCCAUGGCCAUUAAAAGUUAUUCAAAUCAUGACGCUGCACCCCACGGUUUAGGUUCUAGGGGGCGCCAAAGAUAACCGUAAAAUCCACAUAUUUAAAAGUCUUAUAACUUUUUAUUUUUGUCCCCACUGGCCUCCAAGUUUUCUAGGAUGAUGCAAUGUCCAGCCAUCAACACAUUUGUGAAGGAAUUUUUACUCGCCAAAAGAGCGCCCCCCCAUGGCAGGAGAAAAAAGUCCAUUUUUUCUUGUCCACUAAGGUGAAAAUACACAUUGUUGAGUGCUACGCCUGUAUGUUUUGUCGUAUUGACACAAAAUUUUACAUACACGUGUCUUUCAAUAAGAUCUUCGAAAAAGUCAAUGGCCACGUAUCUGUAAAAUGUACGGUUAAAGGGUUAUUUCGCAUUUUUUGCAGAUUCGCACACAUUGGAAUUUCGCUAACUCCUCCGAAGGCUUUCGUUCCACCGGCACCACAUUUGCUCAGGCCAAUCUACACCCCAUGGCCAUUAAAAGUUAUUCAAAUCAUGACGCUGCACCCCACGGUUUAGGUUCUAGGGGGCGCCAAAUAUAACCCUAAAAUCCACAUAUUUAAAAGUCUUAUAACUUUUUAUUUUUGUCCUCACUGGCCUCCAUGUUUUCUAGGAUGAUGCAAUGUCCAGCCAUCAACACAUUUGUGAAGGAGUUUUUUCUCGUUAAAAGAGCGCCCCCCAUGGCAGGAGAAUAAAGUCAAGUUUUUCCUGUUCAUCAUUCAAUGGCUCAAACGCACUGCUCUCUCGGCAAAAGCGAAAGGAGGAGCAACUUGCCAUUUGGAUAUAUCUUAGCUGUGUUUGUGCCCUCACUCAUGGUCCAGACUUUUUUCAAAUAGGACAUGGAGUUUUUCUGCAGCGAGCGUUUUGGUAGAAACUGCGCCUCCCGUUCAUUAUAAUGGUAAAUGACCACAAACAAGUGCGCACACCAUCUUUGGACCUUGAGUGUGACGCGAUCGGGUGGGGGAGGCGGUCGCGCUGGGGGCGGCGUGACACGGCUCGGGCCCGCCAGUGCCCCAACGGGGCCCUAGUUAUUAUUUUUCCUCCCCUUUGAACUGGAAAAUGGCCCACUUCCCACUGGCGAAAACUCAUGAAAUUUGGCAGGACGACCGGGCCUGGUGAAAAAUUUGAUAUUCCGAAGUCGCCCAAACAAGAAAAUGAGAAAAUGGCUCCAUAGCGCCCCCUAAGGUGAAAAUUCACACUAUUGACUGUCACGCGUGUACGCUUUGUCCAAAUGACACAAAAAUUGACACACACAUGUAUCUCAAUAAGAUCUACAAAAAAGUCAGUGCGGGCGUAUCUGUCAAAUGUACGGUUAAAGGGUUAUUUCGCAUUUUUUGCCGUUCCGCACACAUUGGAAUUUCGCUAACUCCUCCGAAGGCUUUCGUUCCACCGGCACCACAUUUGCUCAGGCCAAUCUACACCCCAUGGCCAUUAAAAGUUAUUCAAAUCAUGACGCUGCACCCCACGGUUUAGGUUCUAGGGGGCGCCAAAGAUAACCCUAAGAUCCACAUAUUUAAAAGUCUUAUAACUUUUUAUUUUUGCCCUCACUGGCCUCCAAGUUUUCUAGGAUGAUGCAAUGUCCAGCCAUCAACACAUUUGUGAAGGAAUUUUUACUCCCCAAAAGAGCGCCCCCCCAUGGUAGGAGAAAAAAGUCCAUUUUUUCUUGUCCCCUAAGGUAAAAAUACACAUUGUUGAGUGUCACGCCUGAACGCUUUGUCAUAUUGACACAAAAAUUGACAAUUAUGUGUAUCUCAAUUAGAUCUACGAAAAAGUCAAAGAGCGCGCAUCUGUAUAAUGUACGGUUAAAGGGCUAUUUUGCAUUUUUUGCCGAUUCGCACACAUUGGAAUGUGGCUAUCUCCUCCUAAGGCUUUCGUCCCACCGAUACCAAAUUUGCUCAGGGCAAUCUACACCCCAUGCCCAUUCAAAGUUGUAAAAAUCAUGACGCUGCACCCCACGGUUUACGUUCUAGGGGGCGCCAAAGAUGACCCAAAAAUCCACAUUCUUAAAAGUCAUUUUGGCCACUGCAGGAGUACAGAGUACUGCAGUUCUAGGGGGCGCCAAAGAUGACCCAAAAAUCCACAUUCUUAAAAGUCUUUUUGGCCACUGCAGGAGUACAGAGUACUGCAGGAUACACACACAUAUACACACACGCCAACAUACACACACACACACACACACACACACACACACACACACACACACACACAUACACACACACACACACUCAGAGUCUGUUUUUUAGCACCUGCAAAAACAUGCUGUUUACAUAUUUGACAAGAAUGCAGAGGCUUUCUUUUGCCCCUGAAAAAAAUCAAAUUUCAAACACAACUUGACUGUUCAUUUCUCCAAAAGACAACCAUGAAGCUCCAUUUCAAACCUGAAGCAGAUAGUUGGUGCAUGUGUACAGUAACCUGAGGGGAGUGAGGUGACUAUUUCUGAGGAGAACAUGAGCAGUGAAGAUUCACCUUGGAGCUAGAACAGGGACGUGCACAUGAUUAUACAGGGGCAGGGGCUCAAGUUUUUUCCAGUCAUUUAUACAAUAUGGAAAUUAAUGUGAAAUUAAACCACAAAUAUGUGUGAUGAACUGUUUUUAAAACUUAAACUUCAAAUAAAAAUUGUAAACUUCAAAACAUAUGCAAAUUUUUAACAAAGAACAUAGUAAUUUACCUCUAUUUACAUCAAAAUGCAGGCAAUGGCCCAGGCGUUCUUUGUAAAAUUAUUUACAAAACACUGUAUAGUCUCACAAAUGUCACUUUUUAUUUAUGCCACUACAAAAAAACAUGAUGUAAAUGAUGCAUGAUGUAAAACAUGAUGUAAAAAACUUGUGUAGAUCCUCCUCUAUGUCAGUCCAUGUGUAAUUUUUCCAUAAUUCUUUGUUUUUUGCAGCAUUUUUGUUCGUGUAACUGCAGAUUGUGCUGACAGUGUCUAUGGCACAAAAAAAAAAAUAAGUUAAAUGCCUCGUCAGGAACCCCUGGUGGUCUCUGAGGGUGAAACCUGCUAACUGCUGCAGCUCUGUCAGCUUCAGUCUCCCAUGCAGAGCUCUGAGCGCAUGUGUGGCUCUGCACCCUUAGCAGCGUUGCUAACUCCUCAGUAAGGAAAGCCUGCUUCAUGUCAGAGUCUCUAAACUCCAGAAGAAGUCGAUAAAAGUCCCUUUCUUUCUAAAAAAAAGUCGUUAGGGUGUCUGAAAAGUCAUUGAAUCUAACAACAAAGUCGCUAGGUUUGCAACUACGUGUCCCAGACUGCAUCCCUGCUGAGAGUCCCUCCCUCCCUUCUCAUGUUGCAGGAAGAACGUAAGCGCCCGCCCCUUGUCAAUCAGUCACCAUAUAAUUUUGGAUUGGUUGUUGUGGUGAAGUUUUCCACCAAUAGGAGAGAUGUUGUGGUGUGUUUUUUUUUUCUUUUGGCAAGCCUUUUCCGCCUGUAAGACCUGUCGCUAAUGUCUGCAUGGUAUGUUUUCCUGUCUCAUACAGCGCGAUCGAGCGCCGAACGUGAUCAAAAUAAGCAGAAAAAAAGUAUCGCGGACAUAAUUUAUCAUAACUCUGGUUUUAUUUGGCCUAUCAACACAAUUUAAAAACUGGUAUAUAGGUUGAGGUCCUCACUUUUGAGAUAAGUUGAAACGGAGAGUCAACGAGGCUCCGUCUUGCAGCUACAUCCGGUUAAAUAUGUCAUGUGACUUGAACGCACACACAGACACACACACACGCACACACACACACACACACACACACACACUCAGAGUCUGGUUUUUAGCACCUGCAAAAACAUGCUAUUUACAUAUUUGACAAGAAUGCAGAGGCUCCUUUUGCCCCUGAAAAAAAUCAAAUUUCAAACACAACUUGACUGGUCAUUUCUCCAAAAGACAACCAUGAAGCUCCAUCCAAACCUGAAGCAGGCAGUUGGUGCAUGUGUACAGUAACCUGAGGGGAGUGAGGUGAGUGCUUCUGAGGAGAACAUGAGCAGUGAAGAUUCACCUUGGAGCUAGAACAGAGACAUGCACAUGAUUAUACAGGGGCAGGGGCUCAAGUUUUUUCCAGUCGUUUAUACAAUAUGGAAAUUAAUGUGAAAUUAAAACACAAAGUAUUAAUAGAAAGGUAAUGACUGUCCUGUGUAGGUGACAGUGAUAUCCAAUAGGCUAGGCACUCACGAGGCUGGCUGUGGCAAGUGUAAGUGAAAGCAACACGCACUGGCAGGAAGAACAGCAAACGCCGAUGAAGGAAAAGGGUCUUUGCAGUGAUGGGCGUUAACAGAGAGGGCGAUGGCCAGAGGACACAAAUGGGACGGGGAGGCAGCACGUUGGGGGGGGGGGGGGGGGAGAGACGCGACACGGCUCGGGCCCGCCAGUGCCCCAACGGGGUCCUAGUUAGGGCCCGAGCCAGCUGCAGAGCAGCCGGGCGUAGGCCCUAUUAUUCCCCAAGUGGUUUUUCUUUGUUUCUUUCUUUAGGGCCCGAGCGUAGCUGCUAAGCAGCUGCGAGAGCCCUCUUGUUCCUGCAUGUUUCCUUCUUUUUAGGGCCCGAGCGUAGCUGCUAAGCAGCUGCGAGAGCCCUCUUGUUCCUGCAUGUUUCCUUCUUUAGGGCCCGAGCGUAGCUGCUAAGCAGCUGCGAGAGCCCUAUUAUUCCCCAAGUGGUUUUUCUUUGUUUCUUUCUUUCUUUCUUCUUUUUCCUCCCCUUUGAACUGGAAAAUGGCCCACUUCCCACUGGCGAAAACUCAUGAAAUUUGGCAGGACGACCGGGCCUGGUGAAAAAUUCGAUAUUCUGAAGUCGCCCAAACAAUAAAAUGCAAAAUGGCUCCAUAGCGCCCCCUAAGGUGGAAAUUCACACUAUUGACUGUCACGCCUGUACGCUUUGUCAUAUUGACACAAAAAUUGACACACAUAUGUAUCUCAAUAAGAUCUACAAAAAAGUCAGUGCGGCCGUAUCUGUCAAAAUUACGGUUAAAGGGUUAUUUCGCAUUUUUUGCCGAUCCGCACACAUUGGAAUUUCGCUAACUUCUCCGAAGGCUUUCGUUCCACCGGCACCACAUUUGCUCAGGCCAAUCUACACCCCGUGGCCAUUAAAAGUUAUCAAAAUCAUGACGCUUCACCACAAGGUUUAGGUUCUAGGGGGCGCCAAAGAUAACACUAAAAUCCACAUAUUUAAAAGUCUUAUAACUUUUUAUUUUUGUCCUCACUGGCCUCCAAGUUUUCUAGGAUGAUGCAAUGUCCAGCCAUCAACACAUUUGUGAAGGAAUUUUUACUCCCCAAAAGAGCGCCCCCCAUGGCAAGAGAAAAAAGUCAAUUUUUUCUUGUCCCCUAAGGUGAAAAUACACAUUGUUGAGUGUCACGCCUAUACGCUUUGUCAAAAUGACACAAAAAUUGACACACACAUGUAACUCAAUAAGAUCUACGAAAAAGUCAAUGCGCGCGUAUCUGUCAAAUGUACGGUUAAAGGGUUAUUCCGCAUUUUUUGCCGAUCCGCACACAUUGGAAUGUGGCUAACUCCUCCUAAGGCUUUCGUUCCACCGGCACCACAUUUGCUCAGGCCAAUCUACACCCCAUGGCCAUUAGAAGUUAUCAAAAUCAUGACGCUGCACCCCAAGGUUUAGGUUCUAGGGGGCGCCAAAGAUAACACUAAAAUCCACAUAUUUAAAAGUCUUAUAACUUUUUAUUUUUGUCCUCACUGGCCUCCAAGUUUUCUAGGAUGAUGCAAUGUCCAGCCAUCAACACAUCUGUGAAGGAAUUUUUACUCGCCAAAAGAGCGCCCCCCCCCAUGGCAGGAGAAAAAAGUCCAUUUUUUCUUGUCCCCUAAGGUGAAAAUACACAUUGUUGAGUGUCACGCCUGUACGCUUUGGCAAAAUGACACAAAAAUUGACACACACAUGUAUCUCAAUAAGAUCUACAAAAAAGUCAGUGCGGGCGUAUCUGUCAAAUGUACGGUUAAAGGGUUAUUGCGCAUUUUUUGCCGAUCCGCACACAUUGGAAUUUCGCUAACUCCUCCGAAGGCUUUCGUUCCACCGGCACCACAUUUGCUCAGGCCAAUCUACACCCCAUGGCCAUUAAAAGUUAUUCAAAUCAUGAUGCUGCACCCCAUGGUUUAGGUUCUAGGGGGCGCCAAAAAUAACCCAAAAAUCCACAUUCUUAAAUGUUUUAACUUUUUUUUUUUGUCCUCACUGGCCUCCAAGUUUUCUAGGAUGAUGCAAUGUCCAGCCAUCAACACAUUUGUGAAGGAAUUUUUACUCCCCAAAAGAGCGCCCCCCAUGGUAGGAGAAAAAAGUCAAUUUUUUCUUGUCCCCUUACAUGAAAAUACACAUUGUUGAGUGUCACGCCUGAACGCUAUGUCAUAUUGACACAAAAAUUGACAAUCAUGUGUAUCUCAAUUAGAUCUACGAAAAAGUCAAAGAGCGCGUAUCUGUAUAAUGUACGGUUAAAGGGCUAUUUUGCAUUUUUUGCCGAUUCGCACACAUUGGAAUGUGGCUAACUCCUCCUAAAUCUUUUGUCCCAUCGGCUUCAAAUUUGCUCAGGUCAAUCUACACCCUAUGGCCAUUCAAAGUUGUACAAAUCAUGACGCUGCACCCCACAGUUUACGUUCUAGGGGGCGCCAAAGAGGACCCAAAUAUCCACAUUUUUAAAAGUCUUAUAACUUUUUAUUUUUGUCCUCACUGGCCUCCAAGUUUUCUAGGAUGAUGCAAUGUCCAGCCAUCAACACAUUUGUGAAGGAAUUUUUCUCCCCAAAAGAGCGCCCCCCAUGGCAGGAGAAAAAGUCAAGUUUUUCCUGCCCAUCGCUCAAUGGCUCAAACGCAUCGCUCUCUCGGCAAAACCGAAAGGAGGAGCAACUUGCCAUUUGGAUAUAUACUAGCUGUGUUUGUGCCCUCACUCAUGGUCCAGACUUUUUUCAAAAAGGACAUGGAGUUUGUCUGCAGCGAGCGUUUUGGUAGAAACUGCGCCUCCCAUUCAUUAUAAUGGUAAAUGACCACUGACAAGUGCGCACACCAUCUUUGGACCUUGAGUGUGACGCGAUCGGGAGGGGUAGGCGGUCGCGCUGGGGGCGGCGCGACACGGCUCGGGCCCGCCAGUGCCCCAACGGGGCCCUAGUUUGUUAUUAGGGCCCGAGCGUAGCUGCUAAGCAGCUGCGAGAGCCCUAUUAUUCCCCAAGUGGUUUUUUAGGGCCCGAGCCAGCUGCAGAGCAGCCGGGCGUAGAGCCCUAUUAUUCCUGUAUAGGUUUUUCUUUCUUCUUUCUUUCUUUCUUUCUUUCUUCUUAUUUUUCCUCCCCUUUGAAGGGGAAAAUGGCCCACUUCCCACUGGCGAAAACUCAGGAAAUUUGGCAGGACGACCGGGCCCGGUGAAAAAUUCGAUAUUCUGAAGUCGCCCAAACAAUAAAAUGCAAAAUGGCUCCAUAGCGCCCCCUAAGGCGAAAAUUCACACUAUUGACUGUCACGCCUGUACGCUUUGUCAUUUUGACACAAAAAUUGACACACACGUGUAUCUCAAUACGGUCUACGAAAAAGUCAGCGCGGGCGCAUCUGUGAAAUGUACGGUUAGAGGGUUAUUUCGCAUUUUUUGCCGAUCUGCACACAUUGGAAUUUCGCUAACUCCUCCGAAGGCUUUCGUUCCACCGGCACCACAUUUGCUCAGGCCAAUCUACACCCCAUGGCCAUUAAAAGUUGUACAAAUCAUGACGCUGCACCCCACGGUUUACGUUCUAGGGGGCGCCAAAGAUAACCCAAAAAUCCACAGUCUUAAAAGUCUUAUAACUUUUUAUUUUUGUCCUCACUGGCCUCCAAGUUUUCUAGGAUGAUGCAAUGUCCAGCCAUCAACACAUUUGUGAAGGAAUUUUUACUCACGAAAAGAGCGCCCCCCCAUGGCAGGAGAAAAAAGUCCAUUUUUUCUUGUCCCCUAAGGUGAAAAAACACAUUGUUGACUGUCACGCCUAUACGCUUUGUCAAAAUGAUACAAAAUUUGACACACACGUGUAUCUCAAUAAGAUCUACGAAAAAGUCAAUGUGCACGUAUCUGUAAAAUGUACGGUUAAAGGGUUAUUUCGCAUUUUUUCCCGAUCCGCACACAUUGGAAUUUCGCUAACUCCUCCGAAGGCUUUCGUUCCACCGGCACCACAUUUGCUCAGGCCAAUCUACACCCCAUGGCCAUUAAAAGUUGUACAAAUCAUGACGCUGCACCCCACGGUUUACGUUCUAGGGGGCGCCAAAGAUAACCCAAAAAUCCACAGUCUUAAAAGUCUUAUAACUUUUUAUUUUUGUCCUCACUGGCCUCCAAGUUUUCUAGGAUGAUGCAAUGUCCAGCCAUCAACACAUUUGUGAAGGAAUUUUUACUCACGAAAAGAGCGCCCCCCCAUGGCAGGAGAAAAAAGUCCAUUUUUUCUUGUCCCCUAAGGUGAAAAAACACAUUGUUGACUGUCACGCCUAUACGCUUUGUCAAAAUGAUACAAAAUUUGACACACACGUGUAUCUCAAUAAGAUCUACGAAAAAGUCAAUGUGCACGUAUCUGUAAAAUGUACGGUUAAAGGGUUAUUUCGCAUUUUUUCCCGAUCCGCACACAUUGGAAUUUCGCUAACUCCUCCGAAGGCUUUAGUUCCACCGCCACCAAAUUUGCUCAGGCCAAUCUACACCCCAUGGCCAUUAAAAGUUGUAAAAAUCAUGACGCUGCACUCCACGGUUUAGGUUCUAGGGGGCGCCAAAGAUAACCCAAAGAUCCACAUUCUUAAUAGUCUUAUAACUUUUUAUUUUUGUCCUCACUGGCCUCCAAGUUUUCUAGGAUGAUGCAAUGUCCAGCCAUCAACACAUUUGUAAAGGAAUUUUUACUCCCGAAAAGGGCGCCCCCCCAUGGCAGGAGAAAAAAGUCCAUUUUUUCUUGUCCCCUAAGGUGAAAAAACACAUUGUUGACUGUCACGCCUAUACGCUUUGUCAAAAUGAUACAAAAUUUGACACACACGUGUAUCUCAAUAAGAUCUACGAAAAAGUCAAUGUGCACGUAUCUGUAAAAUGUACGGUUAAAGGGUUAUUUCGCUUUUUUUCCCGAUCCGCACACAUUGGAAUUUCGCUAACUCCUCCGAAGGCUUUAGUUCCACCGCCACCAAAUUUGCUCAGGCCAAUCUACACCCCAUGGCCAUUAAAAGUUGUAAAAAUCAUGACGCUGCACUCCACGGUUUAGGUUCUAGGGGGCGCCAAAGAUAACCCAAAAAUCCACAUUCUUAAUAGUCUUAUAACUUUUUAUUUUUGUCCUCACUGGCCUCCAAGUUUUCUAGGAUGAUGCAAUGUCCAGCCAUCAACACAUUUGUAAAGGAAUUUUUACUCCCGAAAAGGGCGCCCCCCCAUGGCAGGAGAAAAAAGUCAAUUUUUUCUUGUCCCCUAAGGUGAAAAAACACAUUGUUGACUGUCACGCCUAUACGCUUUGUCAAAAUGACACAAAAUUUGACACACACGUGUAUCUCAAUAAGAUCUACGAAAAAGUCAAUGGGCACGUAUCUGUAAAAUGUACGGUUAAAGGGCUAUUUCGCAUUUUUUGCCGAUUCGCACACAUUGGAAUGUGGCUAACUCCUCCUAAGGCUUUCUUCCCACCGACACCAAAUUUGCUCAAGCCAAUCUACAUCCCAUGGCCAUUCAAAGUUGUAAAAAUCAUGCCGCUGCACCCCAUGGUUUACGUUCUAGGGGGCGCCAAAGAUGACCCAAAUAUCCACAUUCUUAAAAGAAUCCACAUCCCCCCCCCCCCAAGGCAGGAGAAAAAGUCCAGUUAACCCUGCCCAUCGCUCAAUGGCUCAAUCGCAUCGCUCUCCCGGCAACACCAUAAGGAGGAGCAACUUGCCAUUUGGAUAUAUCCUAGCUGUGUUUGUGCCCUCACUCAUGGUCCAGACUUUUUUCAAAUAGGACAUGUAGUUUGUCUGCAGCGACCGUUUUGGUAGAAACUGCGCCUCCCAUUCAUUAUAAUGGGAAAUGACCACAGACAAGUGCGCACACCAUUUUUGGACCUUGAGUGUAAUGCAAUCGGGAGGGGGAGGCGGUCGCGCUGGGGGCGGCGCGACGCGGCUCGGGCCCGACAGUGCCCCACCGGGGCCCUAGUUAUUUUUGUCCUCACUGGCCUCCAAGUUUUCUAGGAUGAUGCAAUGUCCAGCCAUCAACACAUUUGUGAAGGAAUUUUUACUCCCCAAAAGAGCCCCCCCCCCAUGGCAGGAGAAAAAAGUCAAUUUUUUCUUGUCCCCUAAGGUGGAAAUUCACACUAUUGACUGUCACGCCUGUACGCUUUAUCAUAUUGACACAAAAAUUGACACACAUAUGUAUCUCAAUAAGAUCUACAAAAAAGUCAAUGCGCGCGUAUCUGUCAAAUGUACGGUUAAAGGGCUAUUUUGCAUUUUUUGCCGAUUCGCACACAUUGGAAUGUGGCUAACUCCUCCUAAGGCUUUCGUCCCACUGACACCAAAUUUGCUCAGGCCAAUCUACACCCCAUGGCCAUUCAAAGUUGUAAAAAUCAUGACGCUGCACCCCACGGUUUACGUUCUAGGGGGCGCCAAAGAUGACCCAAAUAUCCAAAUUCUUAAAAGAAUCCACAUCCCCCCCCCAUCCCCCACCCCCCAUGGCAGGAGAAACAGUCAAGUUUUUCCUGCCCAUCACUCAAUGGCUCAAUCGCAUCGCUCUCCCGGCAACACCGUAACGAGGAGCAACUUGCCGUUUGGAUAUAUCCUAGCUGUGUUUGUGCCCUCACUCAUGGUCCAGACUUUUUUCAAAUAGGACAUGUAGUUUGUCUGCAGCGAGUGUUUUGGUAGAAACUGCGCCUCCCAUUCAUUAUAAUGGGAAAUGACCACAGACAAGUGCGCACACCAUCUUUGGACCUUGAGUGUGACGCGAUCGGGACAGUGCCCCACCGGGGCCCUAGUUAUUAUUUUUCCUCCGCUUUAAACUGGAAAAUGGCCCACUUCCCACUGGCGAAAACUCAGGAAAUUUGGCAGGACGACCGGGCCUGGUGAAAAAUUCGAUAUUCUGAAGUCGCCCAAACAAUAAAAUGCAAAAUGGCUCCAUAGCGCCCCCUAAGGUGAAAAUUCACAUGACGGCUGUACGCUUUGUCAUAUUGACACAAAAAUUGACACACACAUGUAUCUCAAUAAGAUCUACAAAAAAGUCAGUGCGGGCGUAUCUGUCAAAUGUACGGUUAAUGGGUUAUUUUGCAUUUUUUGCAGAUCUGCACACAUUGGAAUUUCGCUAACUCCUCCGAAGGCUUUCGUUCGACCGGCACCACAUUUGCGCAGGCCAAUCUACCCCCCAUGGCCAUUAAAAGUUGUACAAAUCAUGACGCAAAUGACACAAGUCUUAUAACGUUCUAGGGGGCGCCAAAGAUAACCCAAAAUCCACAUUCUUAAAAGUCUUAUAACUUUUUAUUUUUGUCCUCACUGCCCUCCAAGUUUUCUAGGAUGAUGCAAUGUCCAGCCAUCAACACAUUUGUGAAGGAAUUUUUACUCCCCAAAAGAGCGCCCCCCAUGGCAGGAGAAAAAAGUCAAUUUUUUCUUGUCCCCUUACAUGAAAAUACACAUUGUUGAGUGUCACGCCUGAACGCUUUGUCAUAUUGACACAAAAAUUGACAAUCAUGUGUAUCUCAAUUAGAUCUACGAAAAAGUCAAAAAGCGCGUAUCUGUAUAAUGUACGGUUAAAGGGCUAUUUCGCAUUUUUUGCCGAUUCGCACACAUUGGAAUGUGGCUAUCUCCUCCUAAGGCUUUCGUCCCAUCGGCACCAAAUUUGCUCAAGCCGAUCUACAUCCCAUGGCCAUUCAAAGUUGUAAAAAUCAUGACGCUGCACCCCACGGUUUACGUUCUAGGGGGCACCAAAGAUGACCCAAAAAUCCACAUUCUUAAAAGUCAUUUUGGCCACUGCAGGAGUACAGAGUACUGCAGUUCUAGGGGGCGCCAAAGAUGACACAAAAAUCCACAUUCUUAAAAGUCUUUUUGGCCACUGCAGGAGUACAGAGUACUGCAGGAUACACACACAUAUACACACACACACACACACACACACACACACACACACACACACACACACACACACACACUCAGAGUCUGUUUUUUAGCACCUGCAAAAACAUGCUGUUUACAUAUUUGACAAGAAUGCAGAGGCUUCCUUUUGCCCCUGAAAAAAAUCAGAUUUCAAACACAACUUGACUGUUCAUUUCUCCAAAAGACAACCAUGAAGCUCCAUCCAAACCUGAAGCAGAUAGUUGGUGCAUGUGUACAGUAACCUGAGGGGAGUGAGGUGACUAUUUCUGAGGAGAACAUGAGCAGUGAAGAUUCACCUUGGAGCUAGAACAGGGACGUGCACAUGAUUAUACAGGGGCAGGGGCUCAAGUUUUUUCCAGUCAUUUAUACAAUAUGGAAAUUAAUGUGAAAUUAAAACACAAAUAUGUGUGAUGAACUGUUUUUAAAACUUAAACUUCAAAUAAAAAUUGUAAACUUCAAAACAUAUGCAAAUUUUUAACAAAGAACAUAGUUAUUUACCUCUAUUUACAUCAAAAUGCAGGCAAUGGCCCAGGCGUUCUUUGUAAAAUUAUUUACAAAACACUGUAUAGUCUCACAAAUGUCACUUUUUAUUUAUGCCACUACAAAAAAACAUGAUGUAAAUGAUGCAUGAUGUAAAACAUGAUGUAAAAAACUUGUGUAGAUCCUCCUCUAUGUCAGUCCAUGUGUAAUUUUUCCAUAAUUCUUUGUUUUUUGCAGCAUUUUUGUUAGUGUAACUGCAGAUUGUGCUGACAGUCUAUGGCAAAAAAAAACCAAAAACUGAAAAUGCCUCAACAUGAACCCCUGGUGGUCUCUGAGGGUGAAACCUGCUAACUGCUGCAGCUCUGUCAGCUUCAGUCUCCCAUGCAGAGCUCGGAGCGCAUGUGUGGCUCUGCACCCUUAGCAGCGUUGCUAACUCCUCAGUAAGGAAAGCCUGCUUCAUGUCAGAGUCUCUAAACUCCAGAAGAAGUCGAUAAAAGUCACUUUCUUUCUAAAAAAAAAGUCGUUAGGGGGUCUGAAAAGUCAUUGAAUCUAACAACAAAGUCGCUAGGUUUGCAACUACGUGUCCCAGACUGCAUCCCUGCUGAGAGUCCCUUCCUCCCUUCUCAUAUUGCAGGAAGAACGUAAGCGCCCGCCCCUUGUCAAUCAGUCACCAUAUAAUUUUGGAUUGGUUGUUGUGGUGAAGUUUUCCACCAAUAGGAGAGAUGUUGUGGUGUGUUUUUUUUUUCCUUUGGCAAGCCUUUUCCGCCUGUAAGACCUGUCGCUAAUGUCUGCAUGCUAUGUUUUCCUGUCGCAUACAGCGCGAUCGAGCGCCGAACGUGAUCAAAAUAAGCAGAAAACAAGUAUCGCGGGCAUAAUUUAUCAUAACUCUGGUUUUAUUUGGCCUAUCAACACAAUUUAAAAACUGGUAUAUAGGUUGAGGUCCUCACUUUUGAGAUAAGUUGAAACAGAGUCAACAAGGCUCCGUCUUGCAGCUACAUCCGGUUAAAUAUGUCAUGUGACUUGAACGCACACACACACACACACACACACACACAGACACACACACACACACACGCACACACACACACUCAGAGUCUGGUUUUUAGCACCUGCAAAAACAUGCUAUUUACAUAUUUGACAAGAAUGCAGAGGCUCCUUUUGCCCCUGAAAAAAAUCAAAUUUCAAACACAACUUGACUGGUCAUUUCUCCAAAAGACAACCAUGAAGCUCCAUCCAAACCUGAAGCAGGCAGUUGGUGCAUGUGUACAGUAACCUGAGGGGAGUGAGGUGACUGCUUCUGAGGAGAACAUGAGCAGUGAAGAUUCACCUUGGAGCUAGAACAGAGACAUGCACAUGAUUAUACAGGGGCAGGGGCUCAAGUUUUUUCCAGUCAUUUAUACAAUAUUGAAAUUAAUGUGAAAUUAAAAAACAAGUAUUAAUAGAAAGGUUAUGACUGUCCUGUGUAGAUGACAGUGAUAUCCAAUAGGCUAGGCACUCACGAGGCUGGCUGUGGCAAGUGUAAGUGAAAGCAACACGCACUGGCAGGAAGAACAGCAAACGCCGAUGAAGGAAAAGGGUCUUUGCAGUGAUGGGCGUUACCAGAGAGGGCGAUGGCCAGAGGACACAAAUGGGACGGGGAGGCAGCGCGUUGGGGGGGGGGCGCGACACAGCUCGGGCCCGCCAGUGCCCCAACGGGGUCCUAGUCUUUGUUUCUUUUUUCUUUUUCCUCCCCUUUGAACUGGAAAAUGGCCCACUUCCCACUGGCGAAAACUCAUGAAAUUUGGCAGGACGACCGGGCCUGGUGAAAAAUUUGAUAUUCUGAAGUCGCCCAAACAAUACAAUGCAAAAUGGCUCCAUAGCGCCCCCUAAGGUGAAAAAUUCACCUGACGCCUGUACGCUUUGUCAAAAUGACACAAAAAUUGACACACACAUGUAUCUCAAUAAGAUCUACAAAAAAGUCAGUGCGGGCGUAUCUGUCAAAUGUACGGUUAAAGGGUUAUUGCGCAUUUUUUGCCGAUCCGCACACAUUGGAAUUUCGCUAACUCCUCCGAAGGCUUUCGUUCCACCGGCACCACAUUUGCUCAGGCCAAUCUACACCCCAUGGCCAUUAAAAGUUAUUCAAAUCAUGACGCUGCACCCCACGGUUUAGGUUCUAGGGGGCGCCAAAGAUAACCCUAAAAUCCACAUAUUUCAAAGUCUUAUAACUUUUUAUUUUUGCCCUCACUGGCCUCCAAGUUUUCUAGGAUGAUGCAAUGUCCAGCCAUCAACACAUUUGUGAAGGAAUUUUUACUCCCCAAAAGAGCGCCCCCCAUGGCAGGAGAAAAAAGUCCAUUUUUUCUUGUCCCAUAAGGUGAAAAUUCACACUAUUGACUGUCACGCCUGUACGCUUUGUCAAAAUUACACAAAAAUUGACACACACAUGUAUCUCAAUAAGAUCUACAAAAAAGUCAGGGCGGGCGUAUCUGUCAAAUGUACGGUUAAAGGGUUAUUGCGCAUUUUUUGCCGAUCCGCACACAUUGGAAUUUCGCUAACUCCUCCGAAGGCUUUCGUUCCACCGGCACCACAUUUGCUCAGGCCAAUCUACACCCCAUGGCCAUUAAAAGUUAUUCAAAUCAUGACGCUGCACCCCACGGUUUAGGUUCUAGGGGGCGCCAAAGAUAACCCUAAAAUCCACAUAUUUAAAAGUCUUAUAACUUUUUAUUUUUGUCCUCUCUGGCCUCCAAGUUUUCUAGGAUGAUGCAAUGUCCAGCCAUCAACACAUUUGUGAAGGAAUUUUUACUCCCUAAAAGAGCGCCCCCCCAUGGCAGGAGAAAAAAGUCCAUUUUUUCUUGUCCCAUAAGGUGAAAAUACACAUUGUUGACUGUCAUACCUGUAUGCUUUGUCAUAUUGACACAAAAUUUGACACACACAUGUAUCUCAAUAAGAUCUACGAAAAAGUCAAUGCGCGCGUAUCUGUAAAAUGUACGGUUAAAGGGCUAUUUUGCAUUUUUUGCCGAUUCGCACACAUUGGAAUGUGGCUAACUCCUCCUAAGGCUUUCGUCCCACUGAUACCAAAUUUGCUCAGGCCAAUCUACACCCCAUGGCCAUUCAAAGUUGUAAAAAUCAUGACGCUGCACCCCACGGUUUACGUUCUAGGGGGCGCCAAAGAUGACCCAAAUAUCCACAUUCUUAAAAGAAUCCACAUCCCCCCCCCCAUCCCCCAUCCCCCAUCCCCCAUCCCCCAUGGCAUGAGAAACAGUCAAGUUUUUCCUGCCCAUCACUCAAUGGCUCAAUCGCAUCGCUCUCCCGGCAACACCGUAACGAGGAGCAACUUGCCGUUUGGAUAUAUCCUAGCUGUGUUUGUGCCCUCACUCAUGGUCCAGACUUUUUUCAAAUAGGACAUGUAGUUUGUCUGCAGCGAGUGUUUUGGUAGAAACUGCGCCUCCCAUUCAUUAUAAUGGGAAAUGACCACAGACAAGUGCGCACACCAUCUUUGGACCUUGAGUGUGACGCGAUCGGGAGGGGGAGGCGGUCGCACUGGGGGCGGCGCAACGCGGCUCGGGCCCGCCAGUGCCCCAACGGGGCCCUAGUUAUUAGGGCCCGAGCGUAGCUGCUAAGCAGCUGCGAGAGCCCUCUUGUUCCUGAUGGAUUCUUCUUUCGUUAUUUUUCCUCCGCUUUAAACUGGAAAAUGGCCCACUUCCCACUGGCGAAAACUCAUGAAAUUUGGCAGGAAGACCGGGCCUGGUGAAAAAUUCGAUAUUCUGAAGUCGCCCAAACAAUACAAUGCAAAAUGGCUCCAUAGCGCCCCCUAAGGUGAAAAUUCACAUGCGGGCUGUACGCUUUGUCAAAAUGACACAAAAAUUGACACACACAUGUAUCUCAAUAAGAUCUACAAAAAAGUCAGUGCGGGCGUAUCUGUCAAAUGUACGGUUAAAGGGUUAUUUCGCAUUUUUUGCAGAUCUGCACACAUUGGAAUUUCGCUAACUCCUCCGAAGGCUUUCGUUCCACCGGCACCACAUUUGCGCAGGCCAAUCUACCCCCCAUGGCCAUUAAAAGUUGUACAAAUCAUCUUGCUGCACCCCACGGUUUAGGUUCUAGGGGGCGCCAAAGAUAACCCAAAAAUCCAAAGUGUUAAAAGUCUUAUAACUUUUUAUUUUUCUCCAAACUGGCCUCCAAGUUUUCUAGGAUGAUGCAAUGUCCAGCCAUCAACACAUCUGUGAACAAAUUUUUACUCCCCAAAAGAGCGCCCCCCCAUGGCAGGAGAAAAAAGUCCAUUUUUUCUUGUCCCGUAAGGUGAAAAUACACAUUUUUGAGUGUCACCCCUGUACCCUUUGUCAUAUUGACACAAAAUUUGACACACACAUGUAUCUCAAUAAGAUCUACGAAAAAGUCAAUGCGCGCGUAUCUGUCAAAUGUACGGUUAAAGGGUUAUUCCGCAUUUUUUGCCGAUCCGCACACAUUGGAAUUUCGCUAACUCCUCCGAAGGCUUUCGUUCCACCGGCACCACAUUUGCUCAGGCCAAUCUACACCCCAUGGCCAUUAAAAGUUAUUCAAAUCAUGACGCUGCACCCCACGGUUUAGGUUCUAGGGGGAGCCAAAGAUAACCGUAAAAUCCACAUAUUUAAAAGUCUUAUCACUUUUUAUUUUUGUCCCCACUGGCCUCCAAGUUUUCUAGGAUGAUGCAAUGUCCAGCCAUCAACACAUUUGUGAAGGAAUUUUUACUCGGCAAAAGAGCGCCCCCCCAUGGCAGGAGAAAAAAGUCAAUUUUUUCUUGUCCACUAAGGUGAAAAUACACAUUGUUGAGUGCUACGCCUGUAUGUUUUGUCGUAUUGACACAAAAUUUUACAUACACGUGUAUUUCAAUAAGAUCUUCAAAAAAGUCAAUGGCCACGUAUCUGUAAAAUGUACGGUUAAAGGGUUAUUUCGCAUUUUUUGCAGAUUCGCACACAUUGGAAUUUCGCUAAUUCCUCCGAAGGCUUUCGUUCCACCGGCACCACAUUUGCUCAGGCCAAUCUACACCCCAUGGCCAUUAAAAGUUAUUCAAAUCAUGACGCUGCACCCCACGGUUUAGGUUCUAGGGGGCGCCAAAUAUAACCCUAAAAUCCACAUAUUUAAAAGUCUUAUAACUUUUUAUUUUUGUCCUCACUGGCCUCCAUGUUUUCUAGGAUGAUGCAAUGUCCAGCCAUCAACACAUUUGUGAAGGAGUUUUUCUCUUUAAAAGAGCGCCCCCCCAUGGCAGGAGAAUAAAGUCAAGUUUUUCCUGUUCAUCAUUCAAUGGCUCAAACGCACUGCUCUCUCGGCAAAAGCGAAAGGAGGAGCAACUUGCCAUUUGGAUAUAUCUUAGCUGUGUUUGUGCCCUCACUCAUGGUCCAGACUUUUUUCAAAUAGGACAUGGAGUUUUUCUGCAGCGAGCGUUUUGGUAGAAACUGCGCCUCCCGUUCAUUAUAAUGGUAAAUGACCACAAACAAGUGCGCACACCAUCUUUGGACCUUGAGUGUGACGCGAUCGGGUGGGGGAGGCGGUCGCGCUGGGGGCGGCGUGACACGGCUCGGGCCCGCCAGUGCCCCAACGGGGCCCUAGUGUUAUUAGGGCCCGAGCGUAGCUGCUAAGCAGCUGCGAGAGCCCUCUUGUUAGGGCCCGAGCGCAGCUGCUAAGCAGCUGCGAGAGCCCUAUUAUUCCCCAAGAGGUUUUUCUUUGUUUCUUUCUUUCUUCUUUUUCCUCCCCUUUGAACUGGAAAAUGGCCCACUUCCCACUGGCGAAAACUCAUGAAAUUUGGCAGGAUGACCGGGCCUGGUGAAAAAUUUGAUAUUCCGAAGUCGCCCAAACAAGAAAAUGCAAAAUGGCUCCAUAGCGCCCCCUAAGGUGAAAAUUCACACUAUUGACUGUCACGCCUUUACGCUUUGUCAAAAUGACACAAAAAUUGACACACAUAUGUAUCUCAAUAAGAUCUACAAAAAAGUCAGUGCGGGCGUAUCUGUCAAAUGUACGGUUAAAGGGUUAUUCCGCAUUUUUUGCCGAUCCGCACACAUUGGAAUUUCGCUAACUCCUCCGAAGGCUUUCUUUCCACCGGCACCACAUUUGCUCAGGCCAAUCUACACCCCAUGGCCAUUAAAAGUUAUUCAAAUCAUGACGCUGCACCCCACGGUUUAGGUUCUAGGGGGCGCCAAAGAUAACCCUAAAAUCCACAUAUUUCAAAGUCUUAUAACUUUUUAUUUUUGUCCUCACUGGCCUCCAAGUUUUCUAGGAUAAUGCAAUGUCCAGCCAUCAACACAUUUGUGAAGGAAUUUUUACUCCCCAAAAGAGCGCCCCCCCAUGGCAGGAGAAAAAAGUCCAUUUUUUCUUGUCCCGUAAGGUGAAAAUUCACAUUGUUGAGUGUGACACCUGUACGCUUUGUCAUAUUGACACAAAAUUUGACAAUCACGUGUAUCUCAAUAAGAUCUACGAAAAAGUCAAUGAGUGCGUAUCUGUCAAAUGUACGGUUAGAGGGCUAUUUUGCAUUUUUUGCCGAUUCGCACACAUUGGAAUGUGGCUAACUCCUCCUAAGGCUUUCGUCCCACUGACACCAAAUUUGCUCAGGCCAAUCUACACCCCAUGGCCAUUCAAAGUUGUAAAAAUCAUGACGCUGCACCCCACGGUUUACGUUCUAGGGGGCGCCAAAGAUGACCAAAAAAUCCACAUUCUUAAAAGAAUCCACAUUCUUAAAAGAAUCCCCCAUGGCAGGAGAAAAAGUCAAGUUUUUCCUGCCCAUCGCUCAAUGGCUCAAUCGCAUCGCUCUCCAGGCAACACCGUAAGGAGGAGCAACCUGCCAUUUGGAUAUAUCCCAGCUGUGUUUGUGCCCUCACUCAUGGUCCAGACUUUUUUCAAAUAGGACAUGAAGUUUGUCUGCAGCGAGUGUUUUGGUAGAAACUGCGCCUCCCAUUCAUUAUAAUGGGAAAUGACCACAGACAAGUGCGCACACCAUCUUUGGACCUUGAGUGUGACGCGAUCGGGAGGGGUAGGCGGUCACGCUGGGGGCGGCACGACGCGGCUCGGGCCCGACAGUGCCCCACCGGGGCCCUAGUUUCUUCUUUUUCCUCCCCUUUGAACUGGAAAAUGGCCCACUUCCCACUGGCGAAAACUCAUGAAAUUUGGCAGGACGACCGGGCCUGGUGAAAAAUUCGAUAUUCUGAAGUCGCCCAAACAAUAAAAUGCAAAAUGGCUCCAUAGCGCCCCCUAAGGUGGAAAUUCACACUAUUGACUGUCACGCCUGUACGCUUUGUCAAAAUGACACAAAAAUUGACACACAUAUGUAUCUCAAUAAGAUCUACAAAAAAGUCAGUGCGGCCGUAUCUGUCAAAAUUACGGUUAAAGGGUUAUUUCGCAUUUUUUGCCGAUCCGCACACAUUGGAAUUUCGCUAACUCCUCCAAAGGCUUUCGUUCCACCGGCACCACAUUUGCUCAGGCCAAUCUACACCCCGUGGCCAUUAAAAGUUAUCAAAAUCAUGACGCUGCACCCCAAGGUUUAGGUUCUAGGGGGCGCCAAAGAUAACCCUAAAAUCCACAUUUUUAAAAGUCUUAUAACUUUUUAUUUUUGUCCUCACUGGCCUCCAAGUUUUCUAGGAUGAUGCAAUGUCCAGCCAUCAACACAUUUGUGAAGGAAUUUUUACUCCCCAAAAGAGCGCCCCCCCAUGGCAGGAGAAAAAAGUCCAUUUUUUCUUGUCCCCUAAGGUGAAAAUACACAUUGUUGAGUGUCACGCCUAUACGCUUUGUCAAAAUGACACAAAAAUUGACACACACAUGUAACUCAAUAAGAUCUACAAAAAAGUCAGUGCGCGCGUAUCUGUCAAAUGUACAGUUAAAGGGUUAUUCCGCAUUUUUUGCCGAUACGCACACAUUGGAAUUUCGCUAACUCCUCCGAAGGCUUUCGUUCCACCGGCACCACAUUUGCUCAGGCCAAUCUACACCCCAUGGCCAUUAAAAGUUAUUCAAAUCAUGAUGCUGCACCCCAUGGUUUAGGUUCUAGGGGGCGCCAAAGAUAACCCAAAAAUCCACAUUCUUAAAUGUUUUAUAACUUUUUAUUUCUGUCCUCACUGGCCUCCAAGUUUUCUAGGAUGAUGCAAUGUCCAGCCAUCAACACAUUUGUGAAGGAAUUUUUACUCCCCAAAAGAGCGCCCCCCCAUGGUAGGAGAAAAAAGGCAAUUUUUUCUUGUCCCCUUACAUAAAAAGACACAUUGUUGAGUGUCACGCCUGAACGCUUUGUCAUAUUGACACAAAAUUUGACAAUCAUGUGUAUCUCAAUUAGAUCUACGAAAAAGUCAAAGAGCGCAUAUCUGUAUAAUGUACGGUUAAAGGGCUAUUUUGCAUUUUUUGCCGAUUCGCACACAUUGGAAUGUGGCUAUCUCCUCCUAAGGCUUUCGUCCCACCGAUACCAAAUUUGCUCAGGGCUAUCUACACCCCAUGCCCAUUCAAAGUUGUAAAAAUCAUGACGCUGCACCCCACGGUUUACGUUCUAGGGGGCGCCAAAGAUGACCCAAAAAUCCACAUUCUUAAAAGUCAUUUUGGCCACUGCAGGAGUACAGAGUACUGCAGUUCUAGGGGGCGCCAAAGAUGACCCAAAAAUCCACAUUCUUAAAAGUCUUUUUGGCCACUGCAGGAGUACAGAGUACUGCAGGAUACACACACAUAUACACACACGCCAACAUACACACACACACACACACAGACACACACACACAAUCAGAGUCUGUUUUUUAGCACCUGCAAAAACAUGCUGUUUACAUAUUUGACAAGAAUGCAGAGGCUUCCUUUUGCCCCUGAAAAAAAUCAAAUUUCAAACACAACUUGACUGUUCAUUUCUCCAAAAGACAACCAUGAAGCUCCAUUUCAAACCUGAAGCAGAUAGUUGGUGCAUGUGUACAGUAACCUGAGGGGAGUGAGGUGACUAUUUCUGAGGAGAACAUGAGCAGUGAAGAUUCACCUUGGAGCUAGAACAGGGACGUGCACAUGAUUAUACAGGGGCAGGGGCUCAAGUUUUUUCCAGUCAUUUAUACAAUAUGGAAAUUAAUGUGAAAUUAAACCACAAAUAUGUGUGAUGAACUGUUUUUAAAACUUAAACUUCAAAUAAAAAUUGUAAACUUCAAAACAUAUGCAAAUUUUUAACAAAGAACAUAGUAAUUUACCUCUAUUUACAUCAAAAUGCAGGCAAUGGCCCAGGCGUUCUUUGUAAAAUUAUUUACAAAACACUGUAUAGUCUCACAAAUGUCACUUUUUAUUUAUGCCACUACAAAAAAACAUGAUGUAAAUGAUGCAUGAUGUAAAACAUGAUGUAAAAAACUUGUGUAGAUCCUCCUCUAUGUCAGUCCAUGUGUAAUUUUUCCAUAAUUCUUUGUUUUUUGCAGCAUUUUUGUUAGUGUAACUGCAGAUUGUGCUGACAGUGUCUAUGGCACAAAAAAAAAAAAAAAAUUUUUAAUGCCUCAACAUGAACCCGUGGUGGUCUCUGAGGGUGAAACCUGCUAACUGCUGCAGCUCUGUCAGCUUCAGUCUCCCAUGCAGAGCUCUGAGCGCAUGUGUGGCUCUGCACCCUUAGCAGCGUUGCUAACUCCUCAGUAUGGAAAGCCUGCUUCAUGUCAGAGUCUCUAAACUCCAGAAGAAGUCGAUAAAAGUCCCUUUCUUUCUAAAAAAAAGUCGUUAGGGGGUCUGAAAAGUCAUUGAAUCUAACAACAAAGUCGCUAGGUUUGCAACUACGUGUCCCAGACUGCAUCCCUGCUGAGAGUCCCUCCCUCCCUUCUCAUGUUGCAGGAAGAACGUAAGCGCCCCCCUUGUCAAUCAGUCACCAUAUAAUUUUGGAUUGGUUGUUGUGGUGAAGUUUUCCACCAAUAGGAGAGAUGUUGUGGUGUGUUUUUUUUUUCUUUUGGCAAGCCUUUUCCGCCUGUAAGAACUGUCGCUAAUGUCUGCAUGCUAUGUUUUCCUGUCUCAUACAGCGCGAUCGAGCGCCGAACGUGAUCAAAAUAAGCAGAAAAAAAAUAUCGCGGACAUAAUUUAUCAUAACUCUGGUUUUAUUUGGCCUAUCAACACAAUUUAAAAACUGGUAUAUAGGUUGAGGUCCUCACUUUUGAGAUAAGUUGAAACGGAGAGUCAACGAGGCUCCGUCUUGCAGCUACAUCCGGUUAAAUAUGUCAUGUGACUUGAACGCACACACAGACACACACACACGCACACACACACACACACACACACACACACACACACACACACACACACACACACACACACACACACACACACACUCAGAGUCUGGUUUUUAGCACCUGCAAAAACAUGCUAUUUACAUAUUUGACAAGAAUGCAGAGGCUCCUUUUGCCCCUGAAAAAAAUCAAAUUUCAAACACAACUUGACUGGUCAUUUCUCCAAAAGACAACCAUGAAGCUCCAUCCAAACCUGAAGCAGGCAGUUGGUGCAUGUGUACAGUAACCUGAGGGGAGUGAGGUGAGUGCUUCUGAGGAGAACAUGAGCAGUGAAGAUUCACCUUGGAGCUAGAACAGAGACAUGCACAUGAUUAUACAGGGGCAGGGGCUCAAGUUUUUUCCAGUCGUUUAUACAAUAUGGAAAUUAAUGUGAAAUUAAAACACAAAGUAUUAAUAGAAAGGUAAUGACUGUCCUGUGUAGGUGACAGUGAUAUCCAAUAGGCUAGGCACUCACGAGGCUGGCUGUGGCAAGUGUAAGUGAAAGCAACACGCACUGGCAGGAAGAACAGCAAACGCCGAUGAAGGAAAAGGGUCUUUGCAGUGAUGGGCGUUACCAGAGAGGGCGAUGGCCAGAGGACACAAAUGGGACGGGGAGGCAGCACGUUGGGGGGGGGGGGGGACGCGACACGGCUCGGGCCCGCCAGUGCCCCAACGGGGUCCUAGUUAGGGCCCGAGCGUAGCUGCUAAGCAGCUGCGAGAGCCCUCUUGUUCCUGCAUGUUUCCUUCUUUAGGGCCCGAGCGUAGCUGCUAAGCAGCUGCGAGAGCCCUCUUGUUCCUGUAGUUUCCUUCUUUAGGGCCCGAGCGUAGCUGCUAAGCAGCUGCGAGAGCCCUCUUGUUCCUGUAGUUUCCUUCUUUUGUUAUUAUUAUUAUUAUUAUUAUUUUUCCUCCCCUUUGAACUGGAAAAUGGCCCACUUCCCACUGGCGAAAACUCAUGAAAUUUGGCAGGACGACCGGGCCUGGUGAAAAAUUUGAUAUUCCGAA